rnacentral:lncRNA from 1 species
AGCCGACGGCCAUAGUAUGAGUUCGGGACGAGUCAGUCUACAGCCGGCUGCCUCCCUUCGUCUCCAAGCUGCAAUCCUCGGAUUAAGGAACUCGAACCGAGCAACUAAAGAAACUCACCGGAAAUGCUGAGAAUCAGGAGAGAGGAGUAGUGAGAAACGACGCCGGCUGGAGGUUGUUGGACAGCGGCAGUGGAAGUGGCCGGUCGGGUGAGGUCCAAAGAGACAAGCAAAGGGAGAUGCGGGACUGAGAGGAGGAGAAGGCAAAUGGCUUGGUGAGGGGGCGCCGGUAAUGGCUGCGACUGGUGGUGGCGACUGAGGCUAUGGACGGAGGAGGGUGGUCGACGGUGAGGUAGAGGUAAGGGGGAAUGGAGAAGAAAAGAGCGGGUGAGAUUUAGAACCAAAAAAAGAGAGUGCGCCUGAGGAUGGAGAUGAGCAAAAAGAAGACCCCGUUUGCUCUUUUCCCCGACCUUGUCUGCAAUAAAUCUCCAUUUUUCAUUUUGAACACUUUAACUUGCUCUAUUUCCACUCCAUCAUUGAUUCCUCAACCCCAUUGUUCACAUUGAAUUGACUAUAUUAUCCACUAUAAGUCUUACUCUUAACUUAGGUUUAUUUCUCACUUUGAUGAAACUAUCCAUACUCCUCCUAAACAAUAAUUAUUAAUUUUAAACAUGAGGUCUACUCUUGAUUUUAAGAUUAUCUUUGCCUUUCUUUUCUUCUUUUUUGAUUUUUUCCGUUUCUUUCUCCAUUUGAAACAAAGUUGGCGUACCUCUUUUUCCAAAAAAAAAAAAAAACAAUCGGUAAAUACUAAUUAUUUAACAAAAAAGCUAAUCAUUGUAUUGAUAGUUGUAUAUUUCUUUUUUUACUAAGAACUAUUAUUCAAAAAAUAGCCUAAGCACAAGUAAAAGGGAAAAAGAACUAUCUACCAAUUUUAGUAUGCAUUUCGUUUAUAUGUGUCAUUAUGUUGUAGUUCGUGUAUUUUAACUCGUCAACUUUCAUUUUAUUUAGUAAAUUUGAUAGUCAAAUUUUUAAUUAUUAUAUUGUGUGACGUAUUAAAUAUUUUAAGUGACCUUGAUCAGUUCCUUUUCCAAAUUAUAGUCAAUCAAACAUGAUCCAAUCUUUCUUCUCUAUUGUAUAAUGAAAAUAUUACGCAAAUCAUGAUAAUUACCUCUUCUAUUGCAACCAAGAAGAACAUAUUUGUCUCUCUUUGACUCUUUUAUAAAGACAACAUAACCUUAAGUAAGAAGAUGCGUCUGCAAACUACAUAAAAAAAAAAAAAAAAAAAAAACUCUCACGUUAGAAAAUUACCUCAUAAUGUUUCAAAUGAACUUGUUGACUUGAUUAAUUAUUGUUUUCCAUUUGCAGUUUCGCCAUCGAUGGAUACAUUUAGUCAAUUAAACAAUAUUGUCUUACAUAGUGACCACAUUACUAGAAAAAAAAUGCAAUGAAACAUAAGCAAACUGUGUAUAAUGCAUAUAUCAACCACAAUAUCAAAGUUGAAAAAUUCACCAACAUGAGGACAAUCUAAGGAAAUAAAUAAACAAUUUACAGAUAAAACUAACAUUUUUUACUCUAAUGCGUGAUUAGUGCGUCUAGAUUACAAUAAUGGAUAAUAAGUUCAGAAGAAAACAAACAUGAAAGAAAUAUUGAAAUGUAAUUGGUGUAAAAGAAGCAGUUAGGUAAAAACAAGGCUUGCACUAUUUCCACUCCUUAUUAGCUUUUGACAUGCCUAUCACAUCUAAUUGACUAUAGUGUCAUUUGCUUUCUUAACUUUUACUAUAGACGAAACUAAUCAUACUCCUUUCAAAUAAAUUUUUUUAAGAUUAAAUAUAGGGUUCAACUCUCUUGAAAAAAAAUACUUUACCCGAAUCAUAAAUAAAUUUUUUUAUUAUAUUAAUAAGAGACUCAUUAUUCACUUAAAGCAAUAUAUAUCAAGGUAUAUCUUUCAAUUUAUAGUGCGAGGAGCUCCAAGUGAAUUUGUUGACAUGAUUAAUUGAUGUUUUUCAUUUGUAGUUUCAUCAUCAAUAAAUACAUUUAAGUAAUUUGGGUUCUCUUUAAUAUUGUCCACACAUAAUAACUACACUACAAAGAACAAUACAAUGAAAUAUGACUAAAUUGUGUAUAAUGCAUCAAGUAACCACAAUACUCAAUCUUUGAGUAAAUUCUUGUAAAUUUGCAACAAAAAUUGAAAUAAAAAAAUUUUCAAUCAUGAGGAUUAUCUGAGGAAAUAAAGUUAAUAACGGGCAUAAUAAAUUUAAAAGAAGACAGACAUGAAGAAAAGUUAGAAUAAAAUGGGUUUGGAAGAAACAACUAAAGUGAAAAAAAAAAGUUGUUCGAAAGAGACGUGGGUAGUUUUGUCUUUUAAUAAAAUUGAAACAAAAGAAAAAAAAAUGGUAAGAAACUAUUUUAAUUUAGGGUAGGACCUGUAAGAGUACUGUAGUCAAAUCGAUAUGACGAAGGGGCGUGGGAGCUAAUAAUGGGAUGAAAAUAGCACGAGCUUAAAAAAAGUGUUUAAAAGGAAUAUAGAUAAUUUUGUCUUUUAAAAAAAGUUGAGACAAAAGAAAAAUAAGAAAAAAGGUGAAAAAAAAAAUCUUAAAUCAAGAUUAAGAAUCGCAAUAUUGCAGUCAAUUCAAUGUGACAAAAGUGUUAGGAGACAAUAAGAAGCGGAAAUAGUGUGCGCUUUUUCUUUUUGACCCUAUGUGCUUUUGUUGCUGUUGACCCCUCCCUUGUGUGCAAAGUAAUCCCAGAUACCCCCUUUUGUCCUAUUCAUCCACGGCCCCCCACAAAAUAGAAUAACCUAGCUUGGUGACAAGUGGGAAGCUUGCAAUGGUGAGGCUUCAGACAAGGCGCCAUGUGGCACGAGAAGUAGAAAGGCACGAUCUAGGGUCGAAUUGAGCCGAGCUUUGUCGGGCCUUGGCUUGAGCAAUUAGAUCAAUGAAGUAUGUAAUAAUGCAUACAUGUGGUGGCUCGAGCUAGAUCUUGAGCAACAAAGAUAGACAUACAUACCAUUCUAGUAAUAGAGCUAUGUUACUAGUAUGUUCAUGGAGCAAAUUAUUAGCACACUAAUGAAAUUACUAUCAUGGCUUGAAUUGGUUGACAUAUGAGAAUAACCAUUUAAAAAAAAAAAAAAAAGUUGCUAUCACGAGAUAUCACCCUAUGCUUUUCACUAUAGGACAAAUUUCCUUGCACGUUCAUAGAUUGACUUACCUAGUACUCCAUAUUAGGAGCUAUUUGUCUUAUACAUGAAUGAGAACUAAAAGUACUUCACUAUCAAUCACGCCCCUCCCCGAAGAUCCGCCGUCAGCUCCAUUUCCGUUCCCCGGGAUCCACACUGCCCGCACCCAGAGAUCUGAUCGGCCUCAAUGUGCCUAUGAAGACCGCAAAUCAUUUCAUCCAACGGCCGUGGAUGAAGGGAAACCAAAAUGGGUGAAAUCUUCCACGUAAUCUACGGCUGAUUAGUGAAUGGAGAGAGAAAUUUCCCUUGGGUGCUUUUUUCUCUUUCAGUGACAUGAAAAUAUUCGACUUUGAGUGCUAAAAACGACCACUAUCACGACACAUUUUGACUCACGCCAUUUUGGGGAGAAGUCGGUCGGUUUCGUUGAAAAAUAAAAUAAUUUUUACAUAUUAACUUGACUUUGAGCGAAUCAUGAGAGGCCUGGCCUGUCGUUACAAUAAAAGGGAAUUGAGACACGAUCCCACAGGGUGCCGAUUACGGAUUGAUGUAUUGGAAUUGAACAUGCAUAUGUCGUCUAUGUGAGCCAUCAAUUAAGAAAUUAAUCCUAAACAGCAUGUGAAUCCACUGAAUGACGUGCUGUAUGAAUAAUACAAAAAAUUAUUAAUGUGGUCUAAUUUUUUGUUUUCUCUUUUUAAUUAACAAAAAUACAAAUGACCCUAAAUUUCUACAAAUUAAAUGGAUUUCUAUUAAUCUUUAAUCAUGCUCGAGUAAAAUUGAUACGUAUGACCUAAUGUUGGCACUUGAUUUUUGCUGGCCAUUCAAAUUUCCAUUCUCGCAAAAAAGAACAAUUAUGGAAAAUAGCAAUGAUCUUCGAUCUCCAUUCUUAUCAUAGAGAAUUAUACAGGUUAUGAAAAAUAGCGAUGAAAAAUAGGAAUGAUCUUGGUUCCGCAUAACUACAGAGUCCAAUUGAUUCUCCAUAUUAGUCAUUCGUGUGCUCUCAUUUUCAUUCUCCAUUCUUGUUGUUGAAUGCGUUCAAAUAGAAGAUUUUCCUUUGGCCGUUUUGCAUUACCUUGAUUUUGCAAAAUAAAGUCAAAAGAGAUUAAGGUAGUAUAUGGAAGAGAAGUGGAAAGAAUACAGCUCUUCAAAAUUCAUCCUUUCUUAGAGUGACUCUUGUAAAAGUCCAAUCUCAUAUGAAAAUUUCUUUAUAAGUUCGAAGAGGAAACGCAUGGUGAUUAAUCAAAAUGCCCAUUCCAUAUUCCAUUAGAACUUGGUAAAAACACACGAAAGGGAGGCUUUCACUAGUUACAUCAAAAUUUGCAAAAGACAAUCCCUAUACAUUCUCUGAGAAUUGGAAAGAAAUUCCUAUAAAUCGUUACUAAAAUGCGUAAAAGAAAGUCCCAUACAUUCUGUUUAAAGAAGUAACCACUUAACAGUUAUUCUGACAAUUUCAGCAUAAUAGGCGAGAGUCUUUUGGAAUUUUCACUGAACAUAGUGAGACCAAAGCGAUGAAUUUUUUUCUAAAGUCAGAAGCAUGAAGAGAUGAUCUAUCAUAAAAUAAAGUAAUUAUUAACACAACACGUAACUCUCACCCUUCUUUGUCAUGUCUAUCACCUAGUCUAUCUUUUCGCACGAUUCUCACAAGUAUAAUCAUCAAAUCGUUAAACUCUCACCCUUUUUUUCGUAAUAAAAAAGAAUAAGUUGAUUCAUAGUGAAGGUCAUCGUGCUUUCUAGCUAUGAUUAUAUAAUGUUGUUGAUUUUCCACUGACUAGCUAACUCCAAGAUCAGAAUACACUACUUAUCCGUUCGAGAGAAAUUUUUUGAGCGGAAAGAAUGCUUACCAAACUUGUUUUUUACUACUCACGAAAAGCUCAAAAUCGGACGUGAUUCUAACAAAGACGAUCUACCCUAGAAUCGGUUUAAGUGGUCCAUGUGUUUGGAUUUGGUAGAGGGAGUUAGCAUCAUGGGAGUUCUCGGGUGAGCGUGCCUACGGUCGGGGCAACGAUGCUGUGUUUUCGGAGUGCAACGUCAACAUUGGGAAGCCAAAAUAUUAUCCUUGAUUCAAAGACAAACCACGAAGAAGAUACAUGCGAGUAUGGAUACAUCAAUGAAGGGCAUUUUGAUAAAUUAACUAUAAAGGGGUGUUUUUAAUCAAAGAAUUUUAGCACCACCCUUUUUGCAAACUAAUCUUAAUAAACAUAACAUUUUUCCUUUUUCCCAUUAAUUUUUCAACAUAUAACUUACAAGCAGGCCCAACACCUUGGUACUAAUACAUAAUGUUUAUUUACCUCCAAAAUUUGGGGGAAUUUUUGCGUAAUUUUUCAACAAAUUUAUUGUGCAACAUCAAAUUUGUAAAACAUUUGUAAGAAGAUUGUGGCAUAAUUAGGUAUGUCGAGUAUUGAAAUAUGGGAAGCAAAACUUAUAUUCCAACUCAAAAUCUCAAAUUUCCCAUUGAUGUCACUCAGGAACUGCAAAACGUAUGGUCCAUAAUCAUAGUGAGACCUUGACAAUUGGGGUGGACCUAACCCUAAUGUUGCCGAUUUAGAAGGAACACAAGAAGGCUCAUCAAUCUGUCGUAGUGAUUUUUUUUUUCUCUCUCUCAAUAACCAGCAACUCCGGUGGAUCUUUAAACACCCUUCAAGCCCUAUAAUUCAGUUAAGUUGAAGCCUUUGAUCCACAUGGAUGGCUUGACAGUGAGUAACUCGCACGCAAAUGAAAUCAUUUAAACAAACGACUUCCAAUUUUUGAACUACAACCAUUAUUGCCCUAAUAAACCACGCCAACUUCGACCGUCUAGGCAGGUUUUUUUCCUAUUAUCUUUUUCGAAGAAAUGUAACUGUUGGUAGGCCCUCACUUUUUGACAUGAGUAUGAACUUAAAAGAGCUAGUUAUAUUAGAAUAAUUAUGUUAGUGUUGAGUUGUAUAUCUUCUCAUCUACUAUGAUCUGGCCCCAUUAUGCUAGAUAUUGGUGCACGGACUCAUUUAAUUUCUAUUCAAAGUUACCACCGGUAUGAGAAUGAUAUAUAAUUAUUUUCAUAUCGGAGGUGUAACAGUCAAUCUACCUUAUGAUUGGAAAGAUAAAUGUUUGUCUGUGAUUAUUUUUAAAUAGUAAUUUCUGCAUAUAAAAAUUUUAUGAUGUGAAAUCCUAUUUUUUCAUAACGAGCUAAGGGGUAGGUAUUGUUGGCCUAGAAGUAGCAAUAAAUUGGACUUUAUUGAGAUCAUUCAUGCGCCUAUUACAAAGUAUUUGAAGUGAGCCACUAAGUACUAUACAUCAUUUGUGAUCCGAAGGUUCUCUCUUUCUUCUGACAAUUGAGGUCACGAGCGUUGGUCACUUGACUACCUUAAAGCUCAUGAAAUAUUUUGCAAGCUUUAUGCAUAUAUUAAGUUCCUCCUAUUUGGCCCAUGGAUAUAGCUUAAUCUAGCAUUUGGGCAUGGUNNNNNNNNNNNNNNNNNNNNNNNNNNNNNNNNNNNNNNNNNNNNNNNNNNNNNNNNNNNNNNNNNNNNNNNNNNNNNNNNNNNNNNNNNNNNNNNNNNNNGACGUUCUACAUGGUUUAAAAAAGAGAGAUAAAAAUAAGGAAUAUUGAAAACAUAGUAAUAUUAAAACAUUAAAGAAAGGGAAAUUCGAAAGGUAAAAGAAGGGACGGACAAGGGAGGGAAGUGGCGCACUGUUGCCUGACUUUAGCAGAUACCGACCAGGUGUCUUGCGACCUCGGUGAUCCAUGAUUAGGGUUACACAGCCCCAGCCCAAAUUAGACCUUGGCUAGCUUCUCGCGACCCAACUAGGAGUCUAGGACAAUGGCUUCUCUCCCUCCCUCUCUCUCUCUCUGGCUUUGAUUUUUUUUUUUUUUUAAAGAACAAGAUUUUGUCGAUAUUUUAUCCAGCCUAAGAAACUCGCAUGUAAGCACAAGAUUGCCCGGUCAAUGCUAACGUCAUGCCGAUGUGUCAACUCGCCUUAGUAUUUUCAUUUUUUGUUAUAACAAAACGACCAAUUCAAAUAUUAAGAAAAAGAACAUAUACUUUAAAGACCAAGUUGCACAAAAAGCAUAUAUCCCUAAUGUGUUUAAUGUUACGUUUCUAAAAAGCAUUUCUUGAUUCAAAGAAUCUAUUUAUAUUGCAAUGCAAGGGCUUUUUAUUAACUUGAUCAGUCCAUGAUACGGCGCCGUCCAAUCCGACGCGAUGCAACUCCUGCCUUACGUCUUCACGUCGACUCUCUCUCUCUCUCUCUCUCUCUCUCUCUCUCUCUCCCUGCUUUCAUUUUCAACAAGCGUACCAGGAAAGCCAAAUCCCAACUCUCUCGAACGGACCCAUUGUACCGUUAGUUAACCCAGCUUUUGUUUUGCGUUCUCUGCUGCUUUGCGUGCGUGCGUGCGAGUGACGAGUGUUUGCUAGCUAGUUUAGCUCNNNNNNNNNNNNNNNNNNNNNNNNNNNNNNNNNNNNNNNNNNNNNNNNNNNNNNNNNNNNNNNNNNNNNNNNNNNNNNNNNNNNNNNNNNNNNNNNNNNNGUGCCUAAACAACAUAGCACGAGCUGUUUGGAGAUUUAUUCAUAACGUGAAUCGCGCUCGUGACCCCAUGGAAGAUGGCCCAUUUAACUCAGGCCAACAUAUUGAAGGUCGGUCCUUCUUUUUUUACUUUUUGGUAAACUUAUUAAAGAUUGGUCACAGUUAACAUGAAGCUUCUUCAUGCAACCUUAGUAGGGAUAAAGAUGGACGGUAUCAACUGAGCUCACAUUUGAUGAGAUUUAAGCACCUUCGGUGUGAAUCUACUUUUGGAAAAUGCUGCUGCAAUUCCACACCCCUCAUAUAAAUUAGUUUUUUCUAUAAGCUCAAUAAAAUAGCUAGCGAUAGUUUGACCACGAGCAUCAUGGGAAACCUUUAUGAUAAGUUAGAAUUCUGAAUCUGUGGGUGCGUUUGUUUCCAAAAAAAAAAAAAAAGUUUCAAGAUAAAAGGACAAUAUCUUACAAAAAAUAUCUUGAAACUUUUUUCUUUCUUUUCAGGUUAGGGAAUUUGUUUUCCUACUUUAAGAAUACAUAUAUUCUUCAAUUAUAAAUAAAUUUUCUGUUUACUAAUUAUUUUCAGCAAACCAAAUGUGUAAAAGUCAGAAAAACUAAUUCAUUAAAAAAAAUUUCACUCGAAUAAGGCUAACGAACUCUUGUCACGUUUUUCUUACCUUUACCAAAAAAGAAAAAAAAAAAAAACUCUUGUCACGUUGAAUUGUUUGGGCUUGGACGCCCUUGCCCCAAAGAAAACGUAUAUAUUAAUUACUAUAAAUUUAUUUUUCUAUGUUAAGACUACUGCUAAAAGUGAAUCAUGAAAUCGAUGACUUACUGAGCCACCAGAAUCACUAACUAAUACUAAUCUAAUAUUAAUAAAAUAGAACAUACUUAUAGAAUAGAAGAAAACUGUCUUUUAUGUAUACUUCCCCAGUAACACACCCUAUAUUGAUAGUUGGGCAAUAAUUUGCUAUAUUACGAUGGUGGUUUAAGCCAUGUUAAACUUCCAAAGCCAAAGCAAUGGGUAGUAGGGUAGUGCAACCAGUCCGACUCUACUCGAAAAUUAGAUCAAACGGGCCAUAGAAACAGGUCCAAUUUCUAGUUCUAGUGGAAACAACUUCAGUUCUAAGUUCUAAAUUUUUUGAACCAAUAGUAGGGGUGAGCAUGAUCCGGGUUGGUCCGGGCCACCCCUUAACCCUAGGACCAACCCGUACAAUGUCGGUUCUCAAUUUUUAGGACCGAGGAUCGACCCUAUUGAGCUUGGGACCAAGGAUCGGACCGACCCAUUGGGUUCGGUCCGGUUCCAAGGUCAACCCAGGACCGAUCGAUAAUUUUUUUCGUCUUAUUUUUUUAUACUCCCUAAAAAAGCAAACUUAUAAAUUCAAAUUACACAUCCAUCUACAAUAUGGCAUUGUGCAACUAAACUAUAAAUANNNNNNNNNNNNNNNNNNNNNNNNNNNNNNNNNNNNNNNNNNNNNNNNNNNNNNNNNNNNNNNNNNNNNNNNNNNNNNNNNNNNNNNNNNNNNNNNNNNNUUUUGAUUCGAGUGUGUCUGAAGAGGAGGGAUUCUAAGUCCGAACAGGAAUCGAUUUUGGGUUUGUCCGUGCCGUGUUGAGGCAGGGGAUUAGGAUAGUUCCGAGGCAUUGAGGCGUUUGAUGUCUUUUUUUUUUUAUUUCUGAUGCAGUUGAAUGUUAUAGGAUCUUGAACGGACUCCUUGCAUGGUCAUAGCGUUUUGACCACCGGUCCAAUAUGCACCUCUUGGUGCUGGAAGAGGUUUCUCUUAAGGAGAGAGAGAGUCGGCAUCUAAUGGUAUCGUUGUAGAUGUUAGUCUGAUCUUACAAUUUUUGAACUGUUACUCAUUUGGCAGUUUUAUCGCCCGACUUUCCGGUUGAUUAACAUGAGCGACAUCGUGGCUCGAUUCUUGUCGAUAACAAGAGGAGUAGCUUGGUGUUGUUUUUUCCUUUGUCGAAGUGACGGAGUUCCCCCGCUGCUUUCCUUUCCUUUACCGCCAUCUCGUGCGAUUGAGGAUGUGGCAUUCCAAUCAUUUCCUAGGAACAAGUCGCUCUUAUCCAGUAUAUGUUAUGGACAGUGUUAGCCGAUAGGUGUACAAGUAUGUAAACUGUGAGUGUGGAUUGGCAAUGAGAACCAUCUAAGUUUCGAGGGUGGAACUACUCAAAACUUCACCAUAGUCUAUUUUGAAGAUUACUAAUGGAAUCCAGUCUUACUGCAGCUAUUAGUUUAGGAGACUAGACAUAAGCUUGAUAUAAGCCAAAUCAUGAUAAAUCUAAUUUGCAACAUCUUUUAUCUCUUUGCACCUUUUUCAAUAUUUUUCUGACAAGGGCAUGCUGCAUUGCAUAUAAGCAUAUUGCAUAUUUACGUCUGGUAACAUCAAGCUUUCCCUGCUUAUAUCCAAGUCCAGUUUCAAAUAACUUGUGAAAAUCUAAAAUAAUAUUAUUAUACAACAUAUUCACCCCUAUUUAGGUUGUAUCGUUAAUCUCAACAAAAAUGACGGCCUUUUGAAUGUUGCACUCUCUAAAGUUUUUGGAAAUUAUGCCGAGUAGGCCCAAUGUUCUCAUAUAUAGGAAAAUUUAUUUCUCAAAGUUCCUGGCCCUAUUUCACUUCUUUGUAAAAGCAUGCUCCAAGAAUUCACAAAUAUGUGUAAACCUUCACUUUUUCUUUUACACUUGCAUUUGAGUUUAGUUUUCAAUUUUGGAAUAUGUACUUUUUCUGAUCCAUUUUUGUCCAUAUAGUUUGGUUAUAUGGAUGUAGUAUGGUCAUAUGUCCGUGCAUGUGUGACAUAAGAUAACAACUCAAACAUUUAUAUAUUUAAAUUUACAAGCUGCUCGCAAAUCGACACCGACUGAUAGACUAUUUGUCACUACAAAUGACUUUCAGUAUUGUGAGAUUAUAUAUGCAUGCUUUCUAGGGUAUAUCAAUCUAGUAAGGCUAACGUCCUUUUUACAUUAGAACACGUUAUAAUGCCUUAAAGAAUAUUUCGCUUAAAUUUAUUGGAGAAAAAUCUACAAGUGAUUUUGAUGAUAUCCAAACUAUCCUUAAUAUAAUGUUUACUACGACAUAUGCAUAUAUAUAUUUAGAAAGGAUUACACAAUAUUGAUAGUGUGAUCUAGUAUAUGAAGUAUGCAACAGGUCCGGAAACAGUUUUUUGUGUAAAUACUACCAAUGGAUCUAAAGAUCAACUGAUGACGAUGUUCAUAUCGCAGCUACAAAUAUCAAGUCGUUGGUGUUAUAACAACCAUGAACAUCUUAUAAAGUUUGUUGGGUUAGCAAAUUAGCCAUUGUGGCUAAGGAUUUGCACAACAACAUAAUCCAGUUGAAAGUAGUAAUUUGAGAAUCCAAGUCGUCUAAUAAGUCUAUCAGAGACUACAGUGAUGGGACAGUGGCAAAUGCUAUACUUAAGUAGACUACAAAUGUUCAAGAAAAAAAGAACUAUAUGGGCAGUUCUAUUCUUGGAUAGACUCCAAUGGUUCCUUGCUUUUUUUUUUCUUCUUUUUUUCAUCCUAGAACCACCAUACAGCCGGCAGCCAGUGGCGUAAACCAGGGAAAGCACUAGCGCGGGGGCCCACCUCCCACAACACUCCACUUUAGUCACACAAUGGGGGCAUAGAGUUUCGAACCCCUUCCCUCCCGAAUGAGAGGGCAGGGCGCGAACCAGCGCGUCCACCGCAGGGUGAGUGGUUCCUUGCUUGUUUGAUCUUCUCUUAACGGGCAAAUUGGAGAUGAAUAUAAGAGAAAAGACCUAAGAAGCCAAGGAGGAGAAAGAGAACAACAUUAUCUAAAGAUUUGCAUUAUGCUUUGUUCCUAACUAUACACUCUUGCCCAAAGUGUUUCGUUAAGUUUUGUAUUCAUGAUAUUUGAGUAAUUGUGUUCUAGAUUAAAUGUAGAGGGUAAGAAUUGCAAUUGGGUCUUGAUAAUGUGAUUUAUCUUAUAAUAAGACUACUGUUUGCCUAUUGUAAUUGUCUGAGUAGCUUACACAUGCAAUCCAGCCUGAUUUGUGGCUAUUAGUCUGAAGAGUGAACGUAAACUUGGAGAUAAAGCCAAACCACUAUAUAUCAUUGUGUGUUAUUGUUUUACUCUCUCUUACUCUCACAGGCACAGAUCACAAACUUCGAAACAUCAUCUUGACCUUAUCUUUACUUAGCAUUAGCUAAUUUAUGUGAAAAAUUGUCAAGUUUUCUUUAAAAACCUAUUCACCCCCUCUAGGUUGUAUUAUUAGCUCCCAACAAAUUAGUUGCUUUGGAGCAACAAAAAGCUACUAAAAAAGUCUUGAAACUUGCUAAAUAUAAUAGAAGAUGUUCUUUUCAUAUAUUUUUCUCUCUUGAAGUAAAUACACAUAUUUUUCAUAUUCUUCCUUUUUGAAGCUUUUGGUGUUUCGGAGACAAAAAGAAUAACUCUCCAAUCAGAUUAUUCAACUGGAAAAGCAAUCGAUGCAAAAACAAACCUUGAAAUUGGAAAUUGAACAAUUGAGAAGAUCAUUAAAUGUCAUGAAGCACAUGAAAGACGAGGAUGAUACUGAAAUUUUGAAAAUAAUUAUUUUGCUAGCGGAUAUGAGGGGAAAAUAGGGGAAUCUUGAGGAUGUAGAAGUGCUGAAUCGAGCUAUCAUAGUAAAGGUGCAUAAUCGCAAUAAUGAGCUUCAAGAAGCUCGCAUAAAAUUGAUCAAUGUAAGUUUGCUUUUUCUCUUCUUUUUUUUAUGGUGAGAUUUUUAAAUUUUUUUGCAGGGAAUCAUGUUCACUUGUAUCAUUUGUCAUCUUUUUUCAUUUUUGGUUUGCUAUCUUCAGUUACUUCACUCAAUACAAGUUUCUGUUGCAGCUGUACAUCAUUGAUUGACUUAGCUAAGGUGCCAAAUUAAACUUAAUUUGCAAGUAUCAAAAGACAUACAUAGUGAUUUUAAAGUCGAUGGCAAUGUUCAAGGUUGACAGAAAACUCCAAUCCUCCAGUGAAGCUGCACCUAAAUAAGUACGUAUUUGCUUGCGCCAUAGUGACCUCCGUGACCCCCCUUUUGCUUGGGGGAUUGACCAUAACCAAUCAAAAGGGACCUCAUGGAGGCCACCACGGCGGACCCAAGGGCAUACUUCUUCUAAGGCAGCUUUACUCGAUCAACUUAGGUUAGACAUUUCCAUCGACUUUAAAAAUUACUAGAUUUGUCUUCUAAGACUUGCAAAGUAAGUCAAUUAACACCUUAGGCAAGUUAAUUAGUGGUGUACAAUAGCUACAAGAGAAACUCAUGUUGAGUGAAAUAACAGAAGACAACAUCUUCAACUAUAUGAAAUUCAAUUUAAGUCUAGUACCGAAGCUCAUUAUUCCUUACCAAUUAAUUGGGAACUCUACUUCUUUAUUAUUAUUUCAUAUCUUUAUGUGCACGGAACUUCUGGCCUUUCUUUGUGUUUUUUAUUUAGUCCCUUCAUCCCUAAACAAAUUAAUCCUCUCUUCAUUAGUCUUUUUUACCCAGAACGCUUUUCACUCUCAAGUUCAGUAAGCUCCCAUCUCUUCAAACCUCCAUUAAUCUUUUCUCUCAUUCUCGCUCAACUCACUCACCAUUCUUCGAGCAAUUCACUCAUAUCUGCACCCUUAAACCCAUGAAUUUGGAGGCAAGUGUCGUGUGCACUCAAAGAAAAGAGAUACACCCAGAACACAUGGAGAGAGAGAACGCAUGUAUCUGCAUAUAUUGAAAAUGCAUUCACUCAAACGACACUUACACAGAAGACACAUUCAGCAAAGACAAUUUGUGAUCUAACAUGUCAUCACAAACACUUACGCGGGAGAUAUCUAAUUGAGUCUCACACACGAUAAUAUAAUUCUUCAAUUUCAGUAUAUGCCUAAUGAAUUCUCCAGCAAUAACCACCAAACUUUCUCAAAUUACCACACUGACAUUACCGAAUUAUUCUAGAGAAUCGAGAGCUUAACACGUGCAAACAUGGGAGGCUUAUUAGAGUCGAGAUUCUUGGAAUUAACUAACAAAUGAAUUCAUCUAGCCUAUGCAACUAGCGCAUUGGAUGAAUAAAACAGAUGAGGUGAUCAUGGUCAGACCUGAGGUUACGUCUAUUAGUAACGCAGUUCAGAUAUUUCAAUGAAUAAUUAGUAAACAUCAAGUCAGAGAACAACACGAUGACAAGUUGGUGGAAAUCAAGACACGUUCAACAUGAAACUAUCAUUUAGAAUUGAGAUCACGGAUAUAAGCUCUGACGUGUAUGAUUUUAAAGCUAGGAAGAACUAGAUUCUCAUCCUCUGUUUUCAUUUUCAUACAUCUAAACCAGAAGAUACUCAGUUAGAUCUAGCGAAAGGUAAUUACCUGCAGCGACGGCUGAUGGCUUUGAACAAAACAAUCACCGAGGCGCUCUAGAAGGCUUGAAUUUGCGAAGGAGUCGAUGGCAGCAACUGGUCGAACUUUUCAUUCAACAAUGGCACUCCAAAAACAGGGACAAGCAGGAAAAUUCCAGAGCAGCUCGGCGAUGACGAACAGCCGCUGUAGGCAGGGUUACGACAUCCUGAAAUGGUGCACCAUGAAUGCUGAUGUCAAUUAACCGUGAAGAAACUCCUGGAAAGCGAUGGGAUCAAAGUGUGUUUAAACUACCGUUAGACCCUCAAUCAGUAUGGUUUUCUCCCCUCAAACCUCGGUCACAUAACUAGGACUUGACCCACCAGAGCAGAGCAGAGAUGCAGUUGCAGUAAUUACCUCGGAGAUGCAGCAGAAGGUCACGAACAACGAUCGAACGGAGAACUCAAAAGUCCCGGGAGCAUCUCCACCGAUGGUCCGGGCUAUGGGGGGAAGAAAUCUCGACUGAGAUCUGAGCUUUCCGGACUACCCUCUGGCGGAACAGGGGCGAAUAGAGAGGUGGUGGAGGUCUGCAAAAUCUAAAACAAAACUCGUGAGAGCUUUCUAGGGACUCAUUGCAACUCCAAAACUGAUGCUCUGUCUUCUUGCUCUGGUGUUCUCUCGGCUAAAGAGUUUCAAAUAUCAGCAAUUACUGUAACUUUUUUUCUCCUAAACCGGACAAGGCAUAUAGAUAUUAUGUUAUUAGUACCAAAGUGCGGGGCCUACUUUAAAGAGUUUCAGAUAUCAACAAUUGAUAGAGACACCCAUUUAUAGUUAAUUUAUCAAAAAGCCCGUUUAUUAAUAUAUUCAUGCCAACACGUAUCUUCUUCCUGAUUUGUUUUUCAAUUAAGGAGAAGACUGUAGCUUCCCGAAAUUGAUGUUGCACUCCGAGCAUGACGACAUUGCUGCCUCGGCCGUAGACACCCUCACUCGCAAAGUCCCGCGAUGCUAACUCCUCAUGCCAAAUCCAACUGCGUUAGACCAAAUUGUUAGAGAAAACUUCCAUGAGUGUUUUGAAGUUGACAAAAUGUUUCAAUCAGUCUAGUAUAAAGACUUGUAGACUCUUUUAUCAAAGUUUGAAGGCUUCCGGACUGCUAGACUUAAGACUCAAAGUCUAUAAUCAUUGACAGUUUUUUAGACCGUCGAAGAAGGCUUAUCCAGAACUGAGUAUUUCGUUAAGGAUUUGAUUCUAUCGAUUGAAGAAGAUCUCUUGGCUGGAUAUAACAUGUCGGAAUCCAUUAUUCAAGUUGAGAUUAAUUCAGGGAUUUUGGAUCCGUUGAUUGGCAAAGUAUAUUUGGAAGGUUCUACUUGUGGAAACCUAGAUCCUGAUUGUAUGGGUGAACAAGAUUGGUGGGCUAUCGUCAUAUUCCUUAAAUAACUCGAAAUCUCCCUAAUUGAUUCUGUCCAACGGGUAGAUUGGAAUAACUUCUUUGGUAAGUGCCAAUGGGUGUGAUGGCAUGAAGGAGUAUAUAAGGAAGACGUUCCAGUUAUUUGAGUGUGUGCGCGAUAGAAGAAUUCCAAAGUCUGAAGCUCUUUGGUCUUAGUCAAUUCAAUCGUUGAGCAAAAUAUUGUACUAAAAAGAGAGUUUAUAUUUUUGUGAGACUUUGAGGAAGUGUAGCAUAGUUUCUACACUGUGAAAUCAAUGAAGAACUAUAUUGUAACAACUCUUUUGAUUCAUAGUGAAAUCCAGCCGGUGGGCUGUCAAUGCAGAAGAGUGGACUUAGGCUUGGAUUAAGCCGAACCACUAUAAACCUUGUGUUCUUAUUCUCUUACCUAAUCUUUUUUACUUUGAUCGUAAUUCAAUUUGAUUAUUAGAGUCUAAUUUCCUUUUCAUAAUCUAUUGCUGAUCAGAGUUGUUUUAAAAGUAAAAUCACUCACUUCACUCUGGAAAAUUUGUUUUCGUGCCUAUUCACCCCCUCUAGAUGCUCGUACUAACUUUCACAGUUGGUAUCAGAGCAUGUAUACUCACUUAAGUUGAAAUGUUUUACUUCAGAGUUAAAGAUUCAUCGCUAGUAUGUUGGCUCCAGGUCUGGUUGAAGGCAAAGUAAUACCAGAACACCUUAUUUUGAUGGAAAGGAAUACAAUAUAUGAAAAAAGAAGAAGAUGAAAGCAUUCCUAAGAUCAAAUGAUCCUUUGGAAUGUGACGUGGUAGACAAAUGAAUCAUUCUUAAAGCUGCAACAGUCUCAAAAAGAGGAAAAGAAACUGUUGAGUCUAGUGAAAUGACUCAAGAAGAGAUAACCAAGAGACAGGCUCUUGAUAUAAAAGUAAUUUAUUCUUUAUAUUGUGCAUUAUCUCCUACUGAAUAUAACAGAAUAUCUUCUUAUGAAACAGCUAAAGAAGUCUGGGAUAGAUUACACAUCACCUAUGAAGGAACUGAUCGAGUGAAAGAAACCAGAAUUAACAUUCUGCUCGGUCAAUAUGAAGCAUUUAAGAUGAAACCAGAAGAAUCUAUCACUGACAUGUUUAGUUGUUUUACAAAAAUCAUGAAUGGUCUUGAAUAUCAAGGUCAACCAAUUUCUGGACCCAUGAAGGUUAACAAGUUACUACGUGGAUUGUCCAAAGAUUGGAAUCACAUAAAGACCUCAAUAAGGGAGACACAAAGAAUUAUGCCACUCUCUGUUGACAAAUUGGUUGGCACUCUUCAGUCUUAUGAAGUGGAGCAAAUCAACGAAGAUGGAGAUCCCAAAGGUAAAAGAUCUAUUGUAUUAAUAACUAAUGAUGAUUCUGAUGUCACAGAUUCUGAAGACGAUAUGGAUGAUGAAGAGCUUGCUCUCAUGAUAAGAAGAUUCAGAAAACUGAACAGAAAGGGGAGAAGAUUUAAUUCAAAGAAACAAAGUUCUCAAAAGUUAUAAAAUAAAUCAGUUGAGGAUGAUGAAUCCAAUAAAGAUGUAGUCUGCUUUGAAUGCAAGAAAAAUGGACACAUCAGACCCAACUGUCCUCUGCUGAAGAGAAAUAAAGGAAAAGCUAAAAAAUAUCGAAAGACGCUUAAAGCAGAAACUUGGAGUGAUACCGAAUGUGAGGAAAGUGAUGAUGAUUAUGCCAAUAUUUGUCUCAUGGCACAAUUAGACUCAGACUUAGACAGUGAAAUCGAAGUAAGUAAUUUAAAAAUUCCUACUAAAGUUUCUAUAUAUAUUGAUGAAUUGUGUCUUAAUCUUAAAACCUCUCUUAAAAGGAUUUCCAAACUUGAAAAGGAAAAUUCUGCACUAAAACAAUAGGAAAAUGUUUGGAAAGAAAAGGUCGAAAGUUUAGACAAAAGUGUUACUACUUUGAAAGAAAAUGCAAACAAUCUUUCAAAAGAAAAUUCAUUCUUAAAAAAUGAUAUCUCAAAUAUUUCUAAAAGAUUUUCUAUAUGAUCUGAGAAACUUGAAAAAAUUCUUUCAGCACAAAGAUCUUACUUCAACAAAUCAGAUUUGGGAAUGACUGCUGAAACCAUUACUCUAAUUGAUUUUCCUAAAGUAAAGGAAAGAAUUAAGCAAAGACUUACAAAAGAUUCUUACAAAAAUCAUUUCCAAAUUUUUUUUGUAAAACUUGUAGGCCGUAGUGCUCUUAAAUAUUCUAAGUGCAAUAGCUCGGAUCAUUUUGAGAAAGAAUGUCCUAUGGUUUGGAAACCUGUUAAGAAGGUAUGGGUAAAGACCGUAUAUUACACUAACACCAAUGGACCCAAGAAAAUAUGGUAACUAAAGAAAGCUUAAGUUUCUUUUCUAAAUGCAUGUCACUAUCAAGAAAAAUGUUAAAUGGUACUUGGAUAGUGGAUGCUCAAGACAUAUGACAGGAGACUCAAAUUGUUUCAUAAAACUUGUGCAAUUAAUGGUGGAAAAGUUUAUUUUGGAGGAAAUAGCAAAUGAAGAAUUGUGGGAUACAAAACUGUAAAGAUUGGAAGCCUCAAGAUCAGUAAUGUUUCCUUAGUGGAAGGACUCAACUACAACUUGUUGAGUAUUAGUCAACUGUGCGACACUGGUUUCAAAAUCAACUUUCAAGAAGGAAUAUAUUCAGGAACCAGUAAAGACUCCUCUCAGUCUUUCACAAGGCGAAGACAUGGGAAUAUCUACCUCUUAGAUAUCAAACCAGAUGAAACCCAAUGUCUAAUCUCAAUUCAAGAGAAAGCAAACUUAUAGCAUAGAAAACUUGGGCACAUCAACAGGAAGCAAAUAGCCAAAAUCUCAGCAAAGAAGCUUGUUCGUAGACUACCCAAACUAACAUACCAAAAGUCUGAUCUAUGCACACCAUGCGUGUUAGGAAAACAAGUAAGAAAUUCAUUCAAACCAAUAAAUCAAGUAUCCACUAACCGUGUACUGCAGCUCUUGCAUAUGGAUCUCUUUGGACCAACCAGAACUCAGAGCAUUGGAGGUAAGAAAUACUGCCUAGUAAUUAUGGAUGAUUAUUCACGAUUCACUUGGGCAUAUUUCUUGGCAAGUAAGUCUGAAACAUUUUCUUAUUUUAUAAAGUUUGCUAAGAAAAUCCAAAAUGAGAAAAUGUAUGUUAUUUCAAAUAUACGGAUAUACCAUGAAGGUGAAUUUGAAAAUCAAGACUUUGCUAAAUUUUGUGAAGAAUCUGUCUUUCAGCAUGUGUUCUCUUCACCAUAUACUCUAAAGCAAAAUGGAGUUGUGGAAAGAAAGAAUAGAUCGCUGCCGGAAAUGGCUAGAACUCUUUUAAUUGAAAGUAACAUCUCUUCUCGUUUUUGGGUUGAAGCAGUUUCUACAGCGUUCUAUAUUAUUAAUAGAGUCUUCUUAAGGUCUAUUCUGGAGAAAACUCCCUAUGAGUUAUUCAAAGGUAAGAAGCCAAUUGUUUCGUAUUUUCAUAUGUUUGGAUGCAAAUGUUUUAUAUUGAAAAAUGCAAAUGAUCGAGUUGGUAAGUUUGAAGAAAAAUUAGAUGAAGGUAUUUUCCUUGGAUAUUCAAUCACAAGCAAAGCUUACAAAGUAUACAACAAAAAGACUCAAUUUGUGGAGGAAUCGAUGAAUGUCAAAUUUCAAGACUUUAUGCAAAAUCAAUCGAUUCAGACUCAACCUGAAGAACCUAAACCUGCUCCAGACUCUACAAAGUCUACAUUUCCAGAAGCAGCUCAGACUUCAGAAGAUUAGCAACAAAUGAUCAUUGAAGAUUCAAAUGGAGGAAAUGAUCAACAGUCUGACAAAUCAACUAGCAACUGGAAGCAUAAGUCCAGUCAUCCCAAAGAUCUCAUUAUUGGUGAUAUUAAUAAAGGAAUUCGCACAAGAUCCAAAAGGCGUGAAGAGUCUAGUGUUGUGGCUCUUAUUUCUGAAAUAGAACCCAAAAGCAUGAAAAAGUUUUAACUGAUGAAAGCUGGAUUGAAGCUAUGCAAGAAGAACUCAGGCAAUUCAAUAUUAAUGAUAUCUGGGAAUUGACUCCAAAACCAAAAGGUAAAUCCCUCAUUGGAGCUAAAUGGGUUUUCAGAAACAAGAUGAACGAGAAAGGAAAAGUCAUAAGAAACAAAGCAAGAUUUGUGGCCAAAUGAUAUACGCAAGAAGAAGGAAUAGAUUAUGAUGAAACUUACGCGACAGUAGCAAGGUUAGAAGCAAUUAGAUUACUUGCUUUUGCUUGUUAUAAGAAUUUCAGGUUAUUCCAAAUAGACGUCAAAAGUGCUUUCCUAAAUGGAUUUAUCCAAGAGGAAGUCUAUGUGGAACAACCUAUCGAUUUUGAAGACCCAAGGAAACCAGACUCUGUAUUCAUACUAAAAAAGGCUAUAUAUGGUUUAAAGUAAGCGCUUCGAGCUUGGUAUGAGAGACUAAGUAAGUUUUUAACUCAAAAUGGCUUUGUUAAAGGUAAAGUAGAUAUUACAUUGUUUAUCAAAAGAGAAAGCAAAAGCUUUUUACUUGUUUAAAUUUACGUUGAUGAUAUUAUUUUUGGAUCUUCUAAUAAAAAUAUGUGCAAGAAAUUCUCUAAGUCUAUGCAGGAUGAAUUUGAAAUGAGCAUGAUGGGUGAACUAACUUUCUUUCUCGAGCUUCAAGUGAAACAACUGAAGGAGGGAACCUUUACUCACCAAGAAAAAUAUGCUAAAGAACUUGUCAAAAAGUUUGGACUAGAGAAUUGCAAAAAGACUGAUAUACAAAUGUCAAAUUCCUUGAAGCUAGACAAAGAUGAAGGAGGAAAGAAAGUUGACUAGAAGCUAUACAGGAUUAUCAUUGGUUUACUUCUUUAUCUUACUGCUUCUAGACCUGACAUUCUGUUUAGUGUUUAUAUUUGUGCUAGAUUUCAAUCAGAUCCCAAAGAAUCUCAUUUAAGUGCUGCAAAACGUAUUAUCAAAUACAUUACCUCAACUUCAAAAUUAGGCCUCUGGUAUCCUAAAGAAGGAGACUUCACUCUUCUUGGAUACUCAGACGCAAACCUAGCAGGAUGCAGAGUUAAUAAAAAGAGCACCUCGGGCACCUAUCAACUACUUGAUAACAGGACAGUGUCUUGGUUUUCAAGGAAGCAAAGUACCGUAGCUCUUUCUACAGCAAAAGCAGAGUAUGUAACUCUUGGAAGUUGUUGUUCACAAAUUCUGUGGAUAAAACAACAGUUAAGAGACUUUGGAAUUGAAAAUUCAUGCACUGAGAUCAAAUGUGACAACACCAGCGCAAUCAAUCUCACCAAGAAUCCAAUUCUUUAUUCAAGAGCAAAACAUAUAGAGAUUCGACAUCAUUUCAUUAGAGAUCAUGUUCAAAAUGGAGAAGUUUUGAUUCAGUUUAUUGAUUCAAAGAAUCAACUGGCGGACAUAUUUACAAAGCCUUUGGAGAAAAAUCAAUUUGAAGUUAUUCGUUCCAGACUCAAUAGCUUAAAGUCUGAGGAAGUUCAGACUCAGGGCUGAAAGUCUAAAGACACUCAGACUUAGACGAUCAAGAUUCACGACUGUAAGUUAUUUCUAUUUUAGAAAUUUAUCUCUCGGAUAAAAUCUCGAAAAUGUACGAUCAUCUAUCUGUAAUUGAUUGAUGUUAUCUUCCCCAGUUUUCAGGAUUAUUGCAAUCUUUCCUUUUCGAAAAAGAAGUUAUUUUUUUUAAAAUGACGGUUAUCUAAUUUUUCAAAAAGGCAGUUAUUUUUGGAAAGACAUUUUUAUUUUUCCUUUUUACGACAUUCCGUAUGCCUUGCUUCGACUGCCUUAUAUAUUAUUGGUUCUUCUUCGUUUUACUCACAAAAACCCUAAGAGAGCACAGAUUGUCAACUUUUUUUUCUUCUCUUGUAUAAUCCUCGAAAAGUUGUCACAUAUCUGNNNNNNNNNNNNNNNNNNNNNNNNNNNNNNNNNNNNNNNNNNNNNNNNNNNNNNNNNNNNNNNNNNNNNNNNNNNNNNNNNNNNNNNNNNNNNNNNNNNNNNNNNNNNNNNNNNNNNNNNNNNNNNNNNNNNNNNNNNNNNNNNNNNNNNNNNNNNNNNNNNNNNNNNNNNNNNNNNNNNNNNNNNNNNNNNNNNNNNNNNNNNNNNNNNNNNNNNNNNNNNNNNNNNNNNNNNNNNNNNNNNNNNNNNNNNNNNNNNNNNNNNNNNNNNNNNNNNNNNNNNNNNNNNNNNNNNNNNNNNNNNNNNNNNNNNNNNNNNNNNNNNNNNNNNNNNNNNNNNNNNNNNNNNNNNNNNNNNNNNNNNNNNNNNNNNNNNNNNNNNNNNNNNNNNNNNNNNNNNNNNNNNNNNNNNNNNNNNNNNNNNNNNNNNNNNNNNNNNNNNNNNNNNNNNNNNNNNNNNNNNNNNNNNNNNNNNNNNNNNNNNNNNNNNNNNNNNNNNNNNNNNNNNNNNNNNNNNNNNNNNNNNNNNNNNNNNNNNNNNNNNNNNNNNNNNNNNNNNNNNNNNNNNNNNNNNNNNNNNNNNNNNNNNNNNNNNNNNNNNNNNNNNNNNNNNNNNNNNNNNNNNNNNNNNNNNNNNNNNNNNNNNNNNNNNNNNNNNNNNNNNNNNNNNNNNNNNNNNNNNNNNNNNNNNNNNNNNNNNNNNNNNNNNNNNNNNNNNNNNNNNNNNNNNNNNNNNNNNNNNNNNNNNNNNNNNNNNNNNNNNNNNNNNNNNNNNNNNNNNNNNNNNNNNNNNNNNNNNNNNNNNNNNNNNNNNNNNNNNNNNNNNNNNNNNNNNNNNNNNNNNNNNNNNNNNNNNNNNNNNNNNNNNNNNNNNNNNNNNNNNNNNNNNNNNNNNNNNNNNNNNNNNNNNNNNNNNNNNNNNNNNNNNNNNNNNNNNNNNNNNNNNNNNNNNNNNNNNNNNNNNNNNNNNNNNNNNNNNNNNNNNNNNNNNNNNNNNNNNNNNNNNNNNNNNNNNNNNNNNNNNNNNNNNNNNNNNNNNNNNNNNNNNNNNNNNNNNNNNNNNNNNNNNNNNNNNNNNNNNNNNNNNNNNNNNNNNNNNNNNNNNNNNNNNNNNNNNNNNNNNNNNNNNNNNNNNNNNNNNNNNNNNNNNNNNNNNNNNNNNNNNNNNNNNNNNNNNNNNNNNNNNNNNNNNNNNNNNNNNNNNNNNNNNNNNNNNNNNNNNNNNNNNNNNNNNNNNNNNNNNNNNNNNNNNNNNNNNNNNNNNNNNNNNNNNNNNNNNNNNNNNNNNNNNNNNNNNNNNNNNNNNNNNNNNNNNNNNNNNNNNNNNNNNNNNNNNNNNNNNNNNNNNNNNNNNNNNNNNNNNNNNNNNNNNNNNNNNNNNNNNNNNNNNNNNNNNNNNNNNNNNNNNNNNNNNNNNNNNNNNNNNNNNNNNNNNNNNNNNNNNNNNNNNNNNNNNNNNNNNNNNNNNNNNNNNNNNNNNNNNNNNNNNNNNNNNNNNNNNNNNNNNNNNNNNNNNNNNNNNNNNNNNNNNNNNNNNNNNNNNNNNNNNNNNNNNNNNNNNNNNNNNNNNNNNNNNNNNNNNNNNNNNNNNNNNNNNNNNNNNNNNNNNNNNNNNNNNNNNNNNNNNNNNNNNNNNNNNNNNNNNNNNNNNNNNNNNNNNNNNNNNNNNNNNNNNNNNNNNNNNNNNNNNNNNNNNNNNNNNNNNNNNNNNNNNNNNNNNNNNNNNNNNNNNNNNNNNNNNNNNNNNNNNNNNNNNNNNNNNNNNNNNNNNNNNNNNNNNNNNNNNNNNNNNNNNNNNNNNNNNNNNNNNNNNNNNNNNNNNNNNNNNNNNNNNNNNNNNNNNNNNNNNNNNNNNNNNNNNNNNNNNNNNNNNNNNNNNNNNNNNNNNNNNNNNNNNNNNNNNNNNNNNNNNNNNNNNNNNNNNNNNNNNNNNNNNNNNNNNNNNNNNNNNNNNNNNNNNNNNNNNNNNNNNNNNNNNNNNNNNNNNNNNNNNNNNNNNNNNNNNNNNNNNNNNNNNNNNNNNNNNNNNNNNNNNNNNNNNNNNNNNNNNNNNNNNNNNNNNNNNNNNNNNNNNNNNNNNNNNNNNNNNNNNNNNNNNNNNNNNNNNNNNNNNNNNNNNNNNNNNNNNNNNNNNNNNNNNNNNNNNNNNNNNNNNNNNNNNNNNNNNNNNNNNNNNNNNNNNNNNNNNNNNNNNNNNNNNNNNNNNNNNNNNNNNNNNNNNNNNNNNNNNNNNNNNNNNNNNNNNNNNNNNNNNNNNNNNNNNNNNNNNNNNNNNNNNNNNNNNNNNNNNNNNNNNNNNNNNNNNNNNNNNNNNNNNNNNNNNNNNNNNNNNNNNNNNNNNNNNNNNNNNNNNNNNNNNNNNNNNNNNNNNNNNNNNNNNNNNNNNNNNNNNNNNNNNNNNNNNNNNNNNNNNNNNNNNNNNNNNNNNNNNNNNNNNNNNNNNNNNNNNNNNNNNNNNNNNNNNNNNNNNNNNNNNNNNNNNNNNNNNNNNNNNNNNNNNNNNNNNNNNNNNNNNNNNNNNNNNNNNNNNNNNNNNNNNNNNNNNNNNNNNNNNNNNNNNNNNNNNNNNNNNNNNNNNNNNNNNNNNNNNNNNNNNNNNNNNNNNNNNNNNNNNNNNNNNNNNNNNNNNNNNNNNNNNNNNNNNNNNNNNNNNNNNNNNNNNNNNNNNNNNNNNNNNNNNNNNNNNNNNNNNNNNNNNNNNNNNNNNNNNNNNNNNNNNNNNNNNNNNNNNNNNNNNNNNNNNNNNNNNNNNNNNNNNNNNNNNNNNNNNNNNNNNNNNNNNNNNNNNNNNNNNNNNNNNNNNNNNNNNNNNNNNNNNNNNNNNNNNNNNNNNNNNNNNNNNNNNNNNNNNNNNNNNNNNNNNNNNNNNNNNNNNNNNNNNNNNNNNNNNNNNNNNNNNNNNNNNNNNNNNNNNNNNNNNNNNNNNNNNNNNNNNNNNNNNNNNNNNNNNNNNNNNNNNNNNNNNNNNNNNNNNNNNNNNNNNNNNNNNNNNNNNNNNNNNNNNNNNNNNNNNNNNNNNNNNNNNNNNNNNNNNNNNNNNNNNNNNNNNNNNNNNNNNNNNNNNNNNNNNNNNNNNNNNNNNNNNNNNNNNNNNNNNNNNNNNNNNNNNNNNNNNNNNNNNNNNNNNNNNNNNNNNNNNNNNNNNNNNNNNNNNNNNNNNNNNNNNNNNNNNNNNNNNNNNNNNNNNNNNNNNNNNNNNNNNNNNNNNNNNNNNNNNNNNNNNNNNNNNNNNNNNNNNNNNNNNNNNNNNNNNNNNNNNNNNNNNNNNNNNNNNNNNNNNNNNNNNNNNNNNNNNNNNNNNNNNNNNNNNNNNNNNNNNNNNNNNNNNNNNNNNNNNNNNNNNNNNNNNNNNNNNNNNNNNNNNNNNNNNNNNNNNNNNNNNNNNNNNNNNNNNNNNNNNNNNNNNNNNNNNNNNNNNNNNNNNNNNNNNNNNNNNNNNNNNNNNNNNNNNNNNNNNNNNNNNNNNNNNNNNNNNNNNNNNNNNNNNNNNNNNNNNNNNNNNNNNNNNNNNNNNNNNNNNNNNNNNNNNNNNNNNNNNNNNNNNNNNNNNNNNNNNNNNNNNNNNNNNNNNNNNNNNNNNNNNNNNNNNNNNNNNNNNNNNNNNNNNNNNNNNNNNNNNNNNNNNNNNNNNCCUGAACUCACUGCUUACUUCUAUUCUAAUCUAAGUUUCUUGGAUACGAAUAGAUUCUCUUUUAGUGUUUGAGAUCAGAACUAUGUAGUUGACAAGGAUACAUUGGCUGAUGUGAUUGGAGUUGAAAGAAGGAAAUUCCAACCAAUCAGUGUGUAUUAGUUGUGCGACGGUAGAGCUUGUUCGAGAUAGAAUGGCGGAAGGAAAGAUUUCAUAUUUGAGGAUGCAUGCCUCAAAUAUUUUGCUUCACAAGAUAGUGAUCAACUGCCUCAGACCCAAAUCGACUUCGAAGACCGAUGUUUCAAACUCGAAGGCAAAGCUAAUGUAUGCCAUUAACGCUGGCAAAAAGUUCUCUCUUCCACACACUAUUUUGUUCCACAUGUAUAGAACGAUGGUGAAAGACAAUGGUCAACUUCUUUACUUCGCACUUGUCACUAAGUUAUUCAAACAUUUGAACAUUCAGCCUCUCAGGAUUCUUUGUGUUCGAACAUGCGAUCAAAUGGUGGUGGGACUGAAAAUGGUCUCUAAAAUGCGUCUGAAGGAACUUAACAAGACUUUGGAGCGAUUCAAGGAUAAAACCCCUGUCAAGACUCAUCCAGUUUCUUCAGCUGCAAAACGGAAAGGGAAGGACCCCAUGGUUGCUUCAUCCAAGAAAAGAAGAGCACUCAUCUUGGAGGAUGAAGAGGAUGAUGAUGAUAUCACAAUUUCUGCUCUUGCUUUGAAAAACUUAAGUCGUUCUGUUCCAAAGACAGAGGUGAGACAAGAACAGGAUAAGGAGGAGAUCGAACAAAGGAUCGGAGAGAGAGAAUCAAUGGAGAAAGAAGUAGAGGAAGAAAGGAUUGCUGAAGAAGAAGAAGAAGAGGGCAGGGGUGAACAAGAGGAAACAGAGCAUGAAGAGUACUUCUCACCACCUGAAGGCAAUGAAACAGGGGGGGAUUCUGAGAAAAGAGGUAUAUCUUCAAUUGCUGCUACUAGUGAAGGAAUAAGUCGUUCACCUUGCAGAUUCAGAAGACAUUUAUGCCUCUCAAUUCCCUGAGGAAUGCUAUGAGGUUUCAUCGCCAAAUCUAAGUGAUCGUGCUGACUUGCCAUCAUCUGUCAAUACACCUACUAAUCGUGCAAAAGCCAGUACUUAGACUGAUAAUUCAGCAGAUUUUCGCAGAGUGCUUGAUGUUCUUAUGGAGAUGCAAUGCCAAAUUUAUGCUCUGGGAUGCGAAGUUUAGAACUUGCAGAAUGCAGGUCAAGCCUCUUCAAUUUCUUUACAUGAUCAAAUUCAUGCCCUUACUCUUCAAGUUCAAGCAAAUGCCAAGGGUGAAGAUGUGGCUCAACUGAAGGAGGAUUUGAAAAAGCUGAAAGGGAUUGUCUAGUCAAUGGGAGAUUUCCAACUUGUUCGUGUUCCAAAGCAAUCCUAAUUCCAUUCGCUUUUCAUCUCUACCUUUUUAAUGCUGACAAAAAGGGGGAGAGAUGUGGUGCAAAUUUGAGAUUUGAGAUUUGAGAUUUAAACUCUUGACUUUUUGAUUGACUUUACUUUUGUGUUUGGCUGUUUGGUUGUGACUGGAUUUUGAUUUGGAUUGUUUGAUCGUUUGUUUAUUUUGAGCACUAUUGGUAUUUCAUGGCAAAGAUAGAUGCUUAUUUACAUGACUAACUUAAUUCCUGUGGAUGCAGAUUUUAAUGUUAUCCUUAUUAAGCCAAUUAUCUUUUGUGAGAUAUCCAUGUUUGCUUGAGUAUUGUUUUGCAGGUCAAAGUUAUCCAAAUCUGCAAGAAAGUUUUGUCACCAUAAAAAAAGGAGGAGAUUGUUGGAGAAAACUUCAUUGAGUGUUUUGAAGUUUAAAAAGGUUUCCAUUAGUCUAGUCUGAAGACUUGCAGACUCUUUCAUCAAAGUUUGAAGGCUUCCGAACUGCUAGACUCAAGACUCAAAGUCUAUCCUCAUUAACAGUUUUCUAGACCGUCGAAGAAGGCUUAUUCAGAAUUGAGUAUUUCGUUAAGGAUUUGAUUCUAUCGAUUGAAGAAGAUCUCUUGGCUGGAUAUAGCAUGUCGGAAUCCAUUAUUCAAAUUGAGAUUGAUUCAGGGAUUUUGGAUCUGUUGAUUGGCAAAGUAUAUUUGGAAGGUUCUACUUGUGGAAACCUAGAUCUUGAUUGUAUGGGCGAACAUGAUUGGUGGGCUAUCGUCAUAUUCCUUAAAUAACUCGAAAUCUCCUUAAUUGAUUAUGUCCAACGGAUAGAUUGGAAGAACUCCUUUGGUAAGUGCCAACGGGUGUGAUGGCAUGAAGGAGUAUAUAAGGAAGACGUACCAGUUAUUCGAGUGUGUGUGCGAUAGAAGAAUUCCAAAGUCUGAAGCUCCUUAUUCUUAGUCAAUUCAAUUGUUGAGCAAAAUAUUGCACUCAAAAGAGAUUUUAUAUUUUUGUGAGACAUUGAGGAAGUGUAGCAGAGUCUCUACACUGUGGAAUCAAGGAAGAGCUAUACUAUAACAACUCUUUUGAUUCGUAGUAAAAUCCAGCCGGUGGGCUGUCAGUCCGGAAGAGUGGACGUAGGCUUGGAUUAAGCCGAACCACUAUAAACUUGUAUUCUUAUUCUCUUACCUAAGCUCUUUUACUUUGAUCGUAAUUUAAUUUGAUUAUUAGAGUCUAAUUUCAUUUUCAUAAUCUAUUACUGAUCAGAGUUGUUUUAAAAGUAAAAUCACUCACUCUGGAAAAUUUGUUUUCGCACCUAUUCACCCCCUCUAAGUGCUCGUACUAGCUUUCACACAAAUGACCCAAUUCAAGGGUAGCCUAAAUUUGGUGGGUCGUGUUUGAUUUUGAGCUGCUCCAUUGUAAUUGAAAGAAAAAAGGGUUUAGUAAGCAUUUCUCUUGCUUGAGGAAUUUCUCUCCAAUAGUUAGCAACGUUACAUAAUCAUGGCUAGCAAGCAUGGCCACUUCCACCAAACCUCUCCAAAGCUUUGGGGUUGUAUAUGUUUUUUUUUUCUUUGGUGACCAAGGAUCUGUCAGAGCAUGCCUUUGUCGGCUUACGCCAAUUUGGAGUCUCAUAGGCCUCCGCAGUGGAGGACCUACAACAACUAUACCUCGAGGAAAAUGGCCUAGCAAGCCACUGCCGGGGCCCCCGCUUGAAUCGCUAGCAAUGCAGGGUUUCGAACUCUUAACCUCCAUGCGUUGGAAGGGGAGCUCUCAAUCAACUGCACUGCCCACGGGUGAGUUUUAGGUAGUAUACGUUAGUCCCCAAUUUUUCUACUAUUAUCUAAUACCCUCUUAACUUUCAUUUUGUUUGAACUGUAAAGGCUCAGUUAUUUUUUCGUUAACCUAUUCAAUGCACGUGCCUUUCAAAAGAUGGAAGUAUUUUUUUCAUCUCUUUUUUUUUUUUUUGAGAAAAUCUCUCGUUUACUCUUAUUUGAUAUAAACUAAAUGAAAAAUAUAUAAAAUUAAAGAAAAAUAAAUUGUGUAUAAUACUAAUAAUAAAAAUAAAUAAAUAUCUAUAAGUUGCGUCUGAUCGUCCAAAUUUCAAUUGGAAUAAGAUUGAAUAAAUGGGAAUUUGAAAUCCUCCAAAUAUCCCUGGAUUGUAAAAAUAUCCCAUCAUAUGUUUUUUGGUAACUAAGAUAGGAUUUGAAAUAUUUUUAAAAAAUAUUUGAAAAUAUUUAGCGUUUGAAAAUCUUUGAAAUUCCCAUCUCCUUAGGGCUUCAAACCUUUCCGAUCACGUGGUUAGUUGGAAAUUCGAUCUCGAUGCAUGACGGUUCCCAACCGGCACGAGUUCACAUAAUUUUUGGAAAAGCCUCGUGGAUAACGAGAGGCACUUCUUGUGGGUUGUACAACCGGACUUCAUCACCAAAGAAGGCCCGUGAGAGGAGAUUCCACAUCACGGUGCCAUUGUGGCAUUCUUGAUGCACAUCAAUUGGAACUCCAUGCGUGAGAGAAAGGUCCCCACGAAGCCAAUGGUGUGUUGGCCGUUCUUUGUCGACCAACUAGUGAACAGGCGGCUUGUGAGUCACACGUGGAAGGUUGAGCUCGACAUGAAGGACAUAUGGAAUUGGAAUGGAAAGGAUGAUCUAUGCGUUGGUGGUGACAACUAACCUAGUAAGGUGACAAUGAUCAUGCUAUGGUUGGAAGUGAUGUUGAUAAGCUAUCUUGGUGGUGUCCUUGUGCAAUGCUGCCGACAAAGCAAUAUAUGAUGCGUCACUCUAUUAGUGAUUUUUUUAUAAAAAAAUUAUAUCUAAUUCGGGAUUAUCCCAUCCCCUAGACUGGAUUUCUUAUUCGGUAUUUUGUCUGAAUGUAUCCAAGUUUAUAUGGUUAUGAAAACGUCACCAAAUAUCGAAUAAGAUAAUUUGUUAUACCACCAGAUUCAAAAUUAGACUACCAAACACAACCAUAAUUAUAUUAAACGGUAAGAAUUUGUUACUAUUUAAUAAAAAUAGCCACUCUGAUAUAACUAAAUAAGAAAUUUUAAGAAUUAUAAUAAACAACAACUAAACGAAAAGGGAAAAGGCCUCGUAAGAUCAUGUGACAAAAUUUGCUUUCAUCGUUAUGUAUAUUUCGGGGGUUAAUUAAUGUAAAUUUGAUUGAUUAACAAAGAAUUUUACAUGAAGAAUAAUCGAUCCCUUGCAAAUUGUGACCCUUUCAAAGGUAAUCCUUAAGGAAGAGCUUUACAUAUGCGCGCGCAACACAUAUAUGAUGGGCAUCGUGAACUAAAAAGUGCCUUCGCAUCUAUAAUAAUUCAAAAAUUUCAAAAAUUUCAAAAAAUUAUAUUUUGUUUUUAGAUAAGUUUGCAAAUUAGCACCUUCUCGGAUGCGAAGGCAGAUAUAACUCGCUCCAUUUUCGGCUCAUACAUCAUAUUUCUCCCUUGCAGAACUAAUUUUUUGGUUAUGCAAAACUAAAAAAAAAAAAAAAAAAAAAAUUUAUCUUAGGCUCUAAUCAUAUCAUAUUACAAAAUUAUUUUAGAUAAAUUUGCAGAUAUGAAUUGCAGACCUAAAUUUUUAGGCCUGAAUCAUAUCAUAUAACAAUUACCACUUUCUUUGUGUAGGCUACUCUCACCUAUAUCAUUUUAAAUAUGAACCUUGAGCUAUUUUGCUGUUCCUACAUAUUUACUUUCUUUUGGGCUGUAUUAUAUGCGGUAGAAUUUCUUAAUCUUUAGAAUCUGGGACAUAAAAGAGGACAUACAUAUAGUUGGGCCGCAUGCAGGGGGGAAGUUGGCAAUCGAGUUUGGUCCAAGAUCCAAUUAUGUAAUUAAUUAUGGUUCGCAUUUCAUUAAAUUAGGAAAAAAUAAACAAAAUCCCUCUGACUUUUAUGGGUUGUACUGCCCUCAAUUUUUUGACUACCACGUAAUAUUGGAACAAUUUUUCAAAAAAUCAUAAGUUUAUUGUAUAAUGACUACUUCAAUCAUAAACAUUUCGAUUGUGUCAAUGUAGUUGUAGACCUUUAAACAAUUUGUCAAACUAGUCUUCAAUCUUUUAACGAAUUGUUAAUUUAGUCAUUCAAACUAAUGUAGACCAAAUGUCAUUGGCAUGACAACCCCAUUACUGCCAAUCUUCCUAUGUGUCACAUGUGAUGAUAACAUAGACAAUUUUUUUAAUUAAAUUCAAUUUUUAUUUCAUUUUAUUUCAUUUUUUCUCCAUUUUUUUUUUAUACAUGGCCUACAGUAGUCAAGAGCUAGUAACCUUUGUCAGCCACCAAAUAAAGGUUAGCAGAGUCACUGGGAAGGGCUUGUGAGCCAUUGCUCAUUGCCAACAAGGGUGUUGCAACCUUUGCCAACCCCAACGAGGGCGUCAUGGCCCUCCCCCAAGCCACUGUUAGUGAGGGCCUAGGUGAGAGCUUGCAAUGCCCUUUACCAAACCUAGUGAGGGCCAUAAUGCCCUCGAUAGAUCUAGUCAGGCAAAGGCAUCGUGACCCUUGCUUCAACCCUCAUUGCCACAGCAAGGGCUUGUGAGCCCUUGCCAGAUCUAGUGAGAGUCGCUGCCCACCUAGUGAAGGCUUUGUGGGCCUUGCCUAGGAGUUGCGAGACCCCUUUAGCCAUGUGAAAAAAAAAAAAAUGAAAGAAAAGAAAAUAUUAAUAAAUUGAUAAUUCUUUAAAAGGUUUAUGACUAGUUUGACAAAUUGUUUAAAUGUUUAAAAUAAAAUUAGCAUAAUAAAAAAUUGAAUUGAAUUGAUAAUCAUAAAAUAAUUUUAAAAUUUUUUAGACAAGUUUCUCACCGAAUAACUCAUGUACUUUUGUUUUCUCAUGUCCCAUGAACCCUGCACUUGAGGUCCUACCUCGCGAGUCUUCUAUUUUGCUGUAAGUGCACAAAAAAUCUGCCAUUGAAAGGACAGAUGAUUUGUAUUAAACGAUUGAACCCGAAAUGAUGCCACUUCACUGUCCCACUUACGAUAAUAAUCAUAUCAUUGUCAAAUCUUGCUAGCUUUUGGUGGAUAUUUCAUUGGGAGAUAGGUCUUUUUUGUAAUGGUAUCCGUCUAGAUUCUGGACCGUCCCUGACUCCAUCAGAGAAAAUCCACGUUCGUGACGGCUCCGGGGCCGACACUACACGUGUCGCUAGGCCACAAGCCCCGCCAAAAUGAUGCUUUUUUGACACAUGUUGAAAUGUAACCCGUUAGAAUGAUACCCUCCGACAACAUCAUUCUUAGCCGCAUGAUAACCUUAUCGAUCAGCGCCAAUCAUGCCCCCAGUUUGACAAUGCCCUCAUUUUUUUUUCCUAACCCAAUAGCAUGGGCACGAAAACCCUUUUUUUUUUUUUUUUUUUCUAAUCCAAUGGCAUGGGCACGGAAAACCAAUUACUUGGACAACUAUGAAACAACUUGCAAGCCUCAUGGAAUUGAACUACUGUAAAUUGAUAAAUAAAUAAAAAAGAUAGUUGGUGAUAGGCAAACCGUCAAUUCAAACUAAACAAAGAUUCUUUUUUAGAAUGUUAUCUUAAUUCAAAUUUAGACUACCAAAAAAAAUAACAUAAUUAUUUUAAAUGGUAAGAGUUUGUUAGCUUUUAAUAAAUACAGCCACCCUAAUAUAAAUAAAUAAAAAAUUGAGAAAAUUCCAAAUAAGAGCCUAAGAUGUCUUCAUUUUUUCAAAUAAGGAUAUAAAGUAGACAUUGUUGCGUAUAAAGAAUUGAAGUGUUAUCAUUUUCUUAAAUAAGAGCCUAAAGUAAUCAUACCAGUUUCAAAUAAGGAUCUGAACUCAUUGUAUGGUGAAUGACAAUUUCGUCUUAUAAAUAUUUUCCAUUUCUCCUUUCUUUUUUCUUUUUUCCAAACUCAAAAAAAUUAAUUAAAAAAAAAAGAACACACACAAGAGGAAGGGCUCCCUCCUAUCUAUGGCCAUUGCCACAUAAUUAGUGGGGCGUGUGGCAAUGGCUGAUGAAGUCAUCGACCCUAGGCAAAGACCCUGGCUUGGGGGUUGAUGACCUCAUCGGCCACCACCACCGCCCCACUAGUGAUGAGGCGGCGGCCACAGGAGGGAGGGCCCUCCCACCUCUAUUUUUGCUUUUUCUUUUUCUUUUAUAAUUUUAAUCUUAUUUAAAUUGUAUUCUGAGGAAAUACUUUUGCUCGAUCGGAAUUUUUUAACGGUUGGCAAGUCAGCAAAACUAGGCCCUUAUUUGGAACAACCGUGACUACUUUAGAUACUUAUUUGAGAUUGAUAUAGCCACUUCAAGCCUUUAUUUGAAACAAAGUCUACUUUAAACCACUAUUUGAGAAAAUUAUGGCAUUCGGGCUUUAUUUUUGGAAGUUUUCCUAAGAAAUUUUAAGAAAUAUAAUAUACAACAACUAAAUAAAAAGGGAAAAGGCCUCGAUAACAUAAAGAUCAUGUGACAAAAUUUGCUUCAAUUGUUGUACGGUGAUAAAUUCAAUCUUAAACCUUUCGAUUGUGUUAAUUUAGCUAUAGUCUUUUAAAUGAAUUGCCAAACUAGUCUCAACCUUUUAGCAAAUUUUCAAAUUAGUCAUUUCGGUUAAUUUUGAUCGAACAUCACAAAUGUGACAACCCAAUCAGCGCUGGCCCUUUUUUACACAUGGCCAGCAGAGCCAGCCACUGGCCAAGAGACAGCAGUCUACAUUGGCCACUGAGCAAAGGCCAGUGGGGCUGCUUGUCACUAGAGAGGGCUUCGCAACCCUUCAAGCCGUCACUGAUCCUAGUGAGAGUGUCACGGCUCUUGCCUAGGCCAUUGUUGACCCUAGCGAGGGCUAGGGCAAGAGCUUGUGAUGCCCUCGCCAAACCAAAAAAGUGUCGUGACGCCCUUGACAGAUCUGGUGAGGUGAGGGUAUUGCGGCCCUUGCCAAAGUCCUCGUUGCCACAGCAAUGGCUUGUGAGUCUAACGGGGAGGUGAAAUUUGUAAGCUUGCGAUCUCCGAUAACUUCUGUUAGAUUCAAAUUCUCUAGUGUUCAAGGUUGUGAAAGCCAACUUGUGUUUGGAUAUUACAACUUUUUGAGAUUAAAACGUUCUAAGAGGUUGUGUUUGGAGUCGAUACUGAGGGAGAAUUGUUUGCUAGUUGAGAAACUUUCUCCUUCUGAAUGCACUUACGGUGCGCUUCAAAAUGGAGACGUGCCGUUACUGACACCAGCUGUUUUGGACUCUUCGCGAGAGGUAUUAUUCUCUUUAUCAUUUUCUUCUCAGAAUGUGCAAUUUCUCUGUUCAGGAGUUAGGGUUGUGGAGCAAUAUGUGCAUGAUUUUCUGUUGUUUUUGGUAUCUCAACAUUAACAAUUCUUCCAUGAACCAAUUUCUUAAACUCCCCCCCACCCUUCCCUCUUCUCUGUCGGCAUGCGCACGUGCACACGCACACACUUUUACUUUGUGCUUAGUAUUGUGGUUGUUACUUAUGUAAAACCAGUAUUAAUUGUCCUAAGCUUAACUGAUCAGGGUCUACAGAAGCUGACCGGUGAAGCAAUGCGGCCCUCGGAUGUAUCUAGAGAUAAUGACGACAUUAAUGGGGGAAAUUCUUCAGGUUCUGAUGCAGAGUACAUGAAGCUUCUUCCGUUUGCUCUGUCCUUUUCCGCUGCUCCUACUUUCUUUCUGAGAUUGCACCUGAAGCUUCUUAUGAAUCAUAGUGUCUCCAAAAUUAGUUUUGUUGAGCUUAAUCAGGAGAAGAGCACUGAAACUGCAAGAAUUUUGGCUCAAUCUAACAUCGCCAUAGAUGACUGCUCAAAGAAUGAUGUGGGAUUCCAUGCUAGCCAAGAAGUUCCAUCAAGAGAAAGUCCUUGUGAUAGGUACUUGCAUUGUGCUAAAGAUGAUCAAGCUGUUCAGCUAGUUGUUUGCGGGGGUACAGAUUUGAGGACCCCUGAGGAUAACCAAAGCAGUGAUCUUCAUGCUGGCAGGAUUCACAGUGGUAAUGCUGUAGUUGGUGAUGAGGUUGGCCAGGUGCAGGAAGGGCAAGGAAACUAACGCAGCAUCAGAGAAAACGUCAAGGCCUCUGCUUGGUGGGGAGAGGAUCACAAAUGGUGCUUGUCCUUCUUUGAAUGGUAUUAAGAUAGAUACUCCCCAUUAUAAUGAAGGUGAUAAGCCUGCCAAUGAUGGAUCCCUGCGUGGUUUGCCGCCUACUGGUAUGGCUUGCGAUAUGAAUGGGCAGCCUCGUUCCCAGUCCAAAUCCCACCGCACCAAGAAUCGUAUGGGCAUCGCAGUAGAAGUAGGUUCAUUUUAUGGACACUUCUCACGUGGUUGGGUCAGAUGCAAAAUCAGACGGUUCCCUGAAUAGUUUUGGCAAUGGACCGAAGAAACCACGGACACAUGUUACUUACUCAUAUCCUUCUGGAGUUUCAGUUCAAGUUCAAGGCCACAGCAGAGGAACAUUCCUCACAAAGAAUCAGGAACUCAAUGAAGAGGGCCUCGAUGUCGCCUGAGUUCCUCAAAAAACUGGGAGUUGUUAUCGUGUCAUGCGACUUGUUAAUUACAGUGGGGGACAGAAUGGAGAAGAGAGUGGGGCAGAGGUGGUACUUGAACUUGUUGAGAAUGAAUGGAACCUUGCAGUAAAAGUUUCAGGAACCAAUAAAUAUUCUCAUAAAGCACAUCAGUUUCUGCUGCCUGGGUCCACUAACAGGUAUACACAUGCUAUGAUGUGGCGAGAAGGGAAACAGUGGACACUCGAAAUUUCAGACAGAAGCCAAUGGGCUCUUUUCGAGGAAAUGCAUGAAGAGUGUUACAACCGAAACUUCCGUGCUGCAUCAGUCAAGAACAUUCCGAUUCCUGGUGUCUACGUGGUAGAAGAUUAUGAUGAUAAUGGAAUGGAGCUGUCAUUUCGCAGUUCUGCUAUCUACUUCCAGCAGGUUGAAACAGAUAUUUAAAUGGCCUUGAAUCCAUCUCGUGUCCUAUAUGACAUGGAUAACGAUGAUGAGUGGUGGAUUUCAUCUCGUCAAAGUUCUUCAGAUGUUAAUGAUAAUGGCUAUGGGCAGAUAUCUGUGGAGAUGUUUGAGAGGACAAUGGACAUGUUUGAGAAGAAAGCUCAUGCUCUACAGCGUGACCAUUUCACAUCCGAGGAAAUGGACGAUUUGCAGUUAGGUGCAGGACCAGUUGUAAGAGGUAUUUAUGAACAUUGGCGGCAGAAGAGGCAAAAGAAGGGAAUGCCAUUGAUUCGACUUCUUCAGGUACCUUUUAAAAUCCUUUUUAUUGUCGUUUAUUGAUUUUUUCCAGAUACACAUUUAUGUGAGUUGCUGCAUUUAAUUUGGCUUUCUGCAAUUACUGUUAAUCUGCCAUCGGGAACAAUUUCCGUCACUCGGUUUUCCAGAUGAACGUUUCCUUGUUGAGAUGCUCAUUUUGUUUUAUUUGGGGUGUACUUUGUUUGAGUGAAUUGCAAAGGAUUGUCGGGGGACCUGUUGGUAUGUGAUUGCUUUGUUCCUCUCUUCCAUGCCCGUUUCAUUUUUAUCUUUUCCUGGAGUCGUUCUUUGGAAUUUUGUCUGAUAUGGGGCUGCUUUCUGCUCUGGAGCAUGUGGAAAUAUCUGGUUUUUGUGAUCUUCCUUUUUCGUUCUUGCAUAAUUGUUAUAUAGUAAUAUCAACUUCUUAGGCCUUCAUGCAUGAUGGUAAUGCUUGGUUUUUCAAUUAAUAGGGCAUUGAGCAUGAAUAAAGAAACAAAUAGCCUUUGAAAUUAGCUCUUAAUUAGUUCAGUUAUUAAUUAGUUGGUUAGACAUAUUAUUCAAAAUCAGAUGCUAAUUUGUAUGUCUCUUUUUUGUUAAUUAGAUCUUCCUGUCAUGAUUAAUCCUGUCUGUUACCUUUGUGUGCACAUAGUGUGCACUCUUUUGAACUUGUGAUUUAAAUGUCAUGGUAUCAAUUAUUCAAUUCAUGCUCAUGCUUUGCAGCCACCGUUAUGGGAAAUGUACCAGCAGCAGUUGAGAGAGUGGGAGCUAGCUUUGAAUAAAGGGAACUCUGCUGCUUCUGAUGGAUGUCAGAAGGCCUCAGCUGCUGAAAGACCUCCCAUGUUUGCUUUUUGUAUGAAACCUGGGGGCUUAGAAGUCCCUAAUAAAGGCUCAAAGCAAAGGUCGCAAAAACGAUUCUCAGUCACGGGGCAAAGCAAUGGUUUUCAUGGAGAUCAGGACAGUUUCCAUGCUUUUGGUAAGUUAUGUGAAUUUUACUAAGCGGAACACUUUUAGGUUAUUUUUUCUUGGAUCCAGAAUCUUGACGUCGUUAUCUUUUUGUUCCUGUCAGGGAGGAGAUUGAACGGACCUAGUUUUGGAGAUGAUAGGGCCGUCUAUUUGGGACAUAACUAUGGACAUGCAGACAAUUCUCAAAUGGCACAGACGUCUCCAUUGGGAUAUUCUCCACGAGAUGUCCCUGGCCAGGGAUAUUUUCCAAUUGGCAAUGAUGGAUUCAAUCGAAAUUAUCCUCCGAGACUACAGAGAUAUAAGUCAAAGAAGUCGUGCUGUUGCAUCUCCUCGACAUUCACAGGUGGUCACUGCCUACAGCAGGGGAGCCACGGGCAGUAAUAAGAAUACCCAUCACUGGAAUUCUCAUCAACAGUUUUCGUCUGAAGGCUCUCAGAGACCAUCUAGUGAGCAGUGGGACCGGACGGAUAUGGAUGAAUAUAAAUUGUUGGAUGCAUCUGGUGCAGCACGGUAUGCAUCUAAUUUAGCUAAGCUUAAGAGAGAGAGGGCACAGAGACUUCUUUGCAAAGCAGAUGUAGCAGUUCACAGAGCUGUGGUUGCUCUCAUGACUGCUGAAGCGAUGAAAGCGUCUUUGGAGGAUAGGAAGGAUGAUGGGUAGGUUAUCUGAAGAUUAUCAGUGAACAGAUUGGUAUAUUUCUCAAUUUGACCCCCGGAGAAUGUGCAGAUGGAAUGAAAAUAUUUCUCUUGAGGCGGGAGCUGGUCCAAGAUUUAUCAGAUGCUGGUGCGCCUUUCACCAAGCACAGUUUUUGAAGGAAAAGUUUGUGGAGAGGGUAUUCAUAGAGAUAUAUUUGGUUAUCACAUUUAAUUGUCGAUAUUUUGGCAGUUUUCUAGUCCAUCCUUGCAAUACCUUAGUGAGAUUCCAGUAGUCUCUUACACCAGCAGCAAGUGUAUGCCUCAUUAGUGCUGCUUGUCGUGUUUAUUUUGCAAGAGCAUUGUAUAGAAUCUUUUGCUACCAUUCUCUGUACAGUCAGCCCACCCCCUCUACCAAUUUAGAAAGGAAAUGAAGAGAGAUUUACCAAACGUAAUUGGUUUUGGCAAGAAUUUGGUUGAUGCUCUGAGUCUGUUCUCCUUAGAUAUCCUUGUCAUCAUCUGUGGCUUCGAAUAGCAGAAUGACAAAUUACCAUGCGAUACCUUUUUAUCUUCUCUUGUACAUAGGGCGAUGAGUCUCUGAAGCUUGUGGCCUCUUUUUCGCUUCUUGAGCAAUCACUGCAUUUGAUCUGUGGCAUUUAGAUUAUGUAUUAAGCUUAUGUUGGAAGAUACGCAAGAUAUCUUCAGAUCGCAUUGAAUAUUUCUCAGAUCAAUUAAGAUCAAAUCAGGGAUCAAUUAAUAUCAAGUCUAGUUUGUACAUUAUUUAGUUCCCUUUCUCAUUAUACAUGUCUUGUAAUAUAAACAUUGAUAUUGUACGUACAGACAUAUACAGAGAAUACUCAAAAACUUCUCUUCUCAAUUUUCCCUUUUCAUAUUCUUACAUGGUAUCAGAGCCCUUAUGGUUCUGACAUAGCUUCCGCACUUGUCUUUGAAUUGCCUUCCAUGAUCUUCUGUUCUUGGCUGUCGUUACACUUGCAAACCAAAACAGCAUCCGACAGGAAUUCUUGAUUCUUCGCUCUUUGGCCAAUCUGCAGAACAGAGUUACUGCAGAAUUUUUUUCUUCAUCAUGACAAACCCAGAAACACUUCGCCCAAGCCCUCCACUACGCCUUACGAUCCGUGAGGCACUUCGCGAAAGCCAUGGCUCGCGAGAUGGAGGCGGCAAACUGGAACCUCGACGAGGCCAUCCCAUUCAUCAAGCCGCAAGCAAGGUUCGCGAAGCCCGGCCACCGGCACUUCGCCAUCGAAUCGUUCGAGGCCAGAUCGAUCUUCGAGGGCUUCAACUUCCCCGACGGAGGAAGAGCUCGGUUCUGGCGGAGGCGGUGGCGGUGGCGGUUUGGAGCAACGACGCCCUGGACGGCCGAGCGAGCGGCGGCAAGAGGUGGUGACGGUGGCUUGGGGACGGCGGCGAGGAGCGGCGUGGACGGCGCGACAGCUCGUCGGGCUCAACGGCGAGACGGCUUGUCGGACGAGCGGUGGGUGGUGGUGGUUCGGUGGCCAAGAGGUGGUGGUGAGUAGGGCGUGGGGCGGCGGUGUGGUGGUGGGUGAAGCAGCAGCUACCAAGAGGAGGAGGAAGAAGAAGAAGAAGAAGAAGAAGAAGAAGAGGUAGGGUUUCGGCCGAGAGAGGGGGAAAGAGGAGAGAGAGAGAAGAAAAGAAAAAAGUUGGGGGGGCAAGAAGUGACGUGACGAGGGAAAAGGGGAGAAAAGAAAGAGAGAGAGAGAAAAGAAANNNNNNNNNNNNNNNNNNNNNNNNNNNNNNNNNNNNNNNNNNNNNNNNNNNNNNNNNNNNNNNNNNNNNNNNNNNNNNNNNNNNNNNNNNNNNNNNNNNNUUUGAACGGACCUAGUUUUGGAGAUGAUAGAGCCAUCUAUUUGGGACAUAACUAUGGACAUGUAGACAAUUCUCAAAUGGCACAGACAUCUCCAUUGGGAUAUUCUCCACGAGAUGUCCCUGGCCAGGGAUAUUUUCCAAUUGGCAAUGAUGGAUUCAAUCGAAAUUAUCCUCCGAGACUACAGAGAUAUAAGUCAAAGAAAUCUGGUGCUAUUGCAUCCCCUCGACAUUCACAGGUGGUCACUGCCUACAGCAGGGGAGCCACGAGCAGUAAAAAGAAUACCCUUCUUUGGAAUUCUCAUCAACAGUUUUCGUCUGAAGGCUCUCAGAGACCAUCUAGUGAGCAGUGGGACCAGAUGGAUAUGGAUGUAUAUAAAUUGUUGGAUGCAUCUGGCGCAGCACGGUAUGCAUCUAAUAUGGCCAAGCUUAAGAGAGAGAGGCCACAGACACUUCUUUGCAAAGCAAAUGUAGCAGUUCACAGAGCUGUGGUUGCUCUCAUGACUGCUGAAGCGAUGAAAGCGUCUUUGGAGGAUAGGAAGGAUGAUGGGCAGGUUAUCUGAAGAUUAUCAGUGAACAGAUUGGUAUAGUUCUCAAUUUGACCCCGAAGAAUGUGCAGAUGGCAUGAAAGUAUUUCUCUUGAGGCGGGAGCUGGUCCAAGAUUUAUCAGAUGCUGGUGCACCUUUCAUCAUGCACAGUUUUUGAAGGAAAAGUUUAUGGAGAGGGUAUUCAUAGAGAUAUAUUUGGUUGUCACAUUUAAUUGUCGAUAUAUUGGCAGUUUUCUAGUCCAUCCUUGCAAUACCUUAGUGAGAUUCCAGUAGUCUCUUACACCAGCAGCAAGUGUAUGCCUCAUUAGUGCUGCUUGUCGUGUUUAUUUUGCAAGAGCGUUGUAUAGAAUAUUUUGCUACAUUCUCUAUACAGUCAGCCCACCCCCUCUAUCAAAUAAGAAAGAAAAAAAGGAAAUGAAGAGAGAUUGACCAAACGUAAUUGGUUUUGGCAAGAAUUUGGUUGAUGCUCUGAGUCUGUUCUCCUUAGAUAUCCUUGUCAUCAUCUGUGGCUUCGAAUAGCAGAAUGACAAAUCACCAUGCGAUACCUUUUUAUCUUCUCUUGUACAUAGGGUGUUGUACUUUAGCUAGUUAGCUAGUACGUCCAUGAUGGGGUGCGAUUGGACCGCACCAAUUGGACUUGAUAUGCUACGAUGGAAAGGCACAAAUGGAGGGGUACGAAGGGAGACGUAUAAAAGGCUCCCGAACAUAACCGUUGGAUUAGUUGGCAAUUCAUUCGUACCAAAUUUUCUCUCCAUUUCCAUCAAAGAAGAUCAAUGCAUUCCAUUUCAUCUUUGCAAGAACAAUCGGCAUUUACGCCGUGGAAAUCGGGUGUUUUCCUUGUAAUUGCAUCCAGACUAACGUGAGGUAGUGUUGUUCGUGAUUUAUUCGUAAUUCAACGUUCGUUCCGGGGCUAUUUGCUGUUUGCGCAUCAAAAUCAGGUAAGUCAUCUUCCGCCGACUCGAAUUCCAACAUUGGUAUCAGAGCCCGAUCGUGAUUUCUGCCUUGUUUUUCAUCGAGUUUUCUCAUUUACCAUUUGAUAAUGAGAUCAAGAGAUAGUAUUCUACACUGUUUGGAUCUCUGAUAGUCAGAAUUGCCCUAUGAAAAACUCGAAAUUGAACCGGAGCGAAGAACGGGUUUGGGGUCGUGUGCACCCGUGAGGUUUUGGCCAUAAUUCGAAAUGAUUUUUUGGUCAAAAUUAAUUUUUGAAUAUACAGGGUGAAAGAGCUCGUCGAGACGAGUCCGGAAGUGGGUCGAGCGCCGCCGGGAGACGCCGGACGCGCCCACAUGCGCGGCCAGAAGCCGCUGCGCGUGGGCGCCACGUGCCUCAAGCGUUGGCACAGCCAGCGCAUCUGCAACAUGCACUGGUCAGCGAACCGGUACGUGCGCGACGUUUGCCAGCCGGCGAAUCGACACAUGCCGGUCGGCGAACCGACGCGUGAUGACGUCACCCAACGGUUGGUAACCGCUGGGAUGACGUUAGCGCCGACGAUAGUUGGCCGGCCGGUCACCGGCCGGCAACCCGACCCGACCCGACCCGACCGUUGACCAGUCAACCGGUCCGGCGGUCAAACCGGUCGGACCGGCCAGGAGCCGUUUGGCUCGUUGGCGCGUGCGCCACACGCGCCGCGCACUCAGGCGGCGCGUGGGGGCGCGUGCGAGCUCCGAUUGGAGCAUGGUUGGUGGCGUUUGGUUCGUAUGAGUGUCCUCUACACAAUGGUAUAAUUAUUUUAUACUUUUGAAUUUUAUAAAUGUAUGAAAAUGCUAAGGGAACCCUAUGUACGCGUAUUUUUUUGGGGUUUAAUGCAGCUUAUUCAUUUGUAGCUUGUAUUUUCUUGUGAUUAGGGAAAUACAGUAGCUAGCUUGUGUGCAAAUGAUGUUAUAUAUGCUGUGUAGAGCUUGGUUCAAUGAUAUGAUGUAUAGAUUUUAAUAUACUUGCAAUUUUCUAGUUGCUAGAAAAUUAGAACAAUGGUAGGAAAUCCAUUACAUGUUGAAUUGCAUAGUUGAAGCAUGAUUGUUGUUUAUACGUUGGUUAUUAUCAUGCUAUGUUUUUGUGUUAAGGAAAAAUGUAGAAAUUACAUAAGGUCAUGUAAUUAUUUUUUUCCUAGUGGGAGUUCAUAGGUUGGUAGAAUUUGAAAUAGUUCUCACCUAGAACUUAACAUUUGCGCAAAUUAAACUAAUUAAUGAUAAUAGAACAAUUGUACAUAGAAGUUGAUUGGGAACAUAGUGAACUUUUGCUUUUGUGUCUUUUGUUGAAUUAUCAUUAAUUUAGUUUGUUUUUGCUGCAAAUCAAAUAUGUGUGUUACUAUGUAAAGUGUGCUAGUAUUGAUUCUGCGUUUAUUAUGUUAAUGUGUUAUAGCAAUUGAUUAUGGCAUCGGCAUCCAAGACCAUUGUGGCUGACCUCAAUAAGGGUGAGAAGCUGAACGGUGACAAUUAUGAUAUUUGGCACCGAAAGGUUCAGUAUAUCCUUGAGGAGCAAGAGGUUUUGGAAACCCUCAACCAUACCAUGGAUGAACCUGAGCAUGGAACUUCAGCUCAACACAGGAGAGAUCUGGAAGCUUAUCAAGCUUGGAACCGGGAACCGGAUCGGUUCCCUCAAGAACCGCCGGUUCCGGGCGGAACCAGAUCGGAACCGGGCGGUCCGGACGGUUCCCGGAUAUUUUACACACCCCUAAUAGAGCUGUAUUUAGCGCUGCCCUUUCGUGGUAUUAACCCAAAACUAAAACCUUUGAAAUAGGCAUGCAACAUAUUUAGUUUUUGACUGUGCUUGUGUUUAUAGUUCCAGUGAUACAAUGCACAUCUGUACAUUAUAGGACUGAAGAGGUGAGAACAGCAAAUCGGCGAUGCGACUUCUUGAUGAAUUUGCAAUGAUUUUGUUCUUUUUAUUUUUAAUCAAUUCAACACUUUACUGCAUCCCCUCUACAAAGCAGCUAUUAUUUCUGGGAAGGGCUGUGUAUUUUAAACUGUAUUUUUUUUUUUGGACAAGUGUAUUUUAAACUGUAUUAAGUGAAGUAGAUUUGAUUAGUGAAAUAGUGAUAAAGCAUGUUGGGAAUUUUUCUUUUUUUUGGGUAAUUUUAGGCUUCACUUAUUAUAUUCUUAGUUAUAAUUAUACCAUUAAGCAUUUGGAUUAAUACUACAAAAAAAUUCCAAAAUGGUACACUUGUGCCACAUUACCCAAAACUAAUUUACAUGUCAUAAAAAAAAAAAAAAACUCCAUGCCGGUAUGCUUAUGUCACAUUUACCCCAACUAAUUGUUGUAUCACGAAAAAUCUCAAAGUAGUAUUCCAAGUCAUAUUUAACUCAAACUAGUGAAAAGAUCCCAAAAUUUGAGAUAAAUGUGACAUGAAUAUAUUAGUUUAAGAUAAAUGUGUCAUGAAUAUGUCAAUUAGUCCUAAACAUUUUAUUAUUGUUUUAAAUAUAUAUAUAUUAGAUGAACUUUUGGAUUAUACAAAAGUUGUCUUCCUUCUUGGAUCAGGAUUGCAGAAGUCCGAUUACUUCCAUAUAUUACACUCUUUAGUAAAUGUGUUUAUACUCUUAUUAUUCCUACCCAAAGUUUCUAAUUCCAAUGCAUAUUGCAACACAAUAUAUUUUAUUAAGAUGGAAUGAGGAGUACGGAUUGUAUUUGUCUUCUUAGGAUAGUGGGUUGAUUUUCUUUCUGAUUUGCAAAACUAGAUAGUUUAAUAUUAUUUUAUUUGUGAAAAAAACAAAAUAAUAUAUGAUGAGUCGAUGACGUGGCUUUUUAAAGUUUAGAUUGGAAAAUAGGAAAAAAUUUAAAUAAGGGCAAGAAAUAUCAUUAUUUAUUCAAAUAAAAGUUUGAAGUGGACAUUGUUUUAAAUAAAAGCUCAAAGUACAUUUAUUUUCUUAAAUAAGAGUCUGAAGUGAACAUUAUUUCAAAUAAGGAUUUGAAGUAGUUAUAUCAAUUUUAAAGAAGGGCUCGAACUCACCGACUAGUGAAGGGCAAUUUCGUCUUUUAAUUUUUUUUUCCUUCUUUCUUUCUUUUUCUAUUUUUUCUUUUCAUAAAAAAACAAACUAAAAACAAAAACUUUAAAACAAGAGAAGCAAAAAUACAAGUGGGAGGGCUUCCUUUGGUUUGUAGUUGUUGUCCCAUUGCCAAUGAGGCAGCGAAGAUGGCUGGUCGGGUCGUCGGCACUUGGGUGAGGGUCGUUGGCCCUUGCAUAGGCAUGGUGGCCCUCACCCAAGGGCCCCAAACCUUACUACCUAGGCGUUCGCGAUCUUGUUGGCCAGCGUUGUUGACCCACCAGCGAUGGGGCAAUGGCCAUAGGAGUCCUCCUGCUUGUAUUUUUGCUUCUUCUUUUAUUUUUUAAUUAUAUUUAAUUAUAUUUAUAUUUAUAUUUAAAUUGUGUUUGAAUGAAAAUAUACUUCGAGAUUCAACCUUUAUUUAAAACAAUUUUAACCACUUCAAGUUCUUCUUUGUGAUUGAUAUAAUAUCUUUAGACUUUUAUUUGAAAUAAAAUCUACUUUAUGUCUUUAUUUUAAAAAAGUAAGGGCAUUUCAUGUCUUUAUUUGAAUUUUUUUUUUUUAAAAGUAUGCAAUCACUUUUUUUUCCCUUCUUGUGACGAUUCUCCAGCCAAACAAUGAAGGCCGACUAACUGACAGCUAAAAGAUGAUUGAUGUAAUGGAAAGCUGCUACAUAGGAACUUUAGCUUUAAUUAUUACUAUAUUUUUCUCCUUUUUAAUUAUGCAUAUAGCUGGAAUUGGAAAGCGAAAAACAAUUAGAAAAGUCAUCGGAUGAGUGGUGUGGAUUUUGAUUUUGAUUUUUACUUGGGUGAGAACAAUACUCCACUACUGGAACUGCUGAAUAGUCAAGGAUUAGGAUAUGCAGUUUUACCAGUGAUGAUAUCUAUGAAAUUACUGGUUUUUUUUUUUUUUUUUUUUUUUUUUUUUUUUUUUUUUUUUUUUUUGGGCGGAAGAAGUCAUUUUUACAAUGAAAAUGUCAGAUUCUUUCAUAUUAGCGAAGAAAAUUGAUGUUUUUAGAACAAAUAUUUGUCGAAAUUGUUAGGUAAGAAAAUUCAUGUCCUCCCUUUAAACAAGCUUGGCUUGUUAUUGACGACAGAGCCUUGUCUAUAAACAACAGAUUAGGCGAACAUAAGGCCAACUGCACUUCUUUUCAAACAUCAAUUGUACUCCAAAGCACAGAAAACUGUUGCCCAGAGUGCUUGCGGCCUUAACAGUUCCAUUCCCACAUCUUAAAUACUUGCAGAAAAUACAAACAACAAAUUCCAUCUCUUGAUCUUAAAUUCGAGAGUAUCAUACCAACAAAAAGUAAUAGAACAUAUCAUGCUCCCAACUUUUUAAACAGCUACUUCUAAUUGAUUUUCCUCUUUCUUGGUGAUCUCGUAGAACCAACCACUUCCAAUGUCCUUCAAAUGCUCCAUCGCUUGUUUCCAUUUCUCUUGCUUCUUUUUCAUACUGUCCUUGUGCUGCCCGAUGAAAGAAAUGCAUGCUAUCAAAUCAAAUUUCACAUCUUUACGUAACAACUCGUUUACUACAAUAAAGUUGUACCUCUAAUGAUGCUAAAUUUGUGAGAUGAUCUUCCGACAUUCUCAGCAUUAACCACAACAUUGUUGGUAUUUCUUAGUAGAGAAAUGACUCGAUUGUCUUCCCAUCCAGGCUGCUAAGAAUCACAUACUCAACUUAAUAGGGCAUUGAUAAUCAUUCGAGUACAUAGUUUCUUCAAAGCAGGAUUGAAGUACCUUUUGAGUGGAGGCAUCGUUAUGACAUCUCCGUGGUAAGUUGAUUGACUUCUCUUUGUCUGAUUCUCUCUUCAUCCUGUUCACUUAAGAAAGUAAAGUCUGAAAAUAAUGACACAAACAGAAACUAGAGACACAGAAUGAUUGAACCUUACUUAUCUUUUGUUUCAAUAUGAUUUCAGUGCCUUGUCUUGACACUUCAAAUCCAUUUUUGGAUUCUCCUCCUUCUAUUAUCUUGUUUUUUUAAGCCUACUAGGCAUAAUUCGAGGCCUUGGUGCCACCAAAGGUUCUUAAUCACUGGAAGGUCAAAUGAGUGAAUGACGCACAUUAUUAGCUGAUGCCAGAAGAGGGAACUGAUUUAUAGACCUACUACUGUUUGUAAACUUAGUAUCCGAUUUGAUAUGAUGCAAGCUGUAAUAGAAUUUCGACAGAUAACGUUUCAAGGAGGAAAUAUAAUGGGCAACUUGUAGAAUCAAGACAGGUCAAGAAAAGUCUAAGAACAGAAAGUGCACCAAGCUUAACUAAUCAGAGUGCAACUGGGAUAAUGAGUAAUCUGAGCACAUGCGACUGCUCCAAUUAUUGACAGGGGGACAUGACAAAUUAUUGCACAUUUGUUUUUGCAAAAUAAAUGGUCAAUUGGAUUCCAGAAUUGCAUGUUCAUGAUAGCUUAACCUUUUUUACAAUUGAGCUUCAAUAUCCCAAAUAGAGCGAAAUCUCAAAUGCACGGGAAAAGUGUUAAAAAAAAUCCUAAAUCUUUUGCAUUUAUGCCAAUUUAGUCCUAAUUUUUUUUUGGUGCUAAUUUAGUCCUAAACCUUUUUACGUUGUGCCAAUUCAGUCUUUUUCAGGCAAUUUUGGCUGAAUUUUGCUGACCGGAUGCCGGUCGGCUAUCAUGGUCUGAUCGGCGCUGACGUGGAUAACUUUUAAUAAUAUUUUAAUAUUUUAGAUUUAUUUUUAUUUUUAUUUUUAUUUUUAUUUUUUCUUAUUUUUUCUUAUUUUUUCUUUCUCCUUCUUCCAGCCGGUCGCCGAGGUCCGGCGACUGGCCAGAGGUGAUAGUCAACGAGGUCGAGGUCGACCUUGUCGGCCACCUCACUAGUGGCCACGAGGGCGGCCUCGUGCCAGGCGGGCAAGCCUCGCCCUUGCCGGAUCUGGCGAGGGUCAAGCGUCGCCGGACCGCCUGGUGGGAGGCCGCCCUCGAGGCUUUGGGGGUGAGGCUCGCCCUCGUUGGAUCUGGCGAGGGUGAGCCUCGCCGCCCAAUGUGAGGCCACCCUCGCGGCCACUGGCGAGGUGGUCGGUGAGGUCGACCUUGACCUCACCGGCCGUCACCUCUGGCCAGUUGCCGAGAUUCGGCGACUGGCGGGAGGAAGGAGAAGGAAUAAAUAAAUAAAAUAAAUAAAAUAAAAUAAAUUCAAAAAUAUUAAAAUAUUAUUAAAAAUUGUUCACAUCAACACCGAUCAGGCUAUGUCAGCCGGCCGGUGUUCAGUCAGCAAAAUUCGGCCAAAAUUGGCCAGAAAAGACUGAAUUGGCACAACAUAAAAAUGUUUAGGACUAAAUUGGCACCAAAAAAAGAUUUAUCACUAAAUUGGCAUAAAUGCAUAAGGUUUAGGACUUUUUUUAACACUUUUCCCGUAUUAAUCCUAAAGAAAAUCAUUUAUCAAAUUGUGGCCAGAAGAAUCAUUUAUCAAGCAAACUAUGAAAAUAAUCAAUGACAUGGAGCGUCCCCAACCGCGUGGAAAAAAAAAGGAGGAGAGGAUUUUCCUGCUUUCAGAUCGAAGCUGGGUGGGAGAUGAAGCUUCGAGGAAGUUGUGCGUCCCGUAUUGGAAAUUCGUCUUCAUUUACAUUGUAUUUUUGUGAAUAUAUUUUUAGGAUGUAAAUAAUACACGGUUCGUUGUCGUGGGUGGGUCAAUGAUUGACCUCAUGUAAAUCCAUGUGCGAAGUAUUUACGUCUCAGAUUCCUAGUGGGAAAUCGUCACAAGUAUCCCAGAAUGGGCAGCGUCGAGGAGGAGGAUGGUCCCUUUCGUCCCCUUAAAACUGGCCGUGUUUCUAGAGGCCGACCCGAGAUUUUUUCACCCGAGACACGGUCGAUGUGACAUAAUAUAAUUGAUAAGAGUGUACAGUGAAAACCUUAGACAAAUGCCACUUGAUUCCAAGGGCGUGCCUGGCAAAUUGGCGAGAGAUCCAGUUUCUGAAGUGGAGAUGAGACCCCUUUUGUGCCCGUGACGGAUUUUAGGAGCUCGAAACUAGUGAUUAGACCAGCUUGAUAUAGAACAGACUAGUACCUAAGGACCGAUAUUUUCCUUUUUUCUUGAAACCUUAACUUGAAAUUUUUAUCAAACCUAAUCUUCUAAAUAGUGACGAUGGACUAGAUAAUGAGAUAUCAGAUUUCCAUUAAUAUUGAUGAAUUUUACAAAGUCAAAUCAAUUUUUGCUCCACAAAGUUUGUAUCUUUAGUCCUAUUGAUCCAAAAUAGUCAAUUCUAUCACAGAACCGAUUUGAUGACAGCAUAAAACCAUUUUUUGGGGGACCUUGACCGUCAUUCACUGUGAAACUGAUCCGACAGAAUCUGACAAAAUUUGGUGAAAAAGCAAAAGUUGCAAGGAGAAUUCGGCACUCAGCAUAAAUAUGGCAGCUACUUUGAAGGCGAAGGCAUGAGUUAUAAGAACCGCAACGGCGAGGACAUAAGAGACAGACAGAGACGCGUAGGGACGAAGAGAAACUGAAAAGCUCUUCUAGACGUUGAUGUGCUAUAAAAAAAGCAAUAAUAAAAUUUAGGGUUAAAUAUCCAGAAUACAUUUAUAAUAAAUCACCAAAAACCUCAAAUUAACAUAUUUGUGAUAAAUUUUCCUCCGUUAGUUUCUGUUAAAUUUGAUUACUAUCACAAAAAGCCACAAAUUAAUACACAUGUGACAAAUGGGGAGGGUAAAAUUCCAAAUUGGUACAAGUGUCUAUUGCCAUGUGUCAUUCAACUUAGCAAUUUAACACGGAUACUAAUGGAAAAUAAAUUUGUUACGGAUAUAUAGUUUGGAGUUUUUUGUGGUAAAAAAAAUUAGUUUUGAUAAAUUUGUCACAUGUGAACCAACUUGAGAUUUUUCAUGGUAUUACAUCAAUUAAUAAUCUCACUUGUAGUUCUUCAACUCAUUUAAAUUAUCCAAUUGAAUUCUUAGAUUUUUAAAAUCUAAGUGUAUAACCUAAGAUUUUAUAUUGUUAAAAUGACCAUCAUUCCAUUGGCAAAAAAAAAAAAAAAAACCACCACCUAAAAUCAACCUUGGCGAAAUUUAAUAAUCUUAUUUGACUUUACUUUUACUUGUCUUAUUAAUCCACAAUAUGAAUUAUCAUUUAAAAAAUAAUUGGCAUUGACAUAAUUUAUAACUUUUUAUAAGAUACACCUCUACUUCAUAUUUUUCUACAUUUAUAAUUCUAUAAAUAUAUAUUAAAAUUUUGCAUCUAAAGAAAAUUAUUAGAGAUGGACUAUCCGAGGAAAAAUUAGAAACAUAAAAUUCAUAUGAAGAAAAUAGGGAGAUCGUAAAGAGGGGAGGGGGAAUGGAGAUGGAGAUGGAUUACAUACAUUUGAAUAGUAUAUGAGUUUGGCUUUGGGCCUAGUGAAAAAGAUUACAACCAAGAUGAAGAAUAGAACCAUCUAAAUUGUUCUUGUUCAAAGAGCAAGAUUAAUCCUAAGACAAAGUUUAGUCCAAGUGUCUAGGAGCUGAACUUCCUUCAACCAAGCCCCUACUUGGAUCCAUACCUAGCCUGAAUCUUAUGCAGUUCCUUGAGAGCUUCGGCCACGUCCAUCCGAUCUUGCGGUAACUCCAUCGAGCAUGCAACUCCAAUUCUUAGGACAGAGGCAACACAUCCUCUCAUCCUCUCAAUGUCAUUCUCACUUUCUCCGUUAAAAAUGGCCGAGUCCACGAUCUCCAUCGCUCGGUCUGGCAGAGCCACCUUGACAAAGUUGUGGAGAUUUGAAUGGUCCUUGAAAGUCUCUUCUGUGGGUCUCCUCCCAGUUAACAUUUCCAAUAAAAGAAUACCGUAGCUGUACAUAUCGCCUUGUGUGGAUAGCAUAUCCCACAUGCCAUACUCUAAAAUAGUGUACGUCAAGCAGUAUAUAAUGAAAAUAAAUAUUUUAUCUAAAAGCAAAACACAAAUAAGACUUAGACAAUUAAUGAGAAAAUUUUCUUACCAGGAGGGAUAUAACCUACGGAACCCCUCACUACCAAUGAGCUACCGUUGUCAUCAAUGUCCAUGGCAUCUGUUUUUGUAAGGGAGCUAAUUGUUGCUAGCCCAAAAUCCCCAACUCGUCCCAUCAUCUCGUUGUCCAAAAGGAUAUUACUUGGCUUCAGAUCUCCGUGUACAAUCUUUGGGCUGCAAACCUCGUGAAGAUAUUUGAUUGCAGAAGCUAUGUCAAUGGCAAUGUCUAACCUUUGCAUUAGUCCCAAAUGCCCUGGCUUUCCAUGUUCAUGUUCAUGCUCAACAUCCUCUUUGUUUCCUUGGUGUAUCCAAUUCUCUAAACUCCCAUUAGCCAUGUAUUCGUACAAUAGAGCUUUGAAAUUGUUGCCAUGAUAGUCCACGCUUGAACAAACAUUCACUAUUUUCAUGAGAUUUCGGUGUCGUAUAGCCCCUAAGGUUCGACAUUCCGAGACGAAGCUCUUCGAAGCACCUAUGUGGCCUAAGUUGAGCACUUUAACUGCCACCAAGCCGCCUUCCUGUGUGGUUGCUUUAUAGAUAGUACCAUAUCUCCCUUUACCAAUCACAUUGAUCUCAGAGAAUCCGUCUGAGGCUCUAAAGAGCUCCUCAUAAGAGACCAUCGGAAAUUUGUGUUUAAAUGGAAAUUCAAUCCAAGAGGUAUUCUUUUUCAACUUCUUUCUCCGAUACCAAAAGAUAAACAGGCAAAGACACAUAAUGAAGUAUGACAAGACGGCCGUCACUGUGGCAAUUACUCUAACUUUGCUAGUCCAUAAUGGUUUAGAGGUAUUCGAUCUGCAAGAAGGAAGGUUUAGUUCUGCAAUACCUCCACAAAGAUUCCCAUUCUCAAAGACAGACACUGCACUAGCAUUGAGAAAUACUCCGUGCUUCGGAACUUCUCCUUCAAGCUUGUUUGAAGAUAGAUUCAAGUACUUUAGAUCUGUAAGUUGAGCGAGAAAGCUCGGGAUCUCACCAGAUAAGUUGUUAUGGGAAACAUCCAACUCUUGUAAGCCUCGUAAUGUGCUUAAAGCCAGAGGAAUUUCGCCAUGAAAGGAAUUGAAUGCUAAGCUGAGCCGCCACAAUACUAAGCACUUGCCGAUGGAGCUAGGAAUUGGUCCCAUUAGCUUAUUGUAAGAUAGAUCCAAUUCGCCAAGAUUGAUCAAGGACCCAACUUGAGACGGGAGAGAUCCGCUCAACUGGUUAUGUGCCAAGUUGAAGAUAAUUGAAAUGGUAGAAAGGCCAAGAACCUCCUCUGGGAUUGAACCACUCAGAUAAUUAUUGGAAAGCUCAAGCUCGAUUAGCUGCCUGCAUUUACCAAGACUCUGCGGUAUUUCCCCAUAGAAGUUGUUGAACGGCAAGUAAAAGAAAUUCAAUAAUGUCAAAUUGCCGAUCGAUGAUGGAAUCUCACCCGUUAGCAUGUUUCCGCUUAAGUACAAUUCAUGCAAGUUAUGGAGUGCUCCAAUACAAGAAGGAACACGACCACCAAGCGAAUUGUUUGAUAAGUCAAGAUAGGACAAGUUGAAGAGAUUGCCAAUACUUGGAGGAAUGGUUCCGUACAUUGUGUUGGACGACAUAGAAAUUAAACUAAUGCUAUUGGAAAGAUUGCCAAUAGAAUCCGGCAAUUGACCUUCAAGAAAAGUGAAAGCCAACAAAAUAGCUUCUAGCCUUGAACAAUUAGUCAAUGGGGUAAUGAAACUGAAGUCAUCUCGCAACUCGUUAGAAGUAAGGGAUAGUACUCUAAGAGCUUUUAGCCUUGCAAGAUUUGCGGGCAUCGGUCCGUGAAAACUAUUAAUGUUAUAGUAGAUGUAUUGAAGGCUAGAGGCAUUUGAUAAGGACGGAGGUAUAACCCCAGUAAAAAAAUUACUAUUAAAAUCAAGAUGAAGGAGAGAAGGAAGAGUAUCACCAAUAUAAGGAGGAAUGCUCCCUCUCAAUUGAUUGUUACCGACGCUGAAAUAGAAAAUGCCGGACAUGUUGAAGAUUGUUGGAGGGAUCUCGCCGGUGAGUUGGUUAUAUGCCAAUUGAACAAAACUCAAACCAUGAAGCUUGGACAAUGUCUUGGGAAUCUCUCCUUGCAACCCAUUUUUCAUGAGUGAAAGCUUGGAAAGUUGGGAGAGAUUUCCAAUAGAAUGAGGAAUAGAUCCUACAAGAUUGUUUAUAGCCAAACCUAAAGCUUGAAGCUUUGACAAAGAGCCGAACUCAUUAGGAAUUUUUCCUACAAAGUGGUUACCAAUGAGAUUUAAAAUCUCAAGGUUUGAGCACUGAGAAAGAUUGGUGGGCAUUUGUCCGCCCAAAGAGUUGUUACUAAGGACGAGACGACGAAGGCGAAACAAGUGGCCAAUGCUUUGUGGAAUUUCACCGCGAAAGUUGUUAUUCUGUAGAAUGAGGCUUCUCAAGAAAGAGAGGUUUCCGACAUGAGGUGAUAGAAGACCCCCCAAGCCUUUCGACAUUAGGUUGAGGGACACGACUCUUUCGGGAUGGCGUCCACCACAUAUCACACCUUGCCAUUCACAGUGAUGAAAAGAGUCAUUCCACGAGCUCAAAGCUCCAAGCGGAUCCUCAUCCACACUAUGUCUGAAGUAGAUUAAAGUGAGCCGAUCCGUCCGGUUGGUUUGCAUCGUUGGACUCAUCCAUAAUGGGAGUUGGGCAUAGAAAAAUAGGAACAUAAUCGCCAUAUGCUUUUCCAUUGUGAGUGGGUUCUAUGUCCUAACAAGUUGCAAGCAAAGUCUCUUAUAGAUUGAAUUAAAGAAGAAAUGAAGACCUUCAAAAGCGUAUGCAUUUCCAUUGAUCAAAAGACACCUUUUUACACGGCAAAACUCGACCCAAUAUGCAAGUUUAACCUAAACAAAGGGUUGGACUUUAAAAGUUUUGCAGAUUGGUCGAACUAAAGAAAGGGCAAACACACACACUUACGUUAAAAUGGAGGAUUUGACGGCUACCCAAUGACUUCCUGGAAAGCUGUGCCGCAAAGAAAGGAAAUCAAGAAUGGAAGUGGUCCUUGAUUUUCGGCCAUUUCAAAGAGAGCUUUGUGGAAUUUCACCAUGAAAGUUGUUAUUCUGUAGAACGAGGUUUCUCAAGAAAGAGAGGUUUUCGACAUGAGGUGAUAGAAGACCCCCCCAAGCCUUUCAACAUUAGAUUGAGGGACACAACUCUUCCGGGAUGCCAUCCACCACAUAUCAAACCUUGCCACUCACAGUGAUGAAAAAAGUCAUUCCACGAGCUCAGAGCUCCAAGCGGAUCCUCAUCCACACUAUGUCUGAAGUAGAUUAAAGCGAGCCAAUCCGUUUGGUUAGUUUGCAUCAUUGGACUCAUCCAUAAUGGGAGAUGGGCAUAGCAAAAUAGGAACAUAAUUGCCAUAUGCUUUUCCAUUGUGAGUGGGUUCUAUGUCCUAACAAGCUGCAAGCAAAGUCUCUUCUAGAUUGAAUUAAAGAAGAAAUGAAGACCCUCAAAAGCAUAUGCAUUUCCUUUGAUCAAAAGACACCUUUUUACACGGCAAAACUCGACCCAAUAUGCAAGUUUAACCUAAACAAAGGGUUGGACUUUAAAAGUUUUGCAGAUUGGCCGAACCAAAGAAAGGGCAAACGCACACACUUACGUCAAAAUGGAGGAUUUGACGGCUACCCAAUGACUUCCUGGAAAGCUAUGCCGCAAAGGAAGGAAAUCAAGAAUGGAAGUGGUCCUUGAUUUUUGGCCAUCUCAAAGAGAGCUUUGUGGAAUUUCACCAUGAAAGUUGUUAUUCUAUAGAACGAGGCUUCUCAAGAAAGAGAGGUUUUCGACAUGAGGUGAUAGAAGACCCCCCAAGCCUUUCAACAUUAGAUUGAGGGAUAUGACUCUUUUGAGAUGCCAUCCACCACAUAUCACACCUUGCCACUCACAGUGAUGAAAAGAGUCAUUCCAAGAGCUCAAAGCUCCAAGCGGAUCCUCAUCCACACUGUGUCUGAAGUAGAUUAAAGCAAGCCGAUCCGUCUGGUUAGUUUGCAUCAUUGGACUCGCCAUAAUGGGAGCUGGGCAUAGAAAAAUAGGAACAUAAUCGCCAUAUGCUUUUCCACUGUGAGUGGGUUCUAUGUCCUAACAAGCUACAAGCAAAGUCUCUUCCAGAUUGAAUUAAAGAAGAAAUGAAGACCUUCAAAAGCAUAUGCAUUUCCAUUGAUCACAAGACACCUUUUUACAUGGCAAAACCCAACCCAGUAUGCAAGUUUAACCCACACAAAGGGUUGGACUUUAAAAGUAUUGCAGAUUGGCCGAACCAAAGAAAGGGCACACGCACACACUUAUGUCAAAAUGGAGGAUUUGAUGGCUGCCCAAUGACUUCCUGGAAAGCCGUGCCGCGAAGAAAGGAAAUCAAGAACGGACGUGGUCCUUGAUUUUCGACCCUUUCAAAGAGAGCUCCUAUUUGUUUGCGGGCAAAGCAUAUUAUUUGUGCUGUGAGUUUUUUACAUCCAAAUUGUUAAAACCUUGGGUUUAGGUCUCGUUUAGACAUGGGAAACACUCGAGCAUAUUGAGUGCUUGUAAUUCCGAUUCUCCAAUUAUAGCAAAUUUUUAUUACUAGCUCUCCCCAUAGAUAUAUGUGCCAACACUCGGACUUAAUCACGUAAAUCUUUGAAUCCUCAUUAUUCCACAUUUAUUUAUUUAUUUUUGGUGAUUUUUCACUAACUUAAAUACAAAAUCCUUAUUAGCUUCCCCAUUCGUUUAUUUUACCAUGAGGGUUACUUCUCACUUGUAAUGAAAAGGAAAUAAAGCAAAAACACAAACAAGGAGAUGAUGGGUGGGUCAUCCCAAUGUGGAAAAUAAGUUCCGCCAAUGCUUUUUAGCGUGUUUUUUAUGUUGCCAGCAAGAUUUUUAGUCAAAAGAUUCCUUGACUUCUCUCGUACUACAAAGAGUUUCUUUUCAAAGUUAAAUUUCUUGAAAGUUCGUCACUUAGAUCAUAUCACUCUUGUUCCAAUUACAAUUCAUCAGGCUAGAACCCCCGUGCCAAGCUUGAACCCAAGACUAAGAGGGCCGGUUUGUGUGGGCCAGCACAACUCAAUUACCAUGCUUAGAUAGGGGUUUUAUAAACAUAUAUGUUAGGAAAAGCAAGAUGCUAAAAUUCAAAUCUGUUUGGCCGUUUGAAACCAAAGAGUUUGCAAAAUAAUGCACGAGUAUAUGAGUCAAAUUCAGAUUUUGUGGGAGAAGGGGAAUUUCGAUGUGCAAUUGCCGUGUGGUAUAGAAAUUGAAGUUAUGGUCCUGGUAAUGAACAAAUAAUACGUGAUGCAAAGUACUUUGUUAGAAACUAAACAAAGAGAAAGAAAGACGUUCUAGAAUUUGGUGGAGAAUUAAGAAUGUUAGCUCUAAUCUUGAAGUCAAAUUUCCCAUGGAAAAUCAACAACGUUGUACAAUCAUGGUCGGCGAGCAUGAUGACCUCCACCAUGAGAAGUUUUCCAUUUCUUUUUCCCUUCUUUGAACUUUUCUUUUUAGGUUCUCUCGAUUUGAUUACCAAAGCCAUCGCAGGACAGUCUCAAAUAUUGGUAAACUAAGGCAAGGCAUCAAUAGUGCUUGACACUUUUGAAGGCUAAGGGAUUUCGAUGAACACCGAUUGAGUUUAGUCGAGGGCCCACUUGUGUAAAUAAAGAUGGUUCAAACCCUUCCACUAUAUGGGGGUAAAUUACGCACAACUUCUCUGAAUUUUGGGGUAAACAAAUUUGCCUCCAAUUUUUCACUUGUUAUACAAUAACGUCUGAACUUUUAUUUUGUUCAAGCAAUUAACUCUUCAUUAUAUUGUUAUUAGCAUGCACAUGCUUGUGAAUUUUGAGGGGUAAAAGUAUAAAUUUUAUCUCAUUCUUUUUGUAAGGAAGCCUCUUUUUCUAAAAGACUGAAAAAUAUAGAAAAUGGAAGAGAAAUAAAUUAACUAAUAUACUAAUAAUCAAAAUAAUAAAUAUCAAUAAUCAUAUUUAAUGAUGGGAAUUUUUCAAAAUUAAAUAAAUAUAGGCACCUUAAUAUAACUAAAUAAGAUAUUUUGAAAAAUAAAUACAAAUUCAUUAGAAUGGGAAAAAGGCAUCUAUAACUAAAAGAUCAAAUAACAAGAAUUGCUUAAUCACUAUGUAUGUUUAAAGGGUAAAUUACUGUAAAAAUGAUUGAUUAACAAAAAUAUUUACAAGGAGGAUGAUGAAUCCCUUGCCAAUCUAUCUCUUUAAGAGGCAAUCUUUCAAGAAGAGCUUUUAGCAUCUUGAGUUAAAAAAUUGUUAAAAUAUAUAAUGCGUGAAAACGAGAUGAUCUUGCAAUUUACGUCAACGCGAAAUCACUAAAGAAAUAAAUGAGAAAUAAUAAGGACACUGGAAAUUUACGUGGUUCGGUUCGAGUAUCGGUACCUAUGUUCACGAAAAGAGCUAGUAGUGAAUAAUCUACUAUAAUCAAAUAACCAGAGUUUACAAUCGCUUACAUGCUCAAGUGUUUCCCACAUUUAGAUUUAAGCCCAAACCUAAAAUGUUUUUAAAUAAACAACUCACUUUGACAUAAACUCAUGGUACAAAAUUAUCACGCAUUCAAGCUCAACGUAAAAUGCUCUACAUAUGCCAAAACAAGAACUAAGCGUCUGUCUCUUCUCCACUUAUGUAGAGAUUCGCGUUCUUUACCCCUUCAAGGCUUGUGUGAUGUCUGGAUGUGUGGGCGUGCAGCUCCUUUUUCUUUUGUAGAGCACGCCUUUAAUAUUGUGGGCCUAGGCCCCACCUUGGAUUCUUUUCUCCAAUAUGGAUUCUUCUUCUGCCUUCUUCUGCACGUACAAAGAAAGAUAGAAAACCCUCACCUUUUUUAUUUAUUUAUUAUUAUCUUUAUUUUAUUUCCUCCAUUAUGCAGCUAUAAGGAGUCCAACAAAAGAAGGCCUUUUUCAGUCAAUUUGAAAUAUACUUGGGAAAUCUUUCUCAACUAAUUUGAUUUAACAAAUUGUUAUCCAAAUUCAAACUCGAGACAUUAAUUUAAUAAUUCUCCUCCUUGGCUCAAUGUUUGAAGCCAAGUUAUAAUGCUCAUCAUCCAUGCUGCUCUCCCAACGCCCUAAGAGGUGUUCACUCUUCAUAGACGCUAAUAGAGCUCAAGCAGAACUUAAGCUUCGUCAAAGGAACGGACUUAGUCAUUAUAUCUGCCGGUUAUCUACUAUAGCAAUCUUUUUGAUAAUAACAUUACCCUUAGCUAAGACAUCUCAGAUGAAGUGGUAUCUGAUGUUGAUAUGCUUCGUUCGCUCGUGAUAAACUGGAUUAUACACCAAAUAUAUCGCACCUUGAUUAUCAUAGUGUAUAUCCACACUUUUCUAUUCUAAAUCAAAGUCUAAGAGCAAACUUCAUAACCAUAUCACCUCCUUCACUACAAAGGUUAGUAUCAUGUACUUUGCCUCCGUUGAAGACAAUGCAACAUGGUCCUAUAAGGAUGCUUUCCAACUAACUACAUCAUUUGAUAGCGUAAACACGUACCCAACUAAAGACCUGCAAUUAUCCAAGUCACCGACAUGAUCCGAAUCCACAAAAUCAGUGGUCUCACUGCCAUUGUUGUCCCUUGGGUACACUAUACCCAUGUCUAUUGUCCCUUUUAAAUAUCUAAGAAUCCACUUCACAGCUUUCCAAUGAGCUUUACUAAGACGCUUCAUAUUACAACUAACCACACUCACAGCUUGUGAAUAUCAGGUCUGAUACAUACCAUAGCAUACAUAAUACUACUCACGGUACUAGAAUAAGGAACACGGGACAUAUGCACUUCCUCUUCCUCAGUCUAUAGUGAUAAUUUAUCUAAAAGUAUAAAGUGCUUCGCUAAAAGUGUACUUACAGAUUUUACCAACUACAUAUUAAAACGUGCCACGAUAUUUCUCAAUAUUUUUUUUAAGAUAGACGUAAAACUCCUAUAACCCUGUUAUGCAAAAUCUCCAUACCUAAUAUUUUCUUUGUGGCAUCUAAAUCUUUCAUCUCAAAUUCAGCAUUUAACCGCCUCUUCAGUACAUCAAUAUCAGAUAUAUUCUUAACUGUUAUCAGCAUAUCAUCAAUAUAUAAGAGUAAAUAAAUCAAAGAACCAUCCUCCAAUCUCCUAAAGUAAAGGUAGCUAUCCAUCUGACUUUUCAAGUAGUCUUGACUGGCCAUAAAAGCAUCAAAAUGUUUAUACCAUUGUCUAGGAGACUAUUUUAGCUCAUACAAAAAUUUCUUCAACAAGCAAACAUGAUCUUCCUUACGUGGAAUAACAAAUCCCUCUAGCUACCUCAUAUAAAUUUGCUCAUCCAACUCAUCAUGAAGAAACGUAGUUUUCACAUCUAACUACUCUAACUCAAGAUCCUGCAAAGUAACCAAGGCAAGUAAAACACGAAUUGAAGUAUGUCUUAUCACAUGAGAGAACACCUCAUUGUAGUCAAUGCCCUAUGCUGUGUAUAUUCUUUUGUCACAAGUCUCACGUUAUACCCCGUUGCCUUGAUAUUAGGAAUGUCCUCUUUCCAUUUAAAGACCCAUUUACUUCUGACAAUCUUCUGGCUCUUGGGUACUUUGACCAGCUCCCAUGUUUGAUUUCGAUGGAGUGAUUCCAUCUCUUCACUCAUAACCCCUAGCCAUUGCGAUGACUCAGAGCCAACCAUCGCCUCAAAGUAAGACGAAAGCUCAUCUGUCUCCACCUCAUCACCUAUAGUCAAUACAUAAGCAAUAUAUGUAUAACCAUAACGUACUUGUGACUUAAUUUGCCUUCUCUUUCUAUAUGCGCCUAUAGUGUGCUAUGGUUUUGUUGGUUGUUCACUAUCAUCGACUUCAUAAACUGUAGCCUUAUCUACAGUCUCAACUUCUAUUACCUUAGAGGUCUCAGGAGUCUCCGCUUGAAAUUUCACCUCACUAAUGACACCAUGAUCUGUUUGCUCUGCGGGUUGUGUCUUAGAACUCCUCUGUUGAAGCACUAUAGUCUCAUCGAAGAUCACAUCUCUUCUUAUUAGAAAACCUGGUGAUAGGAUCGGUGCACGACAGCCGGUAGUCUUUUACCCCAUGUGCAUAAUACAUAAAUAUGCAUUUCUUAGCCCUCGAGUCAAGCUUACCAUCACUCGCAUGAGCAUACAUAGGACAUCCGAAUAUAUGUAAUAUGGAGUAAUCAUCAGGUUUCCCUGACCAUACUUUCUCAUAAGUCUUCCAAUCUAUAGUAGAUGAUGGGGUUCGAUUAAUCAGGUAACACGCCAUGUCACGCCAUUCUACUGUAGUGUCCUAGAUAUUGUGCAGUGUUUUACAUUUCAUUCUUUCUUGCAGAACUCAGUAAAAUAUUUACCACAAAACUCCAUGUUAUUAUUGGUUCUCAGGCACUUGAUUUGUUUAUUUGACUGCUUCUCAAUUAGUGCCUUAAAUUUCUUGAACCAAUCGAACACUUCAUAUUUGUAUUUCAGAAAGUAUACCCAUACCUUCCUCGAAUAAUCGUCGAUAAGCGUCAGCAUAUAUCAAGCACCUCCUUAAGAAGGAACUGAAGACGAGCCCCAAACGUUUGAAUGAAUGUAUUUAACUAGUCGUUUAGUCGAAUGAACAACUGUAGUAAACUUAACUCGACACUGCUUCCCAAAAAUGCAGUGCUCACAUAAGUCCAGCUUCCCUAUCUUUUGAACAACCCCUUAUCACUUAGCAUCAUCAUACUUGUCUCGCUCAUGUGCCCUAAACACAUAUGCCAUACUUGAGUCAAGUUAGAAAGUGACUCACCUGACAAAACUGCAACGGUUUCGGUCACAGUCUCUCUCAGUAGAUGAUAGAGAGUAUUCACUUUCUUCCCCUUCAUCAUUGUUAUGACACCUCAAGAGAUCUUCAGUACUCCACUUUCAACGAUGUACCUACACCCGAGUCAUUGAGUGUCCCUAGAGAAAUAAGAUUCUUCUUAAGCUCUGGUACAUGCCUCACAUCUGUUAGUGUGCGCACCACCCCAUCAUGCAUUCGAAUCUGAAUUGUCCAUAUCUCCACAGCCUUGCAAGCUACAUUAUUUCCCAAAAGAACGCUACUACCAUCUGCAGUUUGGUAAAUAAUAAAUCAGUUCUUAUGAGGCGUCAUAUGAUAAGAACAUCUCGAAUCUAGCAUUCAUUCGUCUCCUGACGAAGUGGUAGUCACACAUAAAAUGGCUUCUACAUCACUAGUGCUCCCCUCGGCAACGUUUGCCACACUGCUUAUAGCAUUAUGUAUCUCACCUUUAUUCCUUCGCUUUGGACAAUUUCUCUUGAUGUGCCCCUCCUCAUGAUACUCAAAGCACUUCACACGUCCCUUGGAAUUUUUAUAGCGUGAUUUCAAUAUACUAUUACCUUUGCUGCUACUAGGCCCUCGAUGUUGUUCACUACCCUGAAUCGUUAGUGCUUUUGCACUACUUCUUACACCAGAUCGUAUCUCACAAUUUUCUUUGCCGCUCCUUAGACAAUAAGGCAAACUUGACUUGUUUUGAGGUAAUUGUAGUACGCCAUUAUAACAGUGAAUCAGUAAAGUGCUCCCAUGACUCUGAUAAAGAAGCUAACAACAUUAUGCUAUGUUCUUCAUCAUCAAGUAUCUUACGAAUGUUCUUCAAAUCGAUCAUGAGUUUAUUGAAUUCAUCUUGGUUGAUUCUGAUAGACGUACCUUCAGUAUAUCUAUAUUGAAACAUCAUUUUCAACAUUUAUAAGCAAUUGUUCAAACAUUUUUUCACAUAAAGUGCGACACCUAAAUUUCGACCUUGUCCUAAUAAUAUGAAAUGGGCAUUUUGUCGACACACCUAUGAUCCUAUUUCUCUGAGUUGGCCAUUCACGAGUUAACUAAUCUACCAGGUGAAGCUGUUAAGGGAUAUAAACACAGCAAACUUGAGAAUUCGAUUAGAAAUUGACUGCUCGACCGCGAUAAUCGGCAAGGGUCAAUAUGGCACCGUUAUAAUCGAUUAGUGAUAGGAUAUAGGUCGAUUCGAUGGAAUGGCAUAAUUAAAUUGUUGGUGAUUUCACAUGAUUGCAAAAUUCGCGUCGAACGGCACUAACCCAAUUUUUUGUUAAUUCUGUACUCGGUGCUUGUAAUUGAAAUCUUGAUAUUUUGACAACAACCGAGAGUCGUCGACGAGUCGAAGAUGCACAAACGUGGAUCAGAAAUUAUUGACCACGGGUCAAACGUGAUAAAAUCCCUAAAAGCUACCUAGUAGGUUAGGUUGUACUAAAAUCGCGUCCGGUCGAUUUUAACCAUGAAAUGGAAUUCGGUUUUGGGAAUUGUACGUUCGAGCGUGUCACGAUUUAUUUAUAAGACGCCGUCUCAUCUUUUGGAGAAAUUCUGUUGAGCUCAGGAUUUUGCGGAAAAAUUGGUUUGCGGCAAAAAAAGAAAAUAAAAAGGGAAAUUUGGAUGGGUAGACCAAGUUGGAUUUUUCUACCUCAAUUAAGCUUAUUUUGGGAAAUUAAGCUUAGGAAAGUAAUUUGGGAGGAUGAAGAUGUGCAUGAAGACUUUUGGGGCCUUCUAAUGAUGAUUUUAGAUAUUUCCCAUUGACUUUCCCUCUCUCUUCCCCUCUCUCACGCACAUAUUCUUCCCUCCUUUUGCCGCCGACCUCACCCUUUCUGCCCAUUUCCCCUCAGCCUUAUCUUCUCCAUUUUCUCCUUUUAUUUUGCUGCCACAACUCCUCACGCAUUUCUUCUUCUCUCCCAGCUUUUAUUUUGCUGCCACAACUCCUCACGCAUUUCUUCUUCUCUCCCAGCUACUGCCAACACCAUCAUUUCCCUUCCCCCCCCCCCAUCUUUCUCCUUUGCCGCAUCAACCAUUGCCUCCACUUCCCCUCUUGUUUGCUACCCCAUCAUCCAACUCCAUUUGUACACCCUCAUCCCACCACCUUCCAUCCAUCACGCCAACAUCCAUCACCUACCACCCAACUCCAUAGCAACUGUCCACCAGAACUCCACGCCUGUAGCCACCAAUAGCUAGCUGCCCGUCCCCACUGUUAGCUCCGUCCAACAGCUGCGCCGUCACCAUCGAGCAGCCACCACACCUUAGCCACCAGCAUCCACCCAAACCGAGACCAAGUUGAGCCGAACCCUUCCUUUUGGCCGUGAGCUAGUUAGGCCAUCACGGUCGUCAGUGGAACUCCGUUAGAGUCACGAUAGACUCCGAUUCUCGUCGCCGUUGCGUUGCCAUCGCCGUGAGCCCGCCACCGUCGAAUUUCGGUGAGUUAACUUCUUAAUCCUUAAUUAGGUUGUUAAUUUCACUUAGGGGGUUAUACUAGUGUUAAUUAGCAUGGUUAGAUUACUGCUAAGAAUCAUUAGUGUUAAUUAAGUUGGAUUAGCUUAAAUUCAGAUCAGUUCACUGGACCCUCAUUGUUUGUCAUUUUUGUGGAGAAAAUGUGCUACGAUUUUGAGGUUGCUUUCUUCUUAAAAAAUGUUCUAGACAUCUUCAGCUAUGACAUAUAUUUUACUCAGAAUUUUAUGGAUUUAAAUGAAUAAGAUUUCAGUCUUGCCAUUUGCAAAAUAGAAUCUCGGAUUGUGCUGAAACAGUGACCUUUUGGUGUUCAAUGGAUUUUUAUCAACUCUUAGGGUUUGGUUUUUAAAAUAUUUUUUCACGAAAGUUGUUUUUCACAUCUUGUAGUUUAACAUAUUCAAAUUUCAGAUCAAACUGACAAGUUUUGAACCUUGAACCAAACUGAUUUUGGAAAACAAAAUUUUUGGAUAUGGGCACAGUUUUUGUAACGGUUUGAGCGAAUUACUACUCUUAAUCUAUGAAGAUUUGGGUUAAGGUGUCUGCAAUAAAAAUGUUCGUUUAGGUGUCCUUUACAACAUAUUCAUAUUUGAGAGUUUUUCAAAUUCGUUUGAUUAAGUUUCUGGAUUUAAACUCGGAGACGUGCGAGUGGCCUAAUUUCUGCCGGUUAGGACCGGUUGUGAUUUUGUUGUUGUUCUUGGUGUAGUACUUGCUGAAUCAUGUGUAUUUGGUGAUGAGGUUGACUCGUGGCAUGCUAAGAACUUAUGUAUGAGAUCGUGAGGUUAAUUGGUCUUUGUUGGUUAUUUAUUGUUAUUGCAAAAGGUGACCCUUUGGACUAUUAAAUAGAAAAUAAAUGAGGUGUCGGGUCCGAACACCAAAACUUGUUUGCCCAAUACAAAAAUAAGGUUUUAAACUAGGUGCGUGCAAAUUUUGACGGAUUAAUUUUGAGUAUGUGAGCACUUAUGAAUUUAUUUCUAAAUGUGUUGAACAAAAAAAAAAAAAAGAGGUUAUUAAAGCUUAGUUCCAAAAAGGAGUGUUUGGAAAAGAAAUUAGAAAAGAAAUAUGAUAUCGGGUUUGGACGCCAAGUUUUAUGUGCUCAAUAAAACGAGGAGGUUUUAUACUAGAUGCGUGCAAAAUUUGACGGGUUAAUUACAAGUACAUGACCCUGUACGAAUUUAUUUUGAAAGGUUUUGAAAAAAAAAAAAAAAGGGGCAGUUGCAAGUUUUAUUAUUUGAAAAGGAAUUUUGGUUUUCUUGGCUAAAUGACGGAAGAUAAGAAAUGGGUUUGGUUGAUAACAUGCGUGUAUGGUCACUAAGUGGAACCCGUCACUCAACGGGAGUUUGGAGCGAUGCCUGCUUUUAUCAGAUGCCCGGUGGGGGUCCAGAAGCCGGUAAUGGUGGAGGCUGGACCGAUACUCCUUUAUGGGAUGUCGUCUAGAUAGGGGUUCUAGACGUUGCUGUGACCGAUGGGGUAGGACGAUGCCUGAUUUUUAUCGAAUGCCUGGUGGGGGUUUGGAUGAUCACCGACUGGGGAGUUGGUUGUGGCCAAUGGGCCUUAAUAACUGGAACAUGCCAGAGUGAUUGAAAGAGUUGUGCCUUAUUAUCGGGCAAAAUUAUGUGGCACGGUAUGAGACGUGUCAUAAUGGUUUGGCCUUAUAAUUGUGACCUUUGUGAUUGAUUGAUAUAUGAAAGUGAGGCAUUCCUGUUGUUGAUUAUGCUUGCUGUGUGUAUAAAUGUAUAUGAGAUGUACUAAUAUGCAGGAAGGUGCUGAGGCGAGGUAAGUUCUGAGUGGUGCAUGUUUAGGACGCCUCUGAGUGAAUUCUCAUCAUAAUCGGGGUUUAGGGUAUUGACUCGCUGAGACAUUGUCUCACCCUGUCAUGGUUUAAAUUUUUCAAGUCUCUACUGUGGAGAACCCGGAGCCCGAGGCUAAAGGGUUUGGAGCGUAGAUGGCCCAGUAGAUUCUUUUGGGUUAAACCUUCUGUUUAUAGACCUAUAAGACUGGUUUGAUAUGUGUAUAAAGUGAUUUGUGAUAAUUGGCUUGUCUUUCCACUAUCCCAAUGUUUGAUGGUGGUCCGGAUAUCUGUUUAUUUCGCUUCCGCAUGUGCAUAAAAUGAAAGAGUCGGUGACGCAUCUUGGGAACAUGGCAAAAUUUUAGUUGACCGCCGAGGGAUGUGUGCAUGCUCGGGGUUCGAGGUGUGACAUAGAGUGCUUGAAGUCUUGCUCAUAAUGCUGCAACAUUCUUCUCGUUGGCAACUUCUAUUAAAAUCUCAUUUGACAAGUUCAACAGAAUUGUGUUAUUUGCUCUUUCCAUUAUAUCUAUCCUCUUAGCGGCUUUCAUUAUAGUCAGCAACUCAUCUUCAUUAUCAAGUGCCUUGGCCAAACCUUGGGUUGUCAAUAAUGCCCACAUCUUGAUGCUCCAUAACCCAAAGUUGUUCCUCUCAUUGAACUUCUCAAUUUCCGAUUUCCUCUCAAACAUAAUUGCAAAAACAGAAUUUCCAAAUAACAAUUAGACAAGCAAAAACUCCAAAUCACAAUCAAUAAAUUUGAUCCCAAGCUCUAAUACCAAUUGUUGAAAUAUAUAAUGCGUGAAAAUGACAGGAUCUUACAAUUUACGUCAAUGUGAAAUCACUAGAGAAAUAAAUGAAAAAUAAUAAGGACACUAAAAAUUUACGUGGUUCGGUCUCAACGAGGAGAGCCAGCAACAAAUAAUCUACUAUAAUCGGAGAAUCGGAGUUUACAAUUGCUCACACGCUUAAGUGUUUUCCACACCUAGAUUUAAGCCAAAACUCAAAGUAUUUAUAAAUAAACAACUUACUUGGACAUAAAUUUACGAUGCAAAAUUACCGCACAUUCAAGCUAAAGUAAAAUGCUCUACGUACACCAAAACAAGAACUAGGCGUCUGUCUCUUCUCCACAUACGUAUAGCUUCGCGUUCUCUACCCCUUCAAGGCUUGUGCGAUGUAUGGACGUGUGAACGUGCGGCUCCUUUUUCUUUCGUAGGGCUUCUGUUCUUUUUUCCACUAUAGAGCACCCCUUUUAUAUUGUGUGCCCAUAGUCAAAACUUUGACUCUGGGCCCCACCUUGGAUUCUUUUCUCCAAUAUGGGUUCUUCUUCUACCUUCUUCUGCACGUACAAAGAAAGAUAGAAAACCCUAACUUUUUUUUUAUUUUAUCUUUAUUUUAUUUCCUCCUUUGUGCAGCUAUAAGGAGUCCAACUAAAAAAAAAGGGUUUUUCAUCCAAUUUGAAAUCUACUUGGAAAAUCUUUCUCAACAAGUUCAAUUUAACAAUUAUCCAAAUUCAAACUCGAGACAUUAAUUUAACAAAAAUGCCAUUUGCAUCGAUAGUUAUCCGAAAUUUUCUAAAUCGUUUUGGCUUUUAGAUAAUUUUUAAAAUUGGAACCUCCUUGGAUGCAACGGCAGAUAUAACUUGCUUCAGUUUUGGCUCAUACACUAGUUUUUAGGUCCACACCAUAUUGUGUAACGAGGCAUAGCUUUCUUUGAGAAAGCUACUCUCACCGAAUUAUCUUAAAUAGUAACUUGUGCCAUUUUGCUGGUCCACACCAUAUUGUAUUAUAUCUUUCCUUCUUAGAUAGUUCUUUGCCUUAUAUUUCUUAUUCAAUUGUUGGACGCAUGAAAGAGCGACCAAAAGCAUCCUAUCCAUUCAUUAAACACAUGAACUCAUAUUCUAGUGGAGUUAUUCGCCAAAUUUACGAUAUGGACACCUUGAUGUGCUAUUUGGAUUGUGCCUCAAAUUUCAAUUUACGCUUCAUAUUCUUAUCGCAGGAUUUCGAACAACCACCUUACCCUACUCAAUUUGAUUAAUAUCAAAACACUGUAAGUGUCAGCUUCAUUACUAAACUAAGUAGAUCACCGAGUAAACAAGCAAUUCACCGCCUCAAUCAAAGUCCGGACAUGCUAGCAUAAUAAACCAAGCGGAUGUCAUGAAAAAAAUGCAUACUAUAUGCUAACCACUAGAGGUGAGAAAAUGGAUGAUGAACCCAUAUUGUAAUUCAGAUUCAAUGACCUGGUAAUAACAUGAGUUGUUAGCUAUCUGUGAUAAGGGGGAGGUCUAAAACUUUUUUUUUUUUUUUUAUCUCGAACCACUCUUAAAUGUGGUGCGACACAAACAUGGACAUCACCUGUACUUAGUUCACUAAUAAGAGAUAUGACGGACCUCACUAAAAGAGUGCACCAUUUCAUGGCAUUUACAUAAUAACAAUGAAAACAAUAAUAAAUAAUAAUAAUUUGUACGCCCUUCGUGCAAUUGGUCGGCUAAAUGUGCUUUGAGUCAUGGUGUAAACCAAGAGUUCAUGUACUAGAUCUUAGAAGGAACUUCUGAUACCCUCAACAGUUUCAUCGUUUUUUUGCCAUUGGAUCUUCCUUUCGUAACACACACACACACAAACGGAAGAAAAAAACAUCAUAAGCCAGAAAAACUUUCCGAGGAAUGCUCUCGAACUAUUCGUUCUUAAAAAUAUUUAAACGUCUAGCAUCACAUUUUAUAUUGUUUUAAUGCCUUAUCGGAAAAAAAAGAAAAAGGUUAGUAUCUCUUAGCAAAUCCCUCAAGUUAGCACAUGGAUUACAUAAUCCAUUGCAUAGACAAUCCAUUAAAUAUGCUAUUGAGGAAUUUAAUUAUUGUAAUUAGCGUGUGAUAUCGCAUACGUGUGGAUAAGGAGAGUAGCUAAGCUAAGCUCUUAGAAUAGAUCAGAGGGAUAAAUAAUUAACUUGAUGCUAUGGACUGCUUCGAUGUCUCCUUUUGCAUGUCCAGCUCCAGCCGGUUCCAACCAUUUUAGUGGGUCUUUUGGAUCGAUGGUUUCAUCACUUUGUUCUUCGGUUAUAAAAUGGAAGUUUAGUGGAGUAAUGUGUAACAAUUGAAAGUUUAGAAGGAACCUCGUAUUACCCCUUAAAUUAGGGUAAGUUUUGUGUAAUUUUCCCAUACAUUUAUUAUGUGAUGCCCAAUUUCUAAAACAUUAUUCGCAAGGUGAUAGGGUAGGGUAGAUUUAGAAAAUUAGGUGUAGAAAUAUGAGAAGCCAAACUUAUAUUCUAACUAAGCAUCUCAACUUUUCCAUCAAAGUCACCAAGGAACCACAUAAUAUAAGGUCCAUGAUUAGUGUGAGCCCAUUACAAUGUUGGCCCGACAAAAAUCGAUGGACAUUCGACUUCACAGCCUUGAGUAAGGACAUUCAUAAAAAUCACAAUUUCUUAGUCCAAGUCGCGUGGAACUGGUGAUGUUUUCCCGAAAUGGAUCCAAACCUGUAGAACAGCAAACAUCUUUCAACAAACAACUCUCACCGGCGAAUGUUCUCUUACGAAUUUGUGUUAGCAAGGCAAGACAGUCACGUCUUUUCUCGAAUCAAAUAGAAACUGCAAAUUGCCAUUCCGCCGCCUUUCAUUUAUACUCUCUGCAAUGCACGCACAAUAACCGUUCAAUCACAGAGCUGUUUUUCAGUAAGAGUAGAUAGCAGCAACCCGUGCAUAUAUCACCAUGUUGUCAUGCAUAUAUCACCAUACAGUCAUGCAUAUCUCACCAUGCCAUCGUGCAUAUACCACCAUGCAAUCAUACUUGUAUUUCCAUGAGGUUCAUUCCAUGCCAUAUGCACAUACAUACUCAUGAUUCAUAUCAUCCAUACAAUCAUGUAUACAUCGCCAUGAGAUCCAUUCAAGCAUUCAUGAUCGAAUUCUCAAUAUCAAAUAGCAUCAAUUUACUUUCAUAAGCAAAUCAUGCAUCAUACCAUAUGCACACACCCAUGCGCAUGAUUCAAUUUCCAAUUUUAUCUUUUAAUAGGAUCUCAUCAUUUUUUUUCUUUCAGGGACUAAUGUUUGCAUCCCUCAAUUUAUCGCUCGCACCCAACCUCGCAUCACGAGGAACCUCCGGCACAAACCUCCGAGCAUCUCGCAUCCCAUCUGGCAUCACAAGAAAUCCCCCUAGCACAAACCUUUAGGGCUUCCGGAAUUACGUACCGCCAUACCACCAGGCAUUCCCCCUGGAAUUACGUACCGUAUACCACCGAGCAUCUCAAAACUCCCGAGGACCCUCCGGCACAAACCUCCAGGCAUCCCAACACUCUCAGGGCAUCGUCGGCUCACACCUCUGAUGGUCUCGUUAUUAUCACAAUUUAUGAUCACAUAUAUGUCUCAUUUUCAACAUGGCAUUUGAUGCAACAAUAUCAAAGGUCUAAACCAGCUUUUUUGAUGUCAUAUGAUAUGCCAAACGUCAUCAUAUAUGCAGCACACACAACACCCACGAUAUCACAUUUCGUAAAGAAAUUCAUUGGCUUUUGAAAAUAGAACCAAUUUUCGGAUAAAACAGAAUGCACCUCUUUAGUAAAAAUUCUUGGAAAAUUAGUAAACAAUCUCAAUAAAUUCUGAAAAUUUGACAUAAUGUAAACAAGAUCCAGAGGAAUAUAUUUCAUGAAGAACACCAUGUCAAGAAAGUUCCACAUCAAUCACAUAGAUCCACACAUCACAGCAAAAGAAAUUCCAGCACCACUUUAACACAGUUUCGGAAAUAAUUUCGAUUAAACCCUUAAAUGAACUCCGAAAAUUCUAAGAUUUUAAUAUGUUAUAGCACAUAGAGGUAAAAGUCCCAUGAAGAAAUCAAAGUCUAAUUCCUUCUGGAUUAAAAGAUAUAAUUUUUGUAAUUCUCCCUAACUCUCGAUUCACUGUCCAGAUUCAUCAUUUUCAAAAAAAAGCGUUUUCCUCGAUCAAUAAUUGUCCUUUUAUUCUAAAAUUUUAAUAUGUUACUCCUUAAGAUGUUGUCUACAACUUUCAUCAAGGACAAAAGAUCAAAUUUCAAACUUAUAACUUUAUAAAAAUCCACAGAAGCGCACUAGGUCAGCAUAACGAUUUCCAAAUCUACUCUCUUCAAAGAAAAAUGGUUUUACCAACCUAUACUUGUUUAUUUACUCUCAAAUUUUGAUAUGUUAAUCAUAAAGAAGUCCUAUACAACUUUCAUUAAGAAGUCAAAGUGAGAUUCCAACUAGAACAUCGCAUGCAACUCACGAAAUCACCAAAGGUCGAACUGUUUUUCCAGAAACAGAACACUAGGCUAGAACACAACUCCUAUAACUUCGAAAUUUCUCACCUCAACCACAUCCAAAAUUCACCAUUCAUCACACACAAACACAGCAAGCAAAGGGUAGAUCAAUGGGCUCUACUUGCCUCUAAUCCAAGCAAAACACAGCAAGCAAACGGCGGGGCAAGGCGGCUUGACGGCGGCGACUCGGCGACACGCACGACAGCGAACGGCCUCCCUCUUCCUUUCCUUCUUUCUCUCUUCCUCUCUUCCUCUCGCACGACGUCUCUCUCUCUCUCUCUCUCUCUCUCUCUCUCUCUCUCUCUCUCUCUCUCUCGGACGAUAACCCUCUCUUCCAAUCCGCCUCUUCUCUUUUCUUUCCCCCUCAAUGAUUUGCAAUCAUUUGAUUUUGCAUGGCUCUUACACUUGGCUACAAAGGGGAAACACUUGGCAAGCUUCUCUUGCCACUGGGGGAUUUAGCCAUGCAAGUUGAUGGGCCUUCCUUUAGGGCCUCUCCCUUCGUUCCUCUCUUCCCAUGGUCGAUGGCAGCCCCUUCCCUUUGGGCUUCACGGGCCAGGCCUAAAUGGCCGAACGGUGGGGUCUUGCAGGCUGGUUUUGGCCUAAGAAUUUUGGCCCACUUCCUCUUUUAAUAAUUUACUCUAAAUCCCACUUAUAAAAUCCUAACUGAAAUUUAUAUAACCAUAAAAAUUGCAACAUAAAUUAAUAAAUUCCAACUUAUAAAACACAUGGCCAAGAGUAGAAUUUUCUUUCCUAUCAAAUAAUUUUCCACUAAAAGCUUGGCCUUAAUCUUAUUGCAAAUCAUGGAUCAAAUGGCUACAACAUAAUUUGAUGGUGCUUCCAUCACCUAUUCAUGGAUCAUAGCAUAUCUAGGGAUUGUCAUGAAAUUCUAGGAUGCCACAAUAUCCCUUUGCCAUAAGUCUCGCCUUAUACCUCGCUCUCUCAACAACAGGAAUGCCCUCUUUCCAUUUAAAAACCCAUUUACUUUUGACAAUCUUCAAACUCUUUGGUACUUUGACUAACUCCCAUGUCUAAUUUUGAUGGAAUGAUUCAAUCUCUUUACUCAUAACCCCUAGCUAUUGCGACGACUUAGAGCCAGCCAUCACCUUAGAGUAAGACGAAUGCUCAUCUGUCUCCACCUCAUCACCUACAGUCAAUGCAUAAGCAAUAUAUGUAUAACCAUAACGUACCGGUGAUUCAAUUUGUCUUCUCUAUCUAUCUACAGGUAUAAUGUGUAGUGGCUUUGCUGAUUUUUCACUAUCAUCGACUUUAGGAACUAUGGCCUCAUCUACAGUCUCAACUUCUAUUACCUUAGAGGUCUCCAGACUCUCCACUUGAAACUCCAUCUCACUAAUGACACCAUGAUAUGUUUGCUCUACUGGUUGUGUUUUAGAACUCUUAUGCUAAAGCAUUGCAGUCUUGUCGAAGAUCACAUUUCUGCUGAUUAGAAAAUCGGGUAAUCUGGGAUCAGUAUACCACAGUCGGUAGCCUUUCACCCCAUGUGCAUAACCUAGAAAUAUGCACUUCUUUGCACUCAACUCAAGCUUAUCAUCACUCGCAUGAGCAUAUGCAGGACAUCUGAAUAUAUGUAAUCCGGAGUAAUUAACAUGUUUCCCCAACUAUACUUCCUCAGGAGUCUUCCACUCGAUAGCAGGUGAUGGAGAUUGAUUAACCAUAUAACAUGCCAUGUUUACCGCUUCUGCCCAAAAUUUCUUGCCAAAUCCUACAUGUGAAGGCAUGCAUCAAGCUCACUUAUGCAAAUUUAUGUUCUUCUAUUCUAUCACACCAUUCUACUGUAGUAUCCCAGGUAUUGUGCAGUGUCUUAUAAUCCAUUCUUUUCCGCAGAACUCAAUAAAAUCUUUACCACAAAACUCCAUGCCAUUAUCAGUUCUUAGGCACUUGAUUUGUUUAUCUGAUUGCUUCUCAAUUAGUGCAUUAAAUUUCUUGAACCAAUCGAACACUUCAUAUUUAUGCUUAAGAAAGUAUACCCAUAAUUUCCUCGAAUAAUCGUCAAUAAAUGUCAAGAUAUAUAGGGCACCUCCUUUAGAAGGAACUGAAGAUAGGCCCCAGACGUCUAAAUGAAUGUAUUUAACUAGUUGUUUAGUGGAAUGAACAGCUAUAGUAAACUUAACUCAACGCUGCUUCCCAAAGAUGCAGUGCUAACAUAGCACUAACAUAAGUCCAGCUUCCUUAUCUUUUGACCGUUCAACAACCCUUUAUCACUUAGCAUUGUCAUACUUGCCUUACUCAUGUCACGCCCCGAACCUCGAGCACGUCAACAUCCCACCAUGGUCAUUCUAAUGCGACGUCCCAGGUUAAGUCGCCGACCCACUCAAAUAUUUAAUGCACAUGCGAAAGCAUAUUAUAAAACCCUUGACAAUAAAAUACGGGAUAGAAAAGCAGGAAGCAAAAUCACCACAUAACAUUUUCAUAAUUCAACAGAAUUACAAACAAAGGUCUACGACCAACAGUCUACAAAAGACCGGCUCUUAAAAAGGAAUUGUCCUACGACCUACAAGUCGAACACGUUCUCCAAUCCUCCUGAUUUCACCUCUGCAACUCCUCAAGGCCAACCAAAGCUAUCUAGCUGCUCCGUCAACCAGGGACCUGAAAUUUUAAUCCCCAAACCGGGAUGAGACAAUAUCUCAGCAAGUUCAACCCCCUAAACCCUUAUUAGAAAGAAAAUACACCCCGGGUGACCUGGCCACAUCACACAAAAGACUUACCUUGCAUUAGCCUUCACAUGCAGGUUAGCACAAUUUAUAUAAUUCAACCACGUACAAUUAUGAUAACCAAACAACCAUGGCACAAUCACAUCAUCAGAACAAUUCAACCACUUGGAUCGUCUCAACGAUCAAUCGACUUGGCCGAUUACAUGUCAUUCUAGCAAAUCAAUCAUUGCUCUCAAUCACGGCCCCACUCGGCCAAUUUUAGAAUUAGUGGCAUCACGGCCCCACUCGGCACGACCUUUAAAAAGGUGGUAGAUUACGGCCCGGUUGGGCGCGACCUUUAUCAAGUGGCAAUUCACGGCCUCACUGGGCACGACCUUUAUCAGGUGGCAUAUCACGGCCCCACUGGGCGCGAUCUCUAAUAGGUGGCAUAUCACGACCCCACUGGACGCGACCUUUAUCAGGUGGCAUAUCACGGCCCCACGGGGCGCGACCUCUAAUAGGUGGCAUAUCACGGCCCCACUGGGCACGACCUCUAAUAGGUGGCAUAUCACGGCCCCACUGGGCGCGACCUUUAUCAGGUGGCAUAUCACGGCCCCACUAGGCGCGACCUCUAAUAGGUGCCAUAUCACAGCCCCACUGGGCGCGACCUCUAAUAGGUGCCAUAUCACGGCCAAUCACCCAUCAAUUUCCACACUUGGAACUUUAUAAAAAGAAUCCAUAUUUAUCACAAUCACACUCCAUUUGCCACAAUCAAUCAUCAAAUUCAAAUUCUAAGUAUGCAGCAGCGAUUGGCACGAAAUUCUGAGAGUAUAAAGUCCCGACAAAAUUUUCGGAAUUUAAUAAAUAAUUAAUUUUAUUCCGAAAAUUAAUUAAAUAAUAUUAUCCAUAGUUUUCGCAAUCCAUGCUCAAUUUAUAANNNNNNNNNNNNNNNNNNNNNNNNNNNNNNNNNNNNNNNNNNNNNNNNNNNNNNNNNNNNNNNNNNNNNNNNNNNNNNNNNNNNNNNNNNNNNNNNNNNNUGACUACACAGCAGAGAUCGGCACGAAAUUCUGAGCAACCGGGGUCAACAAUAAUUUUUCCUUUUUUUAUAAUAAUAUUUUAAUAAUUUCGGAUUAUAAUAUAAUAUUAUAAUUUCCAGAAUUUCGAAACAUUUAAAUAAUUCAAAAAUAAAACCUAUUAUGUCACAUCAAGGUUUAUUAUCAAAUAAACUCUCUUAGCCUUUAAUUAAACAUGCUUUAAAUUAAACAAACAUCUUAAUUUAAUUCACAAUUAAAUAAACUAAACUAAUCACCUAAGCUUACUUAACUUAGGCUAAGCACACUUAGGGCAUCAUUAAUCGUCUAAUCAAGGUUUAGUGAGCUAAACUCACCGGAUUAGCGAGCCGAGCGAACCAAAACGACGAGGACGACCCGAGGAUCGACUUUCUUCAAGGCGGACCGAGCAUCCGGGCUCGGGAAGACGGCCAAAACGGGCCAAAUAGGUGCUGCCAUACCCAUUUUUGCAGCCACUGAUUUGGGGCUGGAGGAGGCGGAUCCGGCGCCGGAAUGGGCGGAGGAGGGCGGCGGCAGCUCGUUGGUGGCUCGGACGGUGGCACAUGGCGGCCAGGCGGGCCUCUAGCGACCUUCACGACAACGAACGGGCGGCUGGACGGUGAAGGGACGACGGCUGGUGGCAGACGAAGCAAGAACGGGAGGGGUGGAGCAGCUCGCGUGCAGACGGGCGGCGACGGCGAACGGCGUGCGGCAGUGGUGAACGGCGGAGGCGUGCAACCUCUUCGGCUCCGCUGGUCUGCUCGGUUCUGCCCAGCAACAAGAAGAAGAAGAUGGAGGAUAGACGAUCGAACGGUAGGGGAAGAGAAGAAGACGGAAGGCAAACGGCGGCGACGGCGGCGAGCGGUGAGCUCCGGCGAUGGGCGACAAGCGGCGAAGGAGGCGGACGGCGAGGGGCUGCUUUGGCUUCUUCCUCUGCAAAUUUUCUGGUCUUUCGCACAAAGAAGAUGGAGGAGAAGCCAACAGAAGGGAGAGAGGAAGGAGAGAGAAGGAGAGAGAAGGAGGGGGCCCUUUUCUUUUCUUUUUCCUUUUUUUUAAUCCAACAAAUGGCCUAUCAUGACAUCACUUGAUGAUGUCAUACUCUACCAUCUCCCACAACCUUAUUCCAAUGGGUUCACUUGCAAUUUCCGCCGGGGUCCAAUUCUUUGUACAAUAACUUCUUCAAUUUCACUUGAUUCUCUUCUAAUUGAAUUAAAUUAAAGCUCAUAAAAUUAAUUCAAUGUCACCACACUUCAAUUCACAUCUUCACUUGUCUAUAGAACCAACUUAAGUCCCAAAAGCAAGACCAAAGGCGGCCUACUAAUUUCUCGAGCCAAAAUAGCCAUUCUCUAAUUUAAUUUCUGAAAAAUUCUGAUUACAUGAAAAAUCUUCCGAAGAUGAGUUAAUGAUCCUAAAAUAAUUUGUGACACACCCAGACUUCCAAUUUCUGAAUUCUGACUCAAUUUCACGGUUAAUUUCAUUUUGGCACGAUACUAGCGUGGCCCAACCUAUCGGGUAGCCUUUAGAAAUUUUCAUGCAUUGACNNNNNNNNNNNNNNNNNNNNNNNNNNNNNNNNNNNNNNNNNNNNNNNNNNNNNNNNNNNNNNNNNNNNNNNNNNNNNNNNNNNNNNNNNNNNNNNNNNNNGCCGUCGAAUUUCGGUGAGUUAACUUCCUAAUCCUUAAUUAGGUUGUUAAUUUCACUUAGGGGUUAUAUUAGUGUUAAUUAGCAUGGUUAUAUUAGUGCUAAUAAUCAUUAGUGUUAAUUAAGUUGGAUUAGCUUAAAUUCAGAUCAGUUCACUGGACCCUCAUUGUUUGCCAUUUUUGUGGAGAAAAUGUGCUACAAUUUUGAGGUAGCUUUCUUCUUAAAAAAUGUUCUAGACAUCUUUAGCUAUGACAUAUAUUUUACUCAGAAUUUUAUGGAUUUAAAUGAACAAGAUUUCAGUCUCGCCAUUUGCAAAAUAGAAUCUUGGAUUGUGCUGAAACAAUGACCUUUUGGUGUUCAAUGAAUUUUUAUUAACUCUUAGGGUUCAAUUUUUAAAAGAUUUUUUCGACGAAAGUUGUUUUUCACAUCUUGUAGUUUAACAUAUUCAAAUUUCAGAUCAAACAGACAAGUUUUGGACCUUGAACCAAACUGAUUUUGGAAAACAAAAUUUUUGGAUAUGGGCACAGUUUUUGUAACGGUUUGAGCGAAUUACUGCUCUUAAUCUAAGAAGAUUUGGGUUAAGUUGUCUUCAAUAAAAAUGUUCGUUUAGGUGUCCUUUACAACAUAUUCAUAUUUGAGAAUUUUUCGAAUUCGUUUGAUUACGUUUCUGGAUUUAAACUCGGAGACGUGCGAGUGGCCAGAUUUCUACCGGUUAGGAUCGGUUGUGAUUUUGUUGUUGUUCUUGGUGUAGUACUUGCUGAAUCAUGUGUAUUUGGUGAUGAGGUUGACUCGUGGCAUGCUAAGAACUUAUGUGUGAGAUCGUGAGGUUAAUUGGUCUUUGUUGGUUAUUUAUUGUUAUUGCAAAAUGUGACCCUUUGGACUAUUAAAUAGAAAAUAAAUGAGGUGUCGAGUCCGGACACCAAAACUUGUUUGCCCAAUACAAAAAUAAGGUUUUAAACUAGGUGCGUGCAAAUUUUGACGGAUUAAUUUUGAGUAUGUGAGCACUUAUGAAUUUAUUUCUAAACGUGUUAAAAAAAAAAAAGAAGAGGUUAUUAAAGCUUAGUUCCAAAAAGGAGUGUUUGGAAAAGAAAUUAGAAAAGAAAUAUGAUAUCGGGUUUGGACGCCAAGUCUUAUGUGCUCAAUAAAACGAGGAGGUUUUAUACUAGAUGCGUGCAAAAUUUGACUGGUUAAUUACAAGUACGUGACCCUGUACGAAUUUAUUUUGAAAUGUUUUGAAAAAAAAAGGGUAGUUGCAAGUUUUAUUAUUUGAAAAUGAAUUUUGGUUUUCUUGGCUAAAUGACGGAAUACAAGAAAUGGGUUUGGUUGAUGACAUGCAUGUAUGGUCACUAAGUGGAACUCGUCACUCAACGGGAGUUUGGGGGCGAUGCCUAAUUUUAUCGGAUGCUUGGCGAGGGUCUAGAAGCCAGUAGCGGUGGAGGCUGGACCAAUGCUCCUUUAUGGGAUGCCGUCUAGGCAGGGGUUCUAGACGUUGCCGUGCCCGAUGGGGCGGGACGAUGCCUGAUUUUUAUUGAAUGCCUGACGGGGGUUUGGAUGAUCGCCGACUGGGGAGUUGGCUGUGGCCGAUGGGCCUUAAUAACUAAAACAUGCCUGAGUGAUUGAAAGAGUUGUGCCUUAUUAUCGGGCAAAAUUAUGUGGCACGGUAUGAGGCGUGUCAUAACGGUUUGGCCUUAUAAUUGUGACCCUUGUGAUUGAUUGAUAUAUGAAAGUGAGGCAUUCCUAUUGUUGAUUACGCUUGCUGCGUGUAUAAAUGUAUAUGAGAUGUACUAAUAUGCAGUAAGGUGCUAAGGCGAGGUAAGUUCUGAGUGGUGCAUGUUUAGGACGCCUUUGAGUGAAUUCUCGUCAUAAUCGGGGUUUAGAGUGUUGACUCGCUAAGACAUUAUCUCACCCUGUCGUGGUUUAAAUUUUUCAAGUCCCUAGUGUGGAGAACCUGGAGCCCGAGGCUAAAGGGUCUGGAGCGUAGAUGGCCCAGUAGAUUCUUUUGGGUCAAACCUUCUGUUUAUAGACCUAUAAGACUGGUUUGAUAUGUGUAUAAAGUGAUUUGUGAUAAUUGGCUUGUCUUUCCACUAUCCCAAUGUUUGAUGGUGGUCAGGGUAUUUGUUUAUUUCGCUUCCGCAUGUUCAUAAAAUGAAAGAGUCGGUGACGCAUCUUCGGAACGUCGCAAAAUUUUAGUUGACCGCCGAGGGAUGUGUACAUGCCCGAGGUUCGAGGUGUGACAUAGAGUGCUUGAAGUCUUGCUCAUAAUGCUGCAACAUUCUUCUCGUCAGCAACUCCUAUUAAAAUCUCACCUGACAAGUUCAACAGAAUUGUGCUAUUUGCUCUUUCCAUUAGAUCUAUCCUCUCAGCGGCUUUCAUUAUAGUUAGCAACUCAUCUUCAUUAUCAAGUGUCUUGGCCAAACCUUGGUUGUUAAUAAUGCCCGCAUCUUGAUGCUCCAUAACCCAAAGUUGUUCCUCUCAUUGAACUUCUCAAUUUCCGAUUUCCUCUCAAACAUAAUUGCAAAAACGGAAUUUCCAAAUAACAAUUAAACAAGCAAAAACUCCAAAUCACAAUCAAUAAAUUUGAUCCCAAGCUCUGAUACUAAUUGUUGAAAUAUAUAAUACGUGAAAAUGACAGGAUCUUACAAUUUACGUUAACGUGAAAUCACUAGAGAAAUAAAUGAAAAAUAAUAAGGACACCAAAAAUUUACGUGGUUCGGUCCCAACGAGGAGAGCCAGCAACAAAUAAUCUAUUAUAAUCGGAUAAUCAGAGUUUACAAUUGCUCACAUGCUUAAGUGUUUUCCACACCUAGAUUUAAGCCAAAACCCAAAGUAUUUAUAAAUAAACAACUCAUUUGGACAUAAACUCACAAUACAAAAUUACUGCACAUUCAAGCUCUAGAACAAAUGCUCUACGUACACAAAACAAGAACUAGGCGUAUGUCUCUUCUCCACAUACGUAUAGCUUCGCGUUCUCUACCCUUGAAGGCUUGUGCGAUGUAUGGACGUGUGGACGUGCGGCUCCUUUUUCUUUCGUAGGGCUUCUGUUCUUUUUUCCACUAUAGAGCACCCCUUUUAUAUUGUGUGCCCAUAGUCAAAACUUUGACUCUGGCCCCACCUUGGAUUCUUUUCUCCAAUAUGGGUUCUUCUUCUACCUUCUUCUUCACGUACAAAGAAAGAUAGAAAACCCUAACUUUUGUUUUAUUUUAUCUUUAUUUUAUUUCCUCCUUUGUGCAGCUAUAAGGAGUCCAACAAAAAAAAAAGGGUUUUUUCAUCCAAUUUGAAAUCUACUUGGGAAAUCUUUCUCGACAAGUUCAAUUUAACAAAUCAUUAUCUAAAUUCAAACUCAAGACAUUAAUUUAACAAAAAUGCCCUUUGCAUCAAUAAUUAUCCGAAAUUUUCUAAAUCAUUUUGGCUUUUAGAUAAGUUUUAAAAUUGGAACCUCCUUGGAUACAAUGGCAGAUAUAACUUGCUUCAGUUUUGGCUCAUACACUAGUUUUUAGGUCCACACCAUAUUGUGUAACGAGGCAUAGCUUUCUAAAAGAAAGCUACUCUCACCGAAUUAUCUUAAAUAGUAACUUGUGCCAUUUUGCUGGUCCUUCGUGUUUGCUUUUGUGAGUUCGGGCUUGUAUUAUAUCUUUCCUUCUUAGACAGUUCUUUGCCUUAUAUUUCUUAUUCAAUUGUUGGACGCAUCAAAGAGCAACCAAAAGCAUCCGAUCCAUUCAUUAAACACAUGAACUCAUAUUCUAGUGGAGUUAUUCGCCAAAUUUACGAUAUGGACACCUUGAUGCGCUAUUUGGAUUGUGCCUCAAUUUUCAAUUUACGCUUCAUAUUCUUAUCGCAGGAUUUCAAACAACCACCUUACCCAACUCAAUUUGAUUAAUAUCAAAACACUGUAAGUGAGUCAGCUUCAUUAGUAAACUAAAGUAGAUCACCGAAUCAACAAGCAAUUCACCGCCUCAAUCAAAGACUAGACAUGCUAGCAUAAUAAACCACGCAGAUGUCAUGAAAUAAUGCAUAACAUAUGCUAAUCACUAGAGGUGAGAAAAUGGAUGAUGAACCCAUUUUGUAAUUCAGAUUCAAUGACCUGGUAAUAACAUGAGUUGUUAGCUAUCUGUGAUAAAAGGGAGGUCUAAAACUUUCUAUUUUUUUUUUAUUUCAAGCCACUCUUAAAUGUGGUGCGACACAAACAUGGACAUCACCUAUACUUAGUCCACUAAUCAGAGAUAUGAUCAGAAGAAAUCAAGAACGGACCUCACUAAAAAAGUGCACCAUUUCAUGGCAAUAAUAUAAGAACAAUGAAAACAAUAAUAAAUAAUAAUAAUUUGUACGCCCUUCAUCCAAUUGGUCGGCUAAAUGUGCUUUGAGUCAUGGUGUAAACCAAGAGUUCAUGUACUAGAUCUUAGAAGGAACUCCUGAUAUCCUCAACAGUUUCAUCGUAUUUUUGCCAUUGGGUCUUCCUUUCGUAACAUACACACACGCAGACGGAAGUAAAAAGCAUCAUAAGCCAGAAAAACUUUCCGAGGAAUGCUCUCGAACUAUUCGUUCUUAAAAAUAUUUAACGUCUAGCAUCACAUUUUAAAUUGUUUUAAUGCCUUAUCGAGAAAAGAAAAAAAAACAGUUAGUAUCUCUUAGCAAAGCCCUUAGGUUAGCACAUGGAUUACAUAAUCCAUUGCACAGACAAUCCAUUAAAUAUGCUAUUCGGGAAUUUAAUUAUUGGAAUUAGCGUGUUAUAUCGCAUACGUGUGGAUAAGGAGAGUAGCUAAGCUAAGCUCUUACAAUAGAUCAGAGGGAUAAAUAAUUAACUUGAUGCUAUGGACUACUUCGAUGUCUCCUUUUGCAUGUCCAGCUCCAGUCCGAUCCAACCAUUUUAGUGGGUCUUUUGGAUCGAUGAUUUCAUCACUUUGUUCUUCGGUUAUAAAAUGGAAGUUUAGUGGAGUAAUGUGUAACAUUGAAAGUUUAGAAGGAACCUUGUAUUACCCCUUAAAUUAGGGUAAUUUUUGUGUAAUUUUCCCGUACAUUUAUUAUGCGAUGCCCAAUUUCUAAAACACUAUUCGCAAGGUGAUAGGGUAGGGUGGAUUUAGAAAAUUAGAUGUAGAAAUAUGAGAAACCAAACUUAUAUUCUAACUAAGCGUCUCAACUUUUCCAUCAAAGUCACCAAGGAGCCACAUAAUAUAAGGUCCGUGAUUAGUGUGAACCCAUUACAAUGUUGGGCCGACAAAAAUCGAUGGACAUCUGACUUCACGGCCUUGAGUAAGGACAUUCAUAAAAAUCACAAUUUCUUACUCCUAGGGGUGAGCGGGUCCAGGGUGGGUAGGGUCUAGACCUGGACCCUGUUCCCUACUCUAUUAUAACCGGUUCUCCUUUUUUGGACCCUGUUCCCUACCUGUUUUUAUUGGACCCUGUUCCCGGCCCACCCUAUUUUUCCGAUCCGGGAACAAGGUUGACCCUGUUUAUAUUGGAACCUGUUCUGCAUAAAAAUUAACCUUAGAAAAGCAAGUCUAGAUGAGUUAUCUUGCUGCUUGGCCAAUUCUUUCUGCAAUCCCCAGCAAAAAUAUCAAGAUCAAAAUUAGUCAGGUGCGUUAAAUAACCCCUACCAUUGACUUGCUUCAGUUAAUCAGAAUCAAACUAACCUUGAAGACUGUUUCUUCCUUCCACAUCUCAACCCCUUUGCAGAACGACCUUGACGAGGUUCCUAAUCAUUCAAAUGGCCAAGAAAAAUGUUGACAGUCUUUUGGUCAAUAACUAAAUUGUUCUACUUACAGGAGGAGCUAAAGAAAUCAGAGUGGAAAGCAGAACGAGAAAGAAUUGAACAUAAUUUCCCAGUGACAAACCUAAAAAGAGUAUGAUGAUUAAAACGGUGAUGAGCCAGUAAGGGAAGACCACACUGAGCGCUACACCGACGGUGAUGCCGAGCAUUAGCAUGGGCUGGAACAGAAGGGCCAGAUCAUAGUCUAUGAUGGGAACUUCCCUCAUCGGAUGGGGUACUCUCAGGUUGUACCAGACAGAGGCCGUGGAUGCCCCCGUUAUCAUACCUGCACAAAUACCAAAACUUUCAAUUAACAAAAGUCCUUGCUGAGAAGUUGGCAUAAUUCUUCCCAGCUCCUUUAGCUAGAGAAGCAAGGAAAGGCCAAAAAAAAAAGGAAACAAUUCAUAAACAAACCUCAAAUCAACAAAAAAAAACACUGGACUUGAAACAAUGAACACAGAGAAAAAAGUUUCCACUUUUCGAGCGUAAUUAUCAAUCUAAGCUCGUUAAAAAAUGAUUUCCUUCCUUUUGGUUACUUUUGUGUGCUCUUCAACGCGUGUGGCAAGGUAAAAAGGAAAGUGUUCACCACCAUCACCAUCACGUCACAUCUCAUUCCAACUCUAGUAUAAUCUCACUGCAACCUAUGGUAGGCACCGAAUCCUGUACAAAUGACCACUUGCAACGGCACUAAAAGAAGGAAACAGAAAAGUGAUUGAGAAGGAGAUUAUGAUAUUCUGAGGAAUUUUGUCCGACUCACACUUGGAGAUGGCAGCAGCAGACUUGGUGUCGAACCCGACGACGAGGGUGAGCAUGGGCACGAAAAUGCCGCCGCCCCCGACGCCGCCCACCGUCCCACAUGCCGACCCCAGAAAACUGAUCACCGUGGCCACCACCACCCGCCACCCAAACUCCAAAUCCUGCUCCACCCCCAUCACCCAGAAAACCAAACGAAAACCACCUUUAUGAGUCGAAAUCCACGUUGGCAAAAAGUAGACCUGUUAAACGGGUGGGUCGGGUCGGGUUUGGGUCGGGUCAUAAAUGGUCCGACCCAAAUCGACCCAUUUAACCCGUUUAUGACCCAUUUAUUACAAUGCAAAAAUUUUAACCCAUACCCGACCCGACCCGUACCCGACUCAUACCCGACCCAUUUAACGAAACAUAAAAAAGUUUAUAUAUAUAUUUUUAAAAUGAUAUUGCUAAAAUGGUUUUAUACAACAUAAAUUUAAUAGAUAAUUUUUAUAAUUUUUAAAAUAAUUAUUUAAAAAAAAAUCGAAUUUUAAUUAUUUUUUGUUUUUUUAAAAAAUUAAUUUUUUUAUUUUUUAUUUUUUUAAAAAUAAUUUUUUAAUUAUUUUUAUUUUUAUUUUUAAGAAUAUAAUAUAAUAUUUCUUUUUCUUUUUCUUUUUCUUUUUCUUUUUCUUUUUCUUUUUUCUUUUUUCUUUUUUCUUUUUUCUUCUUCUUCUUCGGUCAGCCGCCGGCCACGACGACUGCCGGCGGCCGGCCACAGGCGAGCCUCGAGCUCGCCCGGCUCGCCGACGCCGGCGAGCUCGAGGCUCGCCAGAUCCGGCGAGCUCGAGCUCUCCCGACGCCGGCGAGCUCGAGUCUCGCCCGACGCCGGCGAGCUCGAGUCUCGCCAGAUCGGCGAGGCUCCAGAUCCGGCGAGCUCGAGGCUCGCCAGCGUCGGGCGAGCUCCGGGCUCGCGGGCGUCGGGAGUGGCCGGGCUCGCGGGUCCCGGGGCGUCGGCGAGGCCUCCGCCUCGCCAGAUCUGGCGAGCUCGAGAGCUCGCCCCUCGCCCGACGCCGGCGAGUUCGAGUCUCGCCAGAUCGGCGAGGCUCGAGCCUCCGCCUCGCGAGAUCCGGCGAGCUCUAGCUCGCCCGACGCCGCUCGCCCGGCCGGUCGCCGGCCAUCGCCGUGCCGGCGACCGGAGGAAGAAGAAAGAAAAAAAUAAGAAGAAAGAAAAAAUAAAAAAUAAAAUAAAAUAAAAAUAAUUAUAAUUAUAAUUUCGGUUUUUAUAAAAAAAAAAAUUAUAAAGUCAAAGAGAGGAGAGAGAUGGUGGGGUUUUGAAUGAAAAUAAAUAGGUUUAUUUUUAAUGGGUUGAUAAAUGGGUCAACUCUUUAACCCAUUUAAAACCCAUAUAUCUUAGUCUUAACCCAUUAAAACUCAUUAUGGGUGCUUUAUAAAAGAAAGCUUGACCCAUUAAUGAUCCAUUUAACCAUAAAUGGGUCUAUAAAUGGGUUGUGCAACCCAUUUAACACCUCUAGCAAAAAGCUACGAAAACAGAGCCCGAAGUGCACCCGCGGCGGGUGUGGCGCGGCGGGGGGCUCUGGGGAAGGCAAGACGAGAGGCUGGAGCGAGGAGGAGGAGGCGAGGAAGGGGUCGAGCAGGUGGAGGUUGUCGGGGGUGACGACGACGGUGACGGUGACGGUGACGGCAGGGGCAGCGGGGCGGGGGAGGAGGAGGAGCUUGGCGGCGGUGGUGCGAGCGCGAGGGGAACCGGGAGAGGAGCUCAGGGAAGUCUGGUUCUCUGCGUCUGCGCCUCUACGGGUAAAGAUAGAAAUAAAAUUAGGGUUUUGCUGGGGUAAAAACCGGUUCUCCAACCGGUUCCCAAACCGGUCUGGUCGAACCGGUUCUCGGACCAGUUUAAACAGGGUCUGAGUUUUGGGAACCGGUUCCCGACCCUGUUUUCCGGGUGGGCCGGACCGGGAACCGGGUAAACCCGGUCCGGUUGCACACCCCUACUUACUCCAAGCCGCAUGGAACUGGUGAUGUUUUCCCGCAAUGGAUCCAAACCUGUAGAACAGCAAACAUCUUUCAACAAACAACUCUCAUCGGCGAAUGUUCUCUUACGAAUUUGUGUUAGCAAGGCAAGACAGUCACGUCAUUUCUCGAAUCAAAUGGAAACUGCAAAUUGCCAUUUCCGCCGCCUUCCAUUUAUACUCUCUGCAAUGCACGCACAAUAACCGUUCAAUCACAGAGCUUUACCUCAUAGCAAAAAGGAGAGUCAUGACGCGUCACUCCUUCCAUGCAAUGGCUGUUUUUCAGCAAGAUUAGAUAGCAGCAACUCAUGCAGCAUGACAAUAAGUGAAGGAGAUUAACUUCAGUUCUUUCCAUCACUAUUUGUGCUGGCCUCAGCACCGGAUAACUGAAGCUUACCACAUUCUCUCGCCCCACAAUUCUGAGAGAAAAUACAGUUAGAUAUGUAUCAAACGUGCAACAUCAUCGACGACAAAGAAAUGACGAGAGCAACAUCCAAAGGCGGGGAACUCUAUAAAUUGAAAGAUAAAUACCUAAAAGGAAACUAAUAAUCUUCUCCAAGGGUGAUGAUUGACAGAAAAUGAGAUGCAUCCAGGAAUUUUGAUCUAACAUCCUCAAAUUAUUAGUUUGAGUCUUAGACUCAUACUAUAUCUAAUCAUCUAGCUAUUAUUUGUGAAAAAAAUUUGGGUGCUCUUGAAACAUGACGUUUUCAUAAUCGCUUUGACACGAUUGCGUAUCACUGCUAAUAGUGGCCAUACCUGCAAAUGUCACGUCCAUUGCAGCGAUUCUGCUUCUUGGAUGUCUGCAGAAAAAAUAAAGUAAGAUGUCAGGACCAUGUGAUCUUAUCGUCUUCAACUGCAGGAUAUAGCACCCAACACUUCUGAGAAUCUGUAAAAUGCAAUUAAUGAACUUUUUUCUUUCUCAUGUUUGCACGUUAUGCAGCAUUUUUAUGCUCAAGGUUUUGAAAUAUUUGCUAGGGGGAGAUGGCGGACAGAUACUACUUCUGACAUAGAGAGAGACUUGACCGAUGUCACUGUCCGAGACACAUGAAAGAAAUUGAGCAGCAAGAUAAGAAAGAAUUGACGCACAUCAUCAUCGAAAAACUUACAAGUCCAACGAAAGUACUUCCCCAUGCAAACACCACCUGCGAACAUGGAAACCAAAGGUUGAGAAUCAACAUCUGCUCUGUAGUUUAUUUUUGGCCAGUCUUUUUAAACAACUUCACAGUUUUUACCCUCCUUCGAAAAGCUCUUUAGUGCAAUUAAAGUAGGCAAUGAAGGAUAGAAUGUUUAAAAUUACCUCUUGUGCACUAUCACAGAUUAAGCAUACAACCUGAAACAAAACAUGUAGGUAAGUGGGAACAUCAAGUGAUUAGUCGGUCUAUAAACAUGCUAGAAGUUCAAUAGCAUCCACCCGCUGAACUCAAUGGCAAGGCGAGUCAAUGCCUUGCUUUUGUUUACAUUGAUAUGUUAUUAUGCCCAUAUGAGAACGGAAUGUCUUGUUAUGAAAAGCACGUCCACAGGUUGAAGAUUGAAGAAUCGAAUAUUUGUCAUAUUCGCCAAACUGUAGACUACUUAUUCGAACUCAAUUUGCAUGGCGACUUCUACCUAUAUCCGUCACGCAAUAAUGGCAAACCGCACAUAUCAAAAUAUUGGCACACACAAUAGAAAGUCAACAAUGGUUCAGAGUAAAAUCUCAUCUUAAGAUAACUCAUGUCACUAGCGCCCAAAAUUCAAAAGCAGCUGAAGCUGUGCCUAUAUUUUGGUUAACGAUCAUCCUCUAAUAUAUGGCAAGUAAAAUGCAAUCUAUCAACCGAACUUGCACGAAAGUAUCUUGUAGGUAUCUAGUGCGUUCUUCAUGUCAUAACUAAAGGAAGCUCUCAAGCACAUUUAAGUCUAUGAGGGGCACGAGGAAUCACCUUUGCAUCAUCAUGACAGUGAAGGCAAUAAAAAAUCUCGUUGCAACAGGGGGAUCUAUUGCGGCACCUUCGACGGUAAUGAGGACAUCUGCCGCAGCAGCAGCAACAACUUUGAUAUUAACUGAAAGUUGAGAAGGACAAAGCUUGAACUACUAUUGCUCGAGAAUGAGUCAAGACAUUACUUGUACGGCAAGUACCGCUCUCUAACAAAUCAGUAGCGAUAGCAUCUUCGUGGUCAGAACAGAGCACGGUCGGAAACACGAUUGGACAGCGCUGGAAUCGUAACAACGGGAGGGAACCGAGUGGUGGCCUGAUCGGAAAUGGAGCGGCCGUGGAACCAGAGGGAAAGCAGGACCGAGAGAACAUUUCUCUGUUUUUAGUUCCCCCUCUUCCUUCGUUCGGAGAGAGAGAGAGAGAGAGAUAAAGGUGAGGAAGGAAAGAGGCCGGGCCUUCACUCGGCAUGGGCCUUGGACCUCGGAUGGGCUCCAUUUUUCAGCUCCUUUCUGUUGCUGAGUCUUAUUCGAUGGGCUAUUGGACAAAUCUAAAGAGAUCUGGGCUCAAGUCCCGAUAUUGUCCGGCGGGGAGCGCGAGCUGUGGAUCUGGGCUGAGGUCUUAUUAGUCCUCUCCUUUAAAAAAAAAAAAUUGUUAACUUCAUUUAUCUUUACAAAAAUGCAGAGUCAAUUUGCUAGCAAAAUUUAGGCGUCAACGUCCACAUUGCCAACUCAUCCUGGUUCCAAUGACCAUAAUUGUUUCUGUCAAAGUAUGGAGUUCUAGUGAUAGAUUGACCCUCAUAAAAAUUUUUACUAAGGUUGGAAGACAGAAUAGGAUCUUUAUAAUCAGAAGUAAACAACACUUCAAAGUACAAGCAACGUAAUAUUUAGGCUCUGUUCAUUUCAUGGAAAAUAACUUCUAGAAAAAUGUUUUUCGAAUUUUCCGACGUUCAUUUCACGAAAAAUAAAUUAGUCAAGAAAAAUGUUUUCUACUAUUGGAAAAAAGACACAUUCAAAAGUGAGGGGAAUAUUUUCCACUUUUAAAAAGUAGAAAAUAUUUUUCAUGACUACUUUCACCUCAAUUUCUUUCACCAAACACAUUUUCAUUCCAUUUUUAUGUUUUCUUUUUUACAUCGAUUUUUUAAUUUCUAUUUUCUUUUUUGCUUUUCUCUCUUUCCUUCUCUUAUUCUUCUUUUUUGACCUUGGCAGGUUGAUGAAGAAGAAGAGAAAGAAAGAAAGAAAAGGCAAAAAGAAAAAGAAAAAAAUUAAACAUUAAAAAAUAGAUUUAAAAAAUGAAAUAAUGAAAAAAUCAUUGAAAUUGAGCGCAUGUAGGAAAAUAUUUUUCUUACCGAAUGGUGGAAAAUAUUUUCUAGUUCAUUUUCAAAUUUCAGCCGAAUACGGGAAAAUAUGAUUAUUUUCUUGGAAAAUGACUUGCUAGAAAAUAAUUUUCAAAAACACCACAUUUUUCAAGAAAAAAAACGAAGCCUUAAUACUAGUUAUUGAGGUCAACAAUGCAACCUAACGAAGGGAUGAAUGGGUUGAUUUACAAAAGUAAAAAAUAAUUUAUAAUAGGUCACGUUAAGAAACGCAAAUUAAAUAAAAAGGGGAAAAGGCCUCGAUAACAAAAACUUCAAAUGAUAAUAUUUGAUCAUGCGUUAUGUAUAUAUAAAGGUUUAAUUAAUGUAAAAUGAUUGAUCUACAAAAAAUCUAGAAAGAACUUAUCAAUGAAAAUGAUGUCCUUAACUCAUAAAAGACGAAGAUGAAUCAAACUCUAAGGUGAUUUUGUUAAAAAAUAUUUUUAUUGAUCAAUUUUCUCUUACAUUAAUUAACCAUUUAACAACAAAAAAUGAGUGUCAAUUUUUUUUAUUUGAUUCUUAGUUGUUUGAGGCAUUUUUCCUUUCUACUUAAUUACGUUUCUUUUUGUUCAAAAACCUACUAGUUCUAUUAAUAUAUCCAUGAAUUUUCUACCAACUUUUAUUAUCUAUAUUAUUAUUGAUAGUCAAAUUUUAUGGUACUGAUAAUUUAGUUAAUUUUUUUCUCCAUUUUCUGUAUUUUUUAUUUAUUUUUCUUACAGAAAUCAACAGUAGAAGGCAUUCUUUCGAGAAAAAAUGAGAUGAAGAACAAGUUUACCCCUUUAACGUCAUCUCCAUUGCACAUGUGAAUGGAGAAUAUAGUGAAAUGUUAACGGCUAUCACCAAAUAAAAGUUGAAGAAGUAAUGUGUAACAGUCAAAAUUUUAUGUCAAACAUGUAUUUUCCCGAAGUUUGGAGUAACUUUUGUAAUUUUUCCACAAAUUUAUUAUGCAAUGCCAAAUUUCUAAUAUAUUCACAGGGAGAUUAGUGUGUAUUUACAUAUGUUGGGUGUGGAAAUAUGAGAAGCCAAACUUAUUUUAUACUUUAUGUAUUUUAGGUAUAUCAAUAUAGUUUACUAUUUAAUAAAAUUUUAUUAGAGAAUGAUGAAAAAAAGAUGUAAAAAAGAAAUAAAUUAAAAAAAGAGAGGAAAAAAAUAAUAAUAAAGUACAUAAUCGCAAGAAAUUUUUACCAUCUUCAUUUAUAAACUUUCAAGUUCGUUUAUAUUAAUACGUUGUUUAUAUCAAAUAAUAUAUAUGAUAUGAUGUGAAUAUGUCCAAUUUUAUAAUUGCGAUCAUCAAAUGGUGGAUAGAAUAUGAUAAAAUCCCACAAUUUCAUUGCCUAUCAUAUUUAAUCCUAGCCUAAUUAGAAAUUUAGAUGACUAAACAUAACCAAAGAGGAUAGGGAGUUGGCGAGCCAAUUUGAGUUUAGUGAGCUGAGUUGAUCGGCUUUCGAAACCUAGUUCACAAGCUAAUUAGCUUCCCCGGGUCAAAAGGCUAGAGACACUCGUCGCAUUUGGGCCAUAAGAUGCCGACAAUCCUCAACAACAGACCGGACUACCCAUGGGCUUUCAGUUUGGCCUGAGAUAUCACUUUCCAUCCUCACCUGCAGAUCACCACUUUUCCUUCCCAGAUCAAUUCUACCUUGUCUUCAACAGGAGUGCCAAGGCUUCUCUCACUGCUAGGAUUUCAGGCACGAGGGCCGGAGCAUGGAUUUUCUUGGCGAAGCCGGCCACGAGAGCCCAUGAGCAUCUCUACACACCCCAACUACUGAACCCACUCAAGAGCGAAUGUUGUGCACUGAGGCAGCAAAGAACUCUCAUUAAUCUCAUGCUUAAUGGCUUUGACCAAUCACCUUGUGCCAAGUGUUUAUGAGUGUUUCUUAUCUUCUUACAAAUACUAACAAUCCCAUCAUUCGCAUGGAUAAUUGCUUUGACACUUUUGAGUCUUACUUCCAAUGGUGGCCACACCAGUAAAUGCCAUGUCCAUUGCAAUGAUACUUGUUGUAACAUAUUAUCGCAUAAGCUAUCAGGAAAUUAAUGUGAAAUUAUUAGAGAAAUAAAUGAGAAACAAUAACGGACGCCAAAGAUUUACGUGGUUCAAUACCAAGUGUCGGUACCUAGAUCCACGGAGAGAGCUGAUAGCAGAUAAUUCACUAAUAAUCGGAAAAUCCAAAUUUGCAGUCACUCACAUGCUCGAAUAUUUCUCACACUUAAACUAGACUCAAAUUUAAAGUGUUCGCAAAAAUACUCACAACACAAAUCCACGGUGUGUAUAGCCCUGUUCACGGCCAAGCAACAAGCGCCCCACUCUCUGAUUCUUCCUUUCGUUCUUCGUGCGGCGGUCCCCAGGAAAUCACGGUGCGGCCAUUGUACUCUCUUUCUUCUUGUGCGGCUACACUUUGCUGAAGGAACCCACUCCACGCUUCUCAAAGAAAGAAGCCACUGGCAGCCAUUCACACAACGAGGAACUCCUUUUGUCUUGUAGUGGUGGGGGACUUCUUUCCUGUCAUUCGUCCAACCUUCGGCAAAGGUGAGUCCAACUCUUCAAUUUUGUUGUGCUAUCAAACUUGGAUAUUUAUUCAAUCUGAUUGGAUUCCAUAAAUGACUGAGACUCGAGACAUAAUUUAACGAUACCACUUGAAUGUCUGCAGGAAAAAAAAAAGUAAGACAUGAGGUCCAUGUAAUCAUAUUGUCUCCUGCUGCAGGAUAUGACACCUAACACUUAUGACAAUCUGUAUAAUGCAAAUAAGAAAUUCCCUUUCUAGCAUGAUUGCCCAUUGUUCAGCAUUUUUAUGCUUUUUGUUUACAUUGAUAUUAUCCAGGGCAUAUGAGAACAGUAUGUCAGGUUAUGAAAGGCACAUCCGUGGGUAAAAGAUUGAAGAAUCACAUUCAUCAUAUUAACCGAACUGUGGAGUACUUAUCCAAACUCAAUCCACAUGGUGACUUUCAUUUAUGAUACAAAGGAAGUCUGAUGCAAUUAACUAGAGAAUUAACUUCUAGAGAAUAUCAAUGGCAACAUUCUGCACAUAUUCAUCACAUAAAAAUGGAAAACUGCACGUCGCAAUAUAAGCGCACACAUUUCAAAGUUAUCAUAAGGUCAGAAUGCAAUCUCAUAUGAAGAUAACUCAUGACGCUAGUGCCCAAAAUCUGCAGGCAGCUGAAGCAAUGUCUCCAUUCGGUUGAUGAUUUUUCUCUAAUGUAUGGCGAGUAAAACUUUAAUUGCAAUCUAUCAACUAAGCUUGCUCUAAAGGAUCUCCUAGAUAUAUAUCUAAUGCCUUCUUCAUGUCAUGACAAAGGAAAUUAUUAAGCAUUCUUAAGUCUACGAAAGGCAGAAGGGAUCACCUUCACAUCAUUACCACAAUGAUGGCAAUUAAAGAUCUUGCUGCAACAGGGGGCUGUAAUGCAGCACCUUCAGCGGUAAUGAGGACAUCUGCAGCAGCAGCAACUUUGAUAUCAACUGAAAGUCAACAGGAAUUAACCUGGAACCGAUAUUGCUCAAGAAUGAGCCAAGACAUCACCUGUACUGCAAGUACCCUCUAUCUAGCACCCUGGUAGCAUUAGCAUCUUCUUCAGCUUUUUCAACAGGCAUCUGUUCCACAUCCAUAUGCUAAAGGACUGCCAGCUCAUUGUCUGUCGGACUUCUUCAUAUAAGACAUGCUGAAGGUUCCCACAUCAAACUGAUGAAACCUUGGUUGUUCAAUAGCUAGUUCAUCCGUUUUAGUUUGACUCUACUGAGACUACCAGCUACCUAGGCUAGCGAUGAGAAGUACCUGCAGAGAUGAGCAAACUUAUCAACAUUCCAUAGCCUCCUAAGAAUUUUACUUGGCCAGUCAAGCAAGGAGACUCUGCAACAUUGAUUUCUUCCACAAGACUCAAGACCAUUGACAUUGGCAAUAAGACCGUCCAAUUAAUGUGGAACAGCUCCAAUCAGCAGAGCUCCAAUCGAAGGAAUCAUCAAAACAAGUAGAUCUAAAAGAUUCCCAUAUAAUAACAUAAGUGAAGGAUUGAGGAACACCAGGGCAUCCCGCCAUGGAUAAUAAGGAAUUUUGAUCACUUAAUUCCUUGAAGUCUGGAACAAACUAUACCUGACACGACCGUGAAUGAGCCAAUCUCCAGUGAAAGCCAACAAAAUCACACAAAUCAAUUGCUCUAAAACGAAGUAAGACAACAGAAUAUGGCGAAAGAUUGCGAAAGCAAACCUUGUCCAUCAAGGAUAUACUACCUCCUUCCGCAAUUCUGCUUGAAGCUUCCUUCGAAAACUACUAAUAACUCAAGCCUCAGACAUUCCAUUGUGUUGACUCACGAGACUUUUCCUAUCAGAAGGCUCUUCCAACAAAACAAAUACCUCCAAGUUGACUAAUUGACUCCAUAAUGUACAUCUGCUGAGGACAGACAUACGUGUCCUUAAGUAAGAACCUUCAUGAAGAAGGUAUUUAUCCAGGUUAAUUGACCAACCUUUUCAUUUAUUCCACAUGUUAUGCAAGAGUCAACACAAAUCAAAUCGUCUUUAUCACUCUAGUCCAACAUUUCCUAUUUCAUGCUGUAUGAGCAUAUGCUUCUUCCAUGUGCAGGAAUCAAGCUUGUGGGUUAGUUGGAGGGAGGCAUGGAGAGAAUGAGAGAAAGAAUGUUUCUUUUUAAGCCUAGAAUUAUAGUCGAAGCCCCACUAAACAGAAUCAUAGCUCACAUCCAAAAAAAUUUGCCUACACUAGGAAGCAACCACUUUAUUUGUGUCACAAAACAAGUGAAUUCCGCCUUCCAUUGCCAUGGUGGACUGUUGCUUUAAAACAAUGCAAUGAUCUAUCUCCAAUCAUUGCAAAUGCUACUUUAGUAAUCCUCUUCUGACAGCAAUCAUCGGCAAUGGGAAUUUUGUUCCAUUUCAUGUACACUAGCCUAUAUAAACCAGCCUCUCUUCUGUGCCAUGGUCUACCAUCUUGAUUAAAUCUCCUUUCAUUGCACAUUUAAAAAAAAAAAAAAAAGGCAAAAAAAGGCAGAGCACGAGCAUAGAGAUUCCAGAAUUCUACUGUGAAACCCAAACUACAGUAUCCACAUUAUGCAUUUAUCUUAAAAAUGUCUAAAAGCCAACCAUUCUAGUAGAUAUUUCUCUAAGUUCUCAAUUUGCUACAUUGCAUGAGAACUAGGAUCUAGGGUAAAGGUGAGAAAGCUUGUCACUCGAAUGAGCAGAAAACUUCAAACCUAUACAUCUGUAUGUUACAUAGAGUAUGCAUUAGUGCACGUGUCAAUCUGUAAACUACUCUCCAAAUGAAUUCAACAUAUCAUUUGAUACGUUUAUUGUUUAGUCUCAUGACACUUGGAUUCUACAUUGUCCUGCAAAUUUCCAACAAGGAAAAUGGGCAAAAACUGCUCCAAUCAUUAGGAGAUCUCUGAAAAGAGGAAAACAUGAAAAGCAAUUGUACCCACUCCACCUUCCCCUGAAAACAAAAUUUGCAAGACUCCUGAAGGGAGAAAAUCUACAUCCUAUAAAAGAUGGAAAGGCUGACUAUCAUCUAAACCAUUAACAUUCUUCACUUGAGAAUCGAAUCAUCAGGCAAAGGUCAGAAAACAUGUCACUUGGAUGACCACAAAGUUAGAACCUAAACCUCCUAUGUCUUGCAGAGUAUGCAUUAGUGCAUAUGACAAUCUGUAGACUACUCUCCAAAUGAAUACAGCAGAUCAUUUGAUAUAAUUAUCAUUCAGCCUCAUGAUGCUUGGAUUCUACAUUGUUCAGCAACAUUUCCAGCACAAGGAAAGUGGGGAAAAAACUGCUCCAACCAGUAGGACAUACCCUUGAGCCAAGACCUCAGUCAUACGUAAGGAAAACAAGAAAAGCAAUUGUCUCCACUUUAUCUUCUCCUAAAUACUAAAUUCCCAAGGACUCCUGAAGUGAGAAAAUCUACACCCUAUAAAAGAUGGAAAGGCUAGCUUUCAUCUUAGCCAUCAUUAACAUUCUUCAUUUGAGAAUUGACUCAUCAGACAAGGCCAGCCAUGUAUAAUAUAUGAUAUUAGGUGUAAAAGAGCAGCCAGUCAAUUCUCUUCUUCAUCUUCUUACAAGGAACUUAGGUGAAUCUGCAUCAGCAUUCACCUUGUCUCCUGUUUCUCACUUAACAAAAGCCACCUAGCAUAGUAUGCUAUCAAGCCGCUUGGGGUGAAAUCCAAAUACAGUACAUAGCAUUUGGUGACCAACAACCGAAUUGCAAGCUAAAAUUCUAACAACACUAUAGCACGCUACGCUGUACACAAAAUGUUCCAGAAAAUAUUGACUUUCCAGAGUUAUCAAAUCCCAGCAUAUCUAACCAUUAAUGUGUGUGCCAAAUAAAUCACAUGACUCAUUAUCCAAUGAUUCGGGAAAUGAUUGCAAUGCCACAUCCUUAAUCACAUGAGAUAGCAGCAAAAGAAAAGAAAGCAGCAGGGAGUCCAUCACUUCGACAAAGGAAAAACAAGACCAUGCUAGUCCUCCAGUUAUCAACAAGAAUCAAUUCAUGAUGUGAUAAAAACUGCCAAAUGAAUGACAGUUCAAAAGGCCGUAGGAUCAUACUAACAUCAACAACAAUACCAUCAAAAUGAUCACAAACUCUUUCUCCCCAAGAGAAACCUCUUCCAAUGCAAAGGACUCUAUUCAAAUGAAAUCACCAUCGAGCCAGCAUUCCCAUUCCAUUAAUGUCGGAAUGUUCAAGAGAUCCCAUAUCAUUCAGCUACAUCAGAAACCAAAACAAGACAACAAAAAUAUCUCCGGACAAUCUUCAUUAGCUGUCUCAACACGACAAUGACAAGCCCAAAACCGAUUCCGAUUCAGACUCAUCCUUUCUCUUUCAGAACAUCAAAAUUUGAAUUUUUGUAGCUUGUAGCAGAGCACCGAUUAAAUCAGAUUGAUGCAUGUCGACUCUUAGAGGAUUCGUGCUCAUUUGUUUAUUUAUUUUUAUCAAAUUUUGUACUCGUGUGAAGUGUGUUAUUGAAAGAUAUAAUUUAUCUUUCGUUAAUUAUGCUCUAAAAAUUAUGCACAAAUUCUUGUCAAUUCAUGUUAUUUUCGAAUUCUCUCAAUAAUCACGUGAAAACAUAUCAAUUCGUAUCAAAGUUUGGGCUAAGACGUCAUCCCAAAUCUCUAAAGCAAUCCGCUUUUUAAGUUGAUAUAUAAUCACGAGAAACUAAGCCAUGAAAAUUAUGCAGGUGAUGGGUGCAAGAAGUUAGAGAAUAUAGUCGUUUGGAAACAGAAAAAUGUAAGAAUGAUAUGUAAAUAUAUUUUCUUAGUACUUUACGUAGACGACAUUUUACUUGCUAGCAGUGAUGUUGAUCUCUUGAAUGACACAAAAAAUUUUCUAUCUACAAAGUUUGAUAUGAAAGAUCUUGGGGAAGCCUCGUUUGUUCUAGGCAUUGAGAUUCAUCGUGACAGAUCUAAGAAGGUUCUGGGGUUAUCUUAGAAAAGUUAUAUAGAUUGUGUUUUGAAAAUAUUCAAUAUGCAGACCUGUAAGUCAGGUGAAGCUCCUGUUGUGAAAGGAGAUAAAUUGAGCAUAGAUCAAUGCCCCAAGAAUGAUGUUGAAAAAGAAAUCAUGAAGAAUAUUCCUUAUGCUAGUGCAAUUGGCAGUCUUAUGUAUGCACAAGUAUGUACCAGACCUAAUAUUGCUUUUGCUGUGAAUACUCUUGAAAGAUAUCUGUCGAAUCCAGGUCAAGAACAUUGGAUUGCAGCUAAAAAGGUGAUGAGAUAUCUACAACGAACAAAAGACUUUAUGCUCGUGUAUAGCAGAGUAGAGGACCUAAAGGUGAUUGGAUAUUCAGAUGUUGAUUUUGCUAGUUGUUCGAAUGAUAGAAAAUCAACUUCUGGAUAUAUUUUUAUGAUGGCUGGAGGUGCUAUUUCUUGGAAGAGCACAAAGCAAACCUUGAUUACGAACUCUACAAUGUAUGCUGAGUUUGUAGCGUGCUACGGUACGUCGAUUCAAGCAAUUUGGCUUAGAAAGUUGAUCUCAGAAUUGCGAGUCGUGGACUCUAUUGCUAAACCUAUGGUGAUCUACUGUGACAACACUGCAACUGUGUUUUAUUCCAAGCAUGACAAGGUUAGUAAUGCGUCCAAACACAUGGAGAUCAAAUAUUAUACUGUUAAGGACUUGGUCAAAAAUGGAGACAUUGUAAUUGAAAAUAUCAGAGCCGACUCCCAACCGUGUGUGGGACCAUAACAAGAAUGCUGUUCUGACUCCCGACCUUGUGUUGAGCCACAACGAGGACAUUGUUCUGUUAAGAGGUGGAGAGUGUGACAGCCCGAGCGACGGUCCUCGGACGUGCGCAAGGAAAGAGUCCCUCUCUUCUCUUGUCUCACAUCGCCUAGGGAGGGAGGUUUUGAUUAGCUUAUAAGACUUGGGUCCCUUUAAUCUGUGUAACGUGUUUCACGUACACUUCCGCUGCAUUGAAAACAAAACCGUGAGGGAGGACAGGCCGGUGGGCCGUGCCUCCAAAGCGAACAAUAUUAUGGCUUGGGAGAGGGAAUGCCCGAGGGAUGGCCCUUUGCCCCUACAUAACGCAUUUUAAAGCCGUGAGGGAACAGACCGUGGCUGGGAUGGCGGUUCAUCCGUGCCAGGGCGGGUGACCCAAAGCAAACAAUAUUACACAAUGGUAUCAGAGUCGAUCAUAUAUGAUUGUAGAACCUAAAUUUUUUUUUAUGGACAAAUUCGAAAUCCUUCUCUUUGAGCCGAAUAUGGGCAUUAUUUUUUAGUGUAAACUUUUUGCUUGAUUGAUCCUGAAACCAUAGGGCUUUUUUUCUACAUGUCAAGAUCUUUUCAACCAUAUAUAAUUUGCAUAAUUUCGUUGAGAAUUGAGAGAGAAUUUUAGAUUUGAAAUUCUAGGGUUUAUACGUGAAAAAGUUCUAGAUUUUGCAAAUUACUUGCAAUUGAUUGAUGUUUGUUGUAAACCGUUGUAUGGGUAUUGUUAUAUAUAUUUUUUAGUAUCCUUUUGUUGUAUUAAAUUGAGUUUUUAGGGUUUAAAUUUAAGAAAACCGAAUUUUCGGCCAUGGGAGUUUUAGAUCCGAAACUUUGAAGCUUGUAUGUGGUGGAUUUAGUUGGUUUUUCUUCGUUUAAUUAAAUGUAGUUAAUUAAAUUGAAGCAUGAGGAAAUUUCAUCAAAAACCAUGUUAAUUUGUGCCUUCGGAGCUUCGGGUUGAAACCGGGUCAUAUGACCUGGUUUGUUGCAAAUUCGUGACCCGGCUGGAGGUUGAAGAAGACCUCCAGCCGAGCCUGGGCCUAAAUAUGGGCUUUUGCCCAUAUUUUUUUUUAAAUUUGUAGGCUAAUUUCGUAGCCCAUUUCAUGGGCCAAUUUUAAAUUAAAGGGGAGAUGGGCUUCUCCAUUACAUGGGCCAUUUACAAUUUAAAAGGAGUGGGCCGCGUGAGGGUUUAGGACUCGCGGGUCUAGCCCACGAUCUGAUUAGGGCUGCUCACGGGUCCUGGGCCCGUGGGAGUCCGAAAUAUUUAAAUGAUAUUAUAAUAAUAUAAUAAUAAUUUUAAAAAAAAUUAAAAAAAGUUGUGGCAAAAAUUGUUGUUUGAAAAAGUACAAUAUGAUGAUUGGAAGCACAUGUUGUAAAGUGUAUCAUAUUGUUUGAUGAAUUUUGGGCAUAAAUUUUGGAGUUCCCUAUUGAUAAAAGAUUAAUAUAUACAAUUGCUCGCCCAAAGGGAGUUAUUUGUAUAUUAAUUUGGAAAAUAGCAUGAAGUUUAAUUCCCAUAUUUAAAAGAUGGGGAUGUAUAAUUGAAAAAUAUUUAUCUGCCCAAAGGGGAUAAGUGUUUUGAAAAUUAUAUGUAAUUCCCCUCUAUGUUGAUAUUAUGGAGAUGUAUGAUUUAAAGGAUUUGUCUGCCCAAAGGGGAUGGAUCCUUGACAAUUAUAUGUAAUUCUCCUUAUUGUUGCUUUAUAAAUUUCAUGCUGGGAAAAAUAAUGGUGCAUUAUACACUCUACCCAAAGGGGAGUUUAUGAUGUACUUAUUAUUUUUGUUGAAUUGCUUAUUGCCCAUAAUUGAUCUUAUUGCAUUAUGUGUGUCAAAUAGUUACAUUUGCUGUAAAUAACAACAAUGCCACGGUUGAAAUGUUAACUUGAUCAAACUUCAAGAGAUGGAAGCAAGAUAUAGAGUUUGCUCUGGGCAUCAUUGAUAUGGACUUAGCUCUACGUGAGGAUGAACUUGCUAGGCCCAAUGAUCAAAGUACUGCAGAUCAAAAGGCCCAUUAUGCUAGAUGGGAAAAAUCUAACCGACUGAGCCUCAUUGCUAUGAAAAGGUCUAUUGCUGAGCAUCUGAUUAGUGGUUUGCUGGAAGAUACGAAUGACAGACAGUUCCUUGAAGCAGUGGGAGAAAGAUAUAGUCUCAGAUAAGGUUGAAGCUGGGAACUUGCUGAGUGAGUUAACGAACAUGAGGUAUGAUGCUGCUAUGGGUGUUAGAGAAUUUAUACUGAAAAUGGUCCACAUUCAGUCCAAACUUAAGGCUCAUGAAAUUGUCAUUUCUGAAAAUUAUAUUGUGCAUCACGCCUUAAAUGUUUUGCCAGCUGAAUUUAGCCAGAUUAAGACUGCUUAUAGUGCUCAAAAUGAGACAUGGAGCGUUAAUGCCUUGAUUACUAAGUGUGUGACUGAGAAAGAGAAGUUAAAGAAGGAAAAGUAUGAGUCUGCCCACUUAACUACCAAUGCCAAGUUGAGUUCGUCUAGAGGCAAAUGGAAGCCUAAAGGGUCAAAUGCUCAUGGUUCAAAGAAAGGACAAGACUUUAAGAAAAAUGGGAACUAUGGGAGAAAUGGAGAUAAGGAUUUUAAAUGUUUUCACUGUAAGGAGCAGGGUCACAAGAGAGCCAAUUGCUACAAAUUCCAAGCUUGGUUAAAAACAAGAAAAGAAAGUCACCAAGGUGAGUUGUUGGUUUGCUUUGAAUCAAAUUUGGUUGAUGUUCCUAUGGAUUCUUGGUGGCUUGAUUCUGGUGCUACUGUUCAUGUGACUACUGCCUUACAGGGUCUCACAAAUCUAAGGAGUUCAAGUCUGAGGGAGUCAAAGCUUAAAGUUGGAAAUAAUACUGGAGUUGAUGUGGAGCGCAUAGGGACAAUUGUUUUGAAUUUAGAUUCUGGUUUUCAACUUAUCUUGAAUGAUGCCUUUUAUGUUCCUAAUUUUAGGAGAAACUUAGUAUCUCUUUCUUCGCUUGACAAAGCUGGAUAUUGUCUUCAUUUUGCAAAUAAAAGAGUGGAUUUGAGUUAUGAUUCCAGAAUUAUUGGGAAUUGUGUUUUGUCUGAUGGAUUAUAUCAAUUAUCCUUAUCUCCCGAUAGACCAUAUUGCUCUUUCAAUGUCGAGAAUGAGGUUGCUAAGAGAUCUUUAAUCAAAGAUAGAUCUUCAUUGUUAUGGCAUAAGCAAUUAGGGCAUAUCUCCAAAGAAAGGGUAAAGCGACUUAUCAAGACUGAUAUUCUUCCUCCUCUUGACUCAGAUGAUACUGAGACUUGUAUUGAUUGUGUAAGGGGAAAAUUAACUAAAACCAAGAAGAAAGGCGCUACUCGCAGUCAAAAUCUAUUGGAGAUAAUUCAUACUGACAUUAAUGGGUCAUACUCUACCACCUUGUGUGGAAAUAAGUACUUCAUCACGUUCAUUAAUGAUUUCUCCCGUUAUUGUUAUGUUUAUCUAAUUAAGAAGAAGACUGAUGCACUUGAAAUGUUCAAAGUGUUUCGUACUGAAGUUGAGAAACAAUUGGGAAAAAUUAUCAAGAUUGUUAGGUCUGAUCGCGGUGGUGAGUAUUAUGGGCGAUAUACUGAGGCUGGACAGCAAAAUAGACCGUUUGCAAAAUAUUUGUAGGACUGUGGUAUUGUCGCUCAAUAUACAAUGCCUGAGAGUCCUGAACAAAAUGGUGUAGCUGAACGGCGAAAUCGUACACUCAUGGAGAUGAAACGAAGUAUGAUGGGCAGUUCUAAUUUGCCUGAAUACUUAUGGGAAACAACAACUUAUAUUUUGAAUCGUGUACCUAGUAAAUUGAUGCCGAAAAUACCUUUUGAAUUGUGGACAAGGAGGAAACCAAGCUUGAAUCAUUUACGAGUUUGGGGUUGUCCUGCAGAGGUGAAAAUUUAUGAUCCUUCUUAGAAGAAGACGGAAUCCAGGACUACUAGAUGUUACUUUAUUGGAUAUCCUAAUCAUUCUAAAGGGUAUAGAUUCUAUUGUCCUACUCGAGAAACUAGAAUUGUUGAAUCUCAAACUGCCAAAUUCCUGAAAUUAGAUGUUGCUGAAAAGAGUUCCUCUCAAUCUUUUGAAAGGGAAGAACCAAACAAAAUAGUCUCUAUUCCAUUGCCAAUCUUACAUGAUGAUUCUAUGCGAGAUCCCAGCAGAGUGGAAAUUCAACAAGAAGCAAAUACCGAAAAUAUGACAGUAGAUCCUCCCAUUACAAAUGAAAUUCCCCAGAUGAAUGAUGUAGGUCCAGAAAUGCCUGUGCGAAGAUCACAGCGACAAAGAAGACCAACACCUCUAAAUGAUUAUCAUGUCUAUCUUGGAGAAGCUGAUUUUGACAUUGGAAGUAUAGUUGAUCCGACGACCUUCAAAGAAGCUCUUAAUAGUGAUUAUGCAGAUAAAUGGUUAGGAGCGAUGAAUGACGAGAUGAUGUCCAUGUCAACUAAUCAAGUGUGGAAACUAGUUGAUUUACCUGAUGGGCAUAAACCAAUCGGCUGCAAAUGUGUAUUCAAAACCAAGAAAGACAAUAAGGGCAACAUUGAGAGAUUCAAGGCAAGGUUAGUCGCAAAAGGGUACACACAGAAAGAAGGUAUUGAUUAUACUGAAGCCUUUUCCCCAGUGUCCACUAAAAACUCUUUUUCGGAUAAUCAUGGCAUUGGUGGCUCAUUUCGACUUAAAGCUUCACCAAAUGGAUGUCAAGACAGCUUUUCUAAAUGGAGAUUUGGAUGAAGAAGUAUAUAUGCAGUAACCUAAAGGGUUUAAAGAAGCCAUAAAGGAGCAUAUGGUGUGCAAACUUCAAAGGUCCAUCUAUGGUCUCAAACAAGCAUCACAUCAGUGGUACUUAAAAUUUCACAAAGUUGUGAGAUCGUUUGGCUUUGAAGAAAACAAGUUUGACCAAUGCAUCUACAUGAAAGUAAGUGGGAGUAAAUAUAUUUUCUUAGUACUUUACGUAGAUGACGUUUUACUUGCUAGCAGUGAUGUUGAUCUCUUGAAUGACACAAAAAAUUUUCUAUCUACAAAGUUUGAUAUGAAAGAUCUUGGGGAAGCCUCUUUUGUUCUAGGCAUUGAGAUUCAUCGUGACAGAUCUAAGAAGGUUCUGGGGUUAUCUCAGAAAAUUUAUAUAGAUCGUGUUUUGAAAAGAUUCAAUAUGCAGACCUGUAAGUCAAGUGAAGCUCCUGUUGUGAAAGGAGAUAAAUUGAACAUAGAUCAAUGCCCCAAGAAUGAUGUUGAAAAAGAAAUCAUGAAGAAUAUUUCUUAUGCUAGUGCAGUUGGCAGUCUUAUAUAUGCACAAGUAUGCACCAGACCUAAUAUUGCUUUUACUGUGAAUACUCUUGGAAGAUAUCUGUCGAAUCCAGGUCAAGAACAUUGGGUUGCAGCUAAAAAGGUGAUGAGAUAUCUACAACGAACAAAAGACUUUAUGCUCGUGUAUAGCAGAGUAGAGGACCUAAAGGUGAUUGGAUAUUCAGAUGCUGAGUUUGUAGCGUGCUACGGUGCAUCGAUUCAAGCAGUUUGGCUCAGAAAUUUGAUCUCUUGCAAGUCGUGGACUCUAUUGCUAAACCUAUGGUGAUCUACUAUGACAACACUGCAGCUGUGUUUUAUUCCAAGCAUGACAAGAUUAGUAAUGUGUCCAAACACAUGGAGAUCAAAUAUUAUACUGUUAAGGACUUGGUCAAAAAUGGAGACAUUGUAAUUGAAAAUAUCAGAAUUGAGUCCAUAUAGGCUGAUCCUCUAACAAAAGGCUUACGACCCAUUUUGUUUAAAGAACAUGUAAAGAGUAUGGAUAUUUUAGAUUCUUUUGAUUUCUUUUGUUAGUGGGAGUUAUACAAAUUGUAUUUCUAGAUAUUAUGGUUAUAUGCAGACUGAUAAUGCUUUUAUGAUGUUUAUUAAAGCAUUUAUUUUGAUAAUUGUUGUUGUUGAUUCUAUUGUUAUCCUUUCUCCUGUUGACUGAGAAAUGGAAGUAGAAAACAGUAUCUUUAAACAAAUUUUGUUUAAAGAUGACUGGAUGUCACUGAUUAUGAGAUCUCAUGUUGGAUUGUGACAUAGUCGUGCAAUUUCAUGUUGUUUAGAAAUUGUGUUAAUGCAGUUUCAUGUCGUUGAGAAAUUGCAUUAAGGACUGAUAAGAAGUAGUGCAUAUUUUGAUUACAAGUUGGCACUAUUUCUUACUACACUACUAGGCCCAUGAUCCAUGAAAAUAUAAUACUUAUUAUAUGUGAUUAUGGAAGGUCUUGUGUUGUGGCAUUUUCUUAAUACAUUGAUCUCCAUAGUCCUAUACUGAGGUUAUAUAGGAUUGGAUUGGUAUUGAGAUGCCAUUAUUGGAAUAUUAUUUUUAAAAAGUUGUGGCCACAUAAAACAAAAUUUUCAGUUAUUAACCCGAUAGUGUCUUUUUCAAAUAUAAAAUCCUUUUCAAAAUAAAAUAAGUUAAUUAAUGUAGCCCAAGUGGGAGAAUGUUGAAAAUUUCCUAUAAUAUGGGCUUACAUUAAUUAAUUGAUUUUUUAUUUUAAAUAAUCGGGUUAAUGGAUAUUCCAAUAUUUGUUGAACCCUAAAGUGAUCUAAUUGAAUUGGGUAUUGACAUCUAUUGAUAACGGGCCUAGUUGAGCAGCAAAGUGUAGGCAAUUGUGUUUAACUGAAACCCGUAAUGGGAAGGGCCCAGUUGACACGCUGUUGAUUAGGGUUUGUUAGGUCCCCUCUUUAGCCUAUAAAAUGAUAGGUUAUACCUAUCAGUUGCUUUAAUCCCAUUGAAAGCUGCUAUAUCGAAAUAGAUCAUAGAGAGAAAGAUAUGUCAUUCCGAUAGAUCCCUAAUUAUUAGAGUGAUCUAUUUUUCUGCAAGUGAAGCAAUGGCUCAAAUAGGUACGCUUUAAUUCCGUUGUAUUUAUUGAUUGAUGUUUUACAAUCAUAUAUGGAUCCGUUAUUUCCUUGAUUGAUUAGUUGUAUAUGUGAAUAAAUAUAUUACAUGAUACUGGAGAAAAAAAAGGUGAUAUAGUAAAAUCUCAUGGCCUCUUCACAAUAGCUCAGUUAUUGAAUUCCUCAAGUUCACCUUUACCGAAAUGAUUUUUUCAAUUAAUUUAUGUAUUCCAGGAUUGCUCAUUAUUCAAUCAUUCCAUUAUUCUUUUAAAUCUGAAGUAUGCAUUAAAUAUCACCAGAAUUGGUAUAAAUUUGACCCCAAAGAAUGUUUCUCUGAGACGGGAGCUAGUCCUUGAGGGCACAAAUGAUAAUCAUCUUGUUCCUAAGAACAAUUUCUAAUCAGAAAUAGAUUUUGGAAGGUAUUUUAUGAGGGAAAAACUGUAAAGGAAGAAGAGGUAGAGGCUGUUUCUGAAACUCCAGUGAAUCAAGGUGCUUUAGUGCCCUAUGAGCAAGCUCAAAUUGAUGCAACCCAGGCAGAUAUGGAGGGACGGGAGGAGGAGAUAGUAGAAAUGAAUGCUGAAUAUAAUUUGAAUAGAAAAUAGGGAGUGACAGGGAUCUGGAAAACGAGUCCUUAUGAUAAGGUAUUGAAGAAAACAAGAAGAAGAAAGGUGAAGAACAGAAAACUCAUACCAGCAAGAAGCAACACAAGUUUUUUCCAUUUAAUUCAAUGAACCCAACCUCUUCUUGGUUGGAUGAAACCAAAAUCCUGGACACUCCCAUUCUUAUGACAGAAGAAGUAGCUGAAUGGGCUUGGGUAGCUAGCUGUAAUAAGCCACCAGGUGACAAAUAAUGAGCAUAAGUUGGAAUGGUCAGGGGCUGGACACCACCCAACCCUCGCGUGUGCAUGCGUGGAUGAUUUUUGAGCUACGAGCUAUGGUUGCUUGUGAAAGGCCCAAGUUGCUAUUUCUCAUGGAGACAGAAUAGAGAGAGUGGUGCAGCGACAUAUGAGACAUCUCGAUUUCUAGGAAUGUUAUAUUGUGAAUCCAGUUGGUACAACAGGGGGAUAAGUGGUUAUGUGGAAAGACUUGGUCUCGGUGGUCGUAGAUUCAUUAUCAGAAUACUCUAUUAAUCUGACUUCCACAGAUCAAGGGUACCAGAGAAUUAUGUGUAUUACUUUUGUUCAUGCUUCAAACGCAUUCUAGGAUAGGUUAAGGCUGUGGGAGGAAAUCAAAAGAAUAAAAAACAGUAUUCAUCUCUCAUGAGUUUGUAUGGGCAACUUUAAUGAAAUUAGUUAUCACUAGGAGAAGGAAGGGAGGAGAAUGGCUGAGAACUAUAGAAUGACAGUAUUUCGGGAAUUCAUAAAUGACUGUUCUCCAAUGGAAGGGGAUUGCAAGGGGUGCACAUUCACGUGGACUAAUAACAAAGAGGGAGAUGAGAUCGAGAUGGAAAAAUUAGAUAGUCCUAUGCAGUGUCGAUUGGAGAGUAAUGUUCCUUAAUGCAGAAGGUUAUGCCUCGCCGGCCCUUGACUCGGAUCAUAGCCUUAUCUUAUUGAUUCUAUCACCAGAACCAGCAAAACAAGGCAAAGUUUUUAAAUAUGAGGCUUUUUGGAAUGAGGAUGAUGAAUGCAAAGAAGUUGUGAAAAUGGCAUGGCAAUGAAGAAGAAUGGACAGAGGAAUGUCUGAAUAAGCUGAAGAGAGUAUCAGUGGUCCUAGCUGAUUGGAGUAGGAACAAAUUUUCAAAUGCCAAAUGCUCCUGUACUGAAAACAGUGGAGAAAGAGCCCAGCAGAUUAAAGAUUGAAUGGAACUAUUAUGGUGGCAGCAAGAGGAAAUGUAUGGGGGAAUGAGGUCCCCCAUUAACUGGAUGAAAUUGGGGGGGGGGGGGGGAAUAGAAACACCUGGUUAAUCCAUGCAACUAAAAUCGAGCCAAGGCAAAGAAACAAGAUUUCAGCCUGAAAAAUGAAAUGGGGGUCUGAAGCCGAGAAACAGGAAAGUUAAAAGAGUUGAUGCAAGUUCUUCCUGUCCCUGUACAGAACGGAGGAAGCCCAAAACUUCCAGCCUCUUCUUGAACAAUGUUCUCGAAUAGUAUCAGAGGAAAUGAAUCAAUCCCUAACUCAGGCUGUCACUAUGAAAGAGGUUAGAGACGUGGGGUUCUAAUCAUGAGCCUCCAAGGCCCUAAACCCGAUGACUGAACGAACUUUUUAUCAACAUCACUGGGAGGAGAUUCAUCAGGAUGUACUUUAUAUGGUCUUAGACUUCUUUCCAUCAGGUAUAUAAAACAUAUAUAGCCCUUGUUCCCAACAUAUUAAACCCAUAAAGUCUAGAUCAUUUUCAUCCCAUUAACUUGUGCAAUUUCAGCUAUAAAAUAAUCUCGAAGGUCUUGGCUAAUCGCCUCAAGCCUCCCACUUUAAUAUGACCUGAUAGCAAAACAAAGUGCGUUUGUAUAUGGAAGAUAGAUUUGAGAUAACAUCAUGAUAGUAUAGGAGGUGUUGCACCAGUUGAGAAUUAGAAAGAGAAUGAAGAAAUUCCAAGCAAUUUCGAAACUUGAUAUGAGGAAAGCAUAUGAUAGGGUGAAAUGUGAUUUUUUUUUUCAAAAGAUGUCUACUAAAAAUGGGCUUUGACACUAAAUGGAUAUCUUGGACAAAUGCACUGUGUUGAAUUGUGUCUUUGAGUAUUAAGUUCAACGGGGGCCUCUACCGUUUUUCUAUCUGUUUAGAGGGCUUCGACGGGGUGACCCUCCCUCACCAUAUCUUUUUAUUAUAGUGUCAAAUGUGCUAUCUACCUUGCUAAAUAAGGCUGUAAAGGAAGGGAGAAUCUCAGGAAUUAAGCUCAAUAGACAUUGCCCUUCAUUGUCUCACCUUUUAUUUGCCGGCAAUUCCAUCUUUCUUCUAGAUGGAAAGAUAUGAGAGUGCUAGAGUAUUACUGAAAUUUUGCACCAAUAUAGCUAUGCUUCAAGGCAGGCUAUUAAUUAAAUCAAGAAUUUUCUUUAGUAGUAAAUGUCCCCAAAAUCUACAUCGAAAUAUGGCAAAGGAGCUGUGAGUUUCGGAAAGAGAAAAAACUGGAAAAUAUCUUGGAAUUCCAUUGGAUUGGGGGAAAACCAAAAAACAAAUGUUCACAUGGAUCUUGGCAAGAUUUAACAUGAAGUUUCAAGGUUGAAAAAGAAAAGCUUAUCUCCAAAGUAGGGAAAGAGAUUCCCAUUAAAGCUGCGGUACAAGCUAUCUCUCAAUAUGCUAUGUUGAUCUUCAAAGUUCCACUAUCCAUUUGUCGUGCGAUAAAGUAGAAUGCUGCCUCAUUUUGGUGGAAAAAUAGUGAAUCAAAAUCAGGACUUCAUUGGAAGAGAUGGGAUGUAAUGAAGAGAAGAAAAUAUAGUAGUGGAAUGGGGUUCAGAGAUCUAAUUAAUUUCAACAUGGUGAUGUUGGGCAAGAAUGCAUGAUGAAUUACUCAAGCUCCACAGAGUCUGUGGGUUAAGGUUAUCAAAAGGCCUUUAUUUCCCAAAUAGCAACUUCUAGAGUGCUACAAAGGGCUCUUGUUCGUCUUGGGGAUGGCAAAGUAUCUUGACAGGAAAGGAUCACAUUUCAAACGCAAUGAGCUGGUUGGUAGGAGAUGGGACUGAAAUCAGAAUAAGGAAAGAUAAUCGGCUAAGAUCUGGACUCAUUGGUGGUGAGGCAACCUAGGGUAAACCCCAACUAGUGGCAGACUUAUUCGACAAAAAGGAAUUCAAGUGGAAAGAACAUAUAAUUAAAGGGAUAUUUGACGAAAGAACUGCAAACAAAAUCCUAGCUAUUCCUAUUAGCUCAACCAUGGAGAAAGACAAGAUGGUUUGGACAUGCACAACCUCAGGCUCUAAUUGAAUGAAAAGUGCCUACCAUCACAUAAUGUCAACAGAAACAAAGCAACAAGCAAAGCAGCAAGCAGAACAACCAACAUCCUCAUAUCAAACACCCAGAUAGCAAUGAAAAUUGAUUUGGAAGAUGAAUAUUAACACGAAAAUGAGGCUCUAUAAUGGAACGUGUGCCAAAAUGCUAGCCCAUCUUUAGAGAACUCGUUCAAACGGAAAGUCUUACCUGAUCCCAUCUGCCCCCUUUGCCAAAAGACCCAAGAAACAGUUGAGCAUAUUUUUCUAUGAUGCAACUGGACUCGUGAGGUCUGGAAUCACCCAAAAUUAGAUAUCAGAAUCACAGGCAAGGAGCUCAGUCGCAUGGAGGAGAGGAUUCUACAAUGAGAUAACUCAAAUGCAAACUCACCUUCACUAGAAUUGGUAGUAGGGGUUCUCUGGAACAUUUGGAAGGCUUGGAACCAUUUCAUCUUGCGCCACCAAAAACCAGGUUAGAGUAGCAUAGCGGAAGCGACCAUGGCUGCACAAAAGAGCUUUGAGAGAUGGAACUAUAGAAGGAAAAAACGAACACAACAGCAGGAACUCUUACCCAAGAUGCGAAACCCAUCAAGAAGGGGUAUGCGGAGACAAAGCUGGGAGAGUGGUGGUUGGUUUCGGGAAGGAAUUCCAAGCAAAUUGAAAACCGUGCUAGUCUAGAAGCCCUUCAUUCUCUCUCUCACUUUGGAGUUAGACUAUCGGAAAGUAACAAGCGUACUUACGUAUCACAAUAUGAGUGGGAGGUGGCCCCACUUAUCACCGAAUGCAAGAGAUUGAUGACCGUUUUAAGUAAUUUCAAAUAGUCCAAGGUGGAAGAGAAGAAAUCAAGUGGCGGAAUAGAUCGCCAAGGUUUUCCUUUUUGUUGGACUACCAAUCCUCCUACAGUUCUUUGGGACUUUAUUUGUUUGAGGAUAUCUUCUACCGGAGGUUUCACUUGAGUAAUGAAAGAAGACUUUUUUUUUUUUACGAAAAAAGAAAAAAUACAGCUACUUCCGAUCAAAUUUCCCUUGUCUUGCAGAUCUUGUUGAUUCAACACUAACAAUGCCGUUCAAAUGGUCCACUGUUUUUUCCCGCUCUCUUGCUUCUUUGUCAUGAUGUCUUCCUUUGGCUGUUGGAUGAAAGAAUCACAUAAAAUCACAUAAAAUCAAAUUACAAAUCUUCACACGACAAGACAUUUACAACCAUAAAGCGGUACCUUUAAUCUCACUGCGGUGACAAAUUUGUGAGAAGUGCUAUCUACCUUCUUAGCAUUAACCACAACAUUGUUGGCACUUCCACGUUAUUAAAAACAAGAAAGUAGUCAAGCUAAAUUGACACUUACAAUCAUUCAAGUACAUAAUCAGUUACUUGAAAGUAAAAGUGCCUUUUGAUUGGUGGCAUUGUUAUGAUGCAUCUUUGUGACAAGUUUGUUGGCUUUUCUUUAUUUGACUAUCCUUUCAUCCUGUUCAGUUAAGAAAAUAAAGUCAGAAAAUAAUGGCACAAAUAGAGACUAGAAACACAGAAUGAAUGAACCUUACCUUUUUCUUUUGUUCUAAGGGACAAUUUUUUGAGAUGUGACCUUGCUUAAGCACAAAUGGCAUGUAGUUUAUGUGCCUUGUCUUGAUGGUUUGAAUCCAUUUUUAGAUUCUCCUCCCUUUGAUAUCCUUCUCUCUUGAGGCCUACUAGGCAUAAUAUGAGGCAUUGGUGCCACCAAAGGUUCUUGAUCAUUGGAAGGCCAAAUGAGUGAACGAUGCACAUCACUAGCCAAUGCCAAAUGAGUGAAUUGAUUUUUAGACCUCCUCCUUUUAGUACACUUAGUGUCCAAUUUGACAUAAUGCAAGCUAUAUAGAAUUUCAACAGAUAACACUUCAAGGAGAAAAAAAGAAGAAAAGAAAACAUGGGCAAUUCGUCAAAUCGGGAUUGAUCAAGAAAAGCCUAAGAACAGGAAGUGUAGCAAGCUAAACUAAUUAGAGUCAACUAGGCUGAUAGGCGAUCUAAGCACAUGGGGACUACCAUAAUUACCCUCUCAGGAUGCGCAUAAUAACUAUUCUGUCUGUUUUUCUAUUAUUUUGAUCCUGGGAACAUGUUUAGAAUAAAAAUCCAUUUGAAUAAUAUAAUUUCAUUUUUCUAUUUCUGAAAUAAAUUUUUAGUCCAAAAAUAGGUUUAGAAUAGAAAUGAGAAGUAAAAAUUUACUUUUCUAUUCUACAACAAAAAUGAGAAAUAAAAACUAUUUUUAUCGCUCACCCUCACUACUAGCUGUCCACUCACCCGCCGAUGUUCUGUCUGCUCUCCUAUCGUCAUUAAAUGUGUAUUUUUACUUAGAAACUCGCCUAGGAAAUAGAAAUAGAAAAAUCUAUUUCUGACUAGAAAUUGAUUUUUGAAACAAAAUGACUACCAUUUACACCCUAAGUGUUUCACAUCCACAUUAUUUGAGGUCCAAAUAAGGACCUAGAUAAAACCUUCAAAGGACUUGCUUAGAUCCAAUUUGAGCACAUGAGGACUAAUACAAUUACUAACAAGAAUCAUGACUAAAUAUUGUGCAUGCGUUUUUGAGAAAUAAAUGGUCAAUUGGAUUCCGAAAUUGCAUGUUCAUGAUACCUGAACCUUUGUUACAAUUGAGCUUCAAAAUCCCAAAUAAAGCACAAUCUCAAAUGCAGAUCAGUGGACUCUGGCUACGUUGUUCUUCACACUGGGAACAUUUUCAAGUUUAGUAUCAACAGCAACCUCUAUCAUUUUGACAGCAAAAUCAACUGUAAUAAGAUCUAAACCUCGCAAAAUUUUGAUUCCAAGACUUCCACCUAUAUUGGAAAAAACCAUUCCAAGCCAACCAUGACAGCAGCUUCACAAAGUAAGAAUAGAUUCCACUUUAGCAUGAAGAUCCAACCUUGAGUCACAAACAAUUCUCUUAGCAUAAAGACUCCAAAAGAUCUCCAUGCAGGUGCUAAUUAUAAUACCAAACUGAAAUACAAUCACCCAAACAUAUAGUGCAGUUGAUUAUUUCAAAUGACGUCCUCCUUCACGUCUGCCAUCUUGAUGAUUGCUUGACUCAGAAGUUCAGGUAAAUGACAUAAUGCAUUAUUAACUGUACAAACAUUAAGUAUCCUUUGGGCUAAUAUGUUAUUUGUCUUGGACUUUUAGGUUUAUCCCGAAUUUAAUACAAUUGAACAUGGAUUCAUAGUCAACAAAAUUCAAGUUGCGAUUUUCUCCAUUUACUAUUUCUCGAUCCAUACGAUUACCUCGAUCAUCUAAUGCAGACAAUUCUCUGAGAUAAAAUGUGCAAAACACAAUGUUCGGACAAAUCUUGUCCCAACUUAGUAUUGUAUGCAUACAGAGAGAUGCCCUCUCAAAAUGUUUGUACAGUAAAUUUAUUCUUAAGCUUAACUUAUAACAUGCAAUCGUGAACUGCAUAAUCAACAUAGAGCAAACUAAAACCUCAAAUCAAAAGGACCUCUGCUUAGGGUCAUUUAUUUGGAAUUUCUCAAUCUAUACAAUUACCUUUGGCAUGUUAUCAGGUGCCCUUAUACAUUAGGUUUUAUUAAGUAAUUCCAGCAUUACAGAAUCAGUCAGACGUGGAGAAUCUUUAUUUUAUUUUAUUUUAUUUUUUUGCAUCGGAUGAAGAAUCUUACCCGAAGACUAAUGACAAUGAUUCACUUAGAAGACUUUUUGAUUUAUUUCCAAUACUAGCAUGAUGUGCAAAAAUAUUUUGCCAAAGCACACAUUAACUUCUAGGAACAUCUCCUCUGGAUUCCUUGAAAUCAAAUAAGAAAAUAAGAAGACUGUCAAUCAUGAUAUACUAAUGAAAAGGUAACAAAUCUUAAAAGAAAAUGCAAACAAGAAACACAAAUGAAAAUUGGGCGGUAAAUCUCAAAAGGGAGAGAGGGAGCUUCCCUACUUUAUGUACCUUUGUUUAGAAAUGUGGAUCAUCUCAAUUAUUCCGACUCAUCCCAUCCUGGUUAUCUUGUCCAAAUAUCUUCAGACCUUUGGAUAUUUGGAUGGUUGAGCCUUUCAAAUUUACUGUAGUCAAACAUUCCAACCUGUCGAGACCUAGAAUUUCGAGUAAGUUGUUGCAAUUUUGAGCAAUUAACAUCUUUAGACCCUUGGAUUUUGAAAGAUCCAGCUUUUUAAUUGAAGUGCACAAGAUAUUCAGCUUUUCCAAAUGACUUCACCCAUUGGAGACCUCGAAUUUCAACUAGGUUUUUGCAGUUUUUAGCAUCUAGUACCUUCAAAUCCUCAAAUUUUGGAAGGUCUAGCCUUUUAAUUGAAGAACACUCAAAGAAAAGUAACUCUUUCACGGACCCUAAAAUAUUGAGAUGUUCAAUUUCUAUUAAGUUUUUGCAAUAUGGAACAUGUAAUAUCUUCAAACUCCCAGAUUUGAAAGGUCCACCCUUUCAAUUGAAGUGCACCCGACAAUAGAUAACUUCUCUAACAACUCUAGCUCAUCAAGGCCUUGAAUUUCAACUAAGUUUUGGCAAAAUUGAGCACUUAAUUUCUUCAUGCACUUAGAUUUUGGAAGGUCCAACCUUUCAAUUAAAGCACACUUGACGAAACAAAGCUCUUCUAGGAAUUCCAGCCAAUUGAGGCCUUGAAUUUCAACUAAGUUUCGGCAAUUUUGAACAUUCAAUAUUUUCAGACCCUUGGGUUUUGAAAGGUCCAACCUUUCAAGUGAAGUGCACUCAACGAUAGAUAUCUUUGCCAAGAAGUCCAACUUAUCAAGGCCUUGAAUUUCCACUGAGUGUUUGCAAUUUUCUACAUUUAAUGUCUUUAGACCCCCAAACUUCAGAAGGUCUAACCUUUCAAUUGAAGCACACCCGACGACACAUAAUUCUUCCAAGAGCUGCAUCUUAUCGAGGUCAUGAAUUUCAACUAAACUUUCACAAUAUUGAACACAUAAUUUUUUCAUGUCCUUUGAUUUUGGAAGGUCCAACCUUUCAAUUAAAGUGCACUUAGAGAUGCACAGCUCUUCCAAGUAUUCUAACCUAUCGAGGCCUUGAAUUUCAAUUAAGCUGUUGCAAUUCUCAAUUUCUAGUUUUCUCAUGCCUUUGGAUUCUGGAAACCUUUCAAUUGACCCUUUGAUGGUCAUGCUUUCCAAAUAUUUCAAUUUGUCAAUACGGUGAAAUUCACGUAUAUUACAACAACCCUGGGCAGAUAAUGUCUUUAGAUGGUUUAAUUCUUAAACAUCCAGUGUGUCCAUUGAUUCGCAAAACAAGACUUCCGAAAAAUCUAACUUGAAAGGAGUGUUUAGAGAUCUUUGUAAUUUUGAUUCUUCGACAUUUCUAAGUUGGGAACAUUUUGAAAGCUCUAGUAUUGUUGAUGGAAGCUCCACGAUGCACUUGAGAAUUUUGUAGUUAAGAAGGUGUAGUUGCUUGAGAUCGGUUAGGUGGGCAAGUGAAGUCAUUUUGAAACUUUGACAGGUGACACUCAAAUAUGUCAAGCUGGAAGGAAGCUUUGGCAGCCAUUGAAGCUCCCAGCACCUUAAAACUUCUAAUUUUUUUAGCUUUCUCAGCCUUCUAAUAUCAUUGGGUAAUUUCUUUAUUCCAGUCCCAGAAAUAUCCAAAGUUUCUAGAUUUUGCAUAGCCCCUAUGUUGCGGUAGGGAAGAAAUGUGACCACAAUUUCUUAGGAGAAGUAGCUCCAGUGCUUCUAAUUUAGUCACUUCUACCGGCAACUCCUCGAGACUAAUACAUCCCGACAAGUUCAAGCGUGCCAGAGUCUUCAUGUUUCCGUUCGAAGAAUCAAGUUGCUUCAGACUUUGACAACCUUUAAGGAUAAGAACCUCUAAGUUCUUAAAAGCUGAAAGGAAGAAAGUUCCUUCCAAAAAUUGACAAUGUGUUAGGUCGAGAAACUUGAGCUUUUCUCCCUUCUGAUAAAAAAUGUAAUAAUUGUGGAGGGGUUAGCCAAAAGUAAUUUUGAUUCAACAGAAAUCAAUACGAAAAAAGAAUGAAAUGACUUGUUUAACCAUCUUACCUUCACAAAAUUCCAUCCUUGCCAUUUGCUAGAAAUCUUGCUUCUCGACAACUCAAGUACAACCAAUUCCUUUACAUUAAAUUCUUUUGCUUCAAAAGUCAAGGGACAAUUGUGCCAUCGAAGCCAUUUUAACUUCUUAGUGCAGUUCUCAAAAUCUCCACUAAAAUGUGUUGGAGAAAACUUCUUUGAGUAUUUUGAAGCUGACAAAACGUUUCCAUCAGUCUAGUUUGAAGACUUGCACACUCUUUCAUCAAAGUCUGAAGACCUCCGGACUGCCAGACUCAAGACUCAAAGUCUAUCCUCAUUGACAGUUUCUAGACCGUCGAAGAAGGCUUAUCCAGAACUGGAUGUUUCGUUAAGGAUUUGACUUUAUCGACUGGAGAAGAUCUCUUGGCUAGAUACAGCAUGUUGGAAUCCAUUAUUCAAAUCAAGAUUGAUUCAGGGAUUUUCGAUCCGUUGAUUGAUGAAGUAUACUUGGAAGGUUCUACUUAUGGAAACCUAGAACCUGAUUGUAUGGGCGAGCAGGAUUGAUGGGCUAUCGUCAUGUUCCUUAAAUAGCUCGAAGAUCUUCCUAAUUGAUUCUGUCCAACGGGUAGAUUGGAAGAAUUCCUUUGGUAAGUGCCAACGGGUAUGAUGGCAUAAAAGAGUAUAUAAGGAAGACAUUCCAGUUGUUCAAGUGCGUGCACGAUAGAAGAAUUCCAAAGUCUGAAGCUCCUUGUUCUUAGUCAAUUAAACUGUUGAGCGAAAUAUUGUACGCAAAAGAGAGUCUAUAUCUUUGAGAGAACUUGAGGAAGUGUAGUAGAGUCUCUACACUGUGGAAUCAAGGAAGAGCUUUACUGUAACAACUCUUUUGUUCAUAGUGAAAUCCAGCCAGUGGGCUGUCAGUGUGGAAGAAUGGACGUAGCUUGGAUUAAGCCGAACCACUAUAAACUCUGUGUUCAAAUUCUCUUCUCUACACUCUUUUACUUUGGUCGUAGCUUGUUUUGUNNNNNNNNNNNNNNNNNNNNNNNNNNNNNNNNNNNNNNNNNNNNNNNNNNNNNNNNNNNNNNNNNNNNNNNNNNNNNNNNNNNNNNNNNNNNNNNNNNNNAAUUGUUUUUACACCUAUUCACCCCCCUUUAGGUGUUCAUACUAGCAUUCACAAUUGGUAUCAGAGCUUGUGUACUCACUUAAGUUGAAGUGUUUUACUUCAAAGUUAAAGAUCCAUGGCUAGUCUGUUGGCUCCAGGACUGGUUGAAGGGCAAAGCAAUAUCAGACCGCCUUAUUUUGAUGGAAAGGAAUACAACAUAUGGAAAAACAAGAUGAAGGCAUUUCUAAGAUCAAAUGAUCCUCUGGAAUGGGAUGUGGUAGACAGAGGAAUCAUUCCUAAAUCUACACCUGUCUCAGAAAGAGGAAAAGAAGCUGUUGAGUCUAGCGAAAUGACUCAAGAAGAGAUAACCAAGAGACAAGCUCUUGAUGCAAAAGCAAUUUAUUCUUUAUAUUGUGCAUUAUCACCUACUGAAUAUAACAGAAUAUCUUCUUGUGUUACAGCUAAAGAAGUCUGGGAUAGAAUACACAUCACCUAUGAAGGAACUGAUCGAGUGAAAGAAACCAUAAUCAACAUUCUGCUCGGUCAAUACAAAGCAUUCAAAAUGAAAUCGGGAAAAUCUAUCACUGACAUGUUUAGUCGUUUUACAGAAAUUGUGAAUGGUCUUUAAAAUCAAGGUCAACCAAUUUCUGAUCCCAUGAAAGUAAACAAGCUACUGCGUGGACUCUCCAAGGAUUGGAAUCACAUAAAAACCUCAAUAAGGGAGACACAAAGAAUCAUGCCACUCUCUGUUGACGAAUUGGUUGGAACUCUUCAAUCUUAUGAAGUGGAGCAAAUCAACAAAGAUGAAGAUCCUAAAGGUAAGAAAUCCAUUGCAUUAAAAUCUAAUGAUAAUUUCGAUGUCACAGAUUCUGAAGACGAUAUGGAUGAUGAAGAGCUUGCUCUCAUGAUAAGAAGAUUCAGAAAGCUAAACAGAAAGGGGAGAAGAUUCAACCCAAAGAAACAAAGUUUUCAAAAGCAACAGACUAAGUCUGUUGAGGAUGAUGAAUCCAAUAGAGAUGUAGUCUGCUUUGAAUAUAAGAAAAAGGGACACAUCAGACCCAACUGUCACCUUCUGAGGUAAAAGAAAGGAAAAGCUGAGAAAUAUCGAAAGGCGCUCAAAGCAGAAAACUUGGAGUGAUACAGAAUGUGAAGAAAGUGAUGAUGACUAUGCCAAUAUUUGUCUCAUGGCAUAAUCAGACUUAGAUUUAGACUCCGACACAGACUCAGAUUCAGAUAGUGAAAUCGAGGUAAGUAAUUUGAAAAUCCCUACUAAAGUCUCUAGAUACAUUGAUGAAUUGUGUCUUAGUCUCAAAGCUUCUCUUAAAAGGAUUUCCAAACUUAAAAGAGAAAAUUCUGCACUAAAACAACAGGAAAAUGUUUGGAAAGAAAAGGUUAAAAGUUUAGACAAAAGUAUUACUAUUUUGAAAGAAAAUGAAGACAAUCUUUCAAAAGAAAAUGUAUUCUUGAAAAAUGACAUCUCAAGUAUUUCUAAAAGAUUUUCUAUAGGAUCUGAGAAACUGGAAAAAAUUCUUUCUGCACAAAGACCUUGUUUCAAUAAAUCUGGUUUGGGAAUGACUGCGGAAACCAUUCCUCUAAUUGAUUUUCCUAAAGUAAAUGAAAGAAUUAAGCAAAGACCUACAAGAGAUGCUUACAAAAAUCAUUUUCAAAAAGUUUUUGUAAAACCAGUAGGUCGCAAUGCUCUUAAAUGUUAUAAGUGCAAUAGUUCAGAUCAUUUUGAGAAAGAGUGUCCUAUCGUUUGGAAACCUGUUAAGAAAGUAUGGGCAAAGACCGUAUAUUAUACUAACACCAAUGGACCCAAGAAAAUAUGGGUACCAAAGAAAGCAUGAGUUUCUUUUCUAAAUGUAGGUCACUAUCAAGAAAAAUAUUAAAUGGUACCUGGAUAGUGGAUGCUCAAGGCAUAUGACAGGAGAUUCAAAUUGCUUCAUAAAACUUGUUCAAGUUAAUGGUGGAAAAGUUUCAUUUGGAGGAAACAGCAAAGGAAGAAUUGUGGGAUACGGAACUGUAAAGAUUGGAAGUCUCAUGAUCAGUAAUGUUUCCUUAGUGGAAGGACUCAAUUACAAUUUGCUAAGUAUCAGUCAGCUGUGCGACACCGGUUUCAAAAUCAACUUUCAAGAAGGAAUAUGUUCAGGAACUAGUAAAGACUCCUCUCAGUCUUUCACCGGUCGAAGACAUGGAAAUAUCUACCUCUUGGAUGUCAAACCAGAUGAAGCCCAAUGUCUAAUCUCAAUUCAAGAAGAAGCAAACUUAUGGCACAGAAAACUUGGGCACAUCAACAUGAAGCAAAUAGCCAAAAUUUCAGCAAAGAAGCUUGUUCGUGGUCUACCCAAUCUGUCAUACCAAAAGACUGAUCUAUGCACACCAUGCGUGUUGGGAAAAUAGGUAAGAAACUCAUUCAAACCAAUAAAUCAAGUUUCAACUAAUCGUGUACUGCAGCUCUUGCAUAUGGAUCUCUUUGGACCAACCAGAACUUAGAGCAUUGGAGGUAAGAAAUACUGCUUAGUAAUUGUGGACGAUUAUUCACGAUUCACUUGGAUAUAUUUUCUGGCAAGUAAGUCUGAAACCUUUUCUUAUUUCAAAAAGUUUGCUAAAAAAGUCCAAAAUGAGAAAGGAUAUGUUAUUGCAAGUAUACGGACAGACCAUGGAGGUGAAUUUGAAAAUCAAGACUUUACAAAAUUCUGUGAUGAAUCUGGUUUUCAGCAUAUGUUCUCCUCUCCAUAUACUCAAGAGCAAAAUGGAGUCGUGGAAAGGAAGAAUAGAUCCUUGCAAGAAAUGGCUAGAACUCUUUUAAUUGAAAGUAACAUCUCUUCACAUUUUUGGGCUGAAGCUGUUUCUACAGUAUAUUAUAUUAUUAAUAGAGUUUUUCUAAGGCCUAUUAUGGAGAAAACUCCCUACGAGUUAUUCAAAGGAAAGAAGCUCAUUGUUUCAUAUUUUCAUGUGUUUGGAUGUAAAUGUUUUAUAUUGAAAAAUGCAAAUGAUCGAGUUGGUAAGUUUGAAGAAAAAUCAGAUGAAGGAAUUUUCCUUGGAUAUUCUAUCACAAGCAAAGCUUACAGAGUCUAUGACAAGAAGACUCAAUCUGUGGAAGAAUCAAUGAAUGUCAAAUUUCAAGACUCUAUGCAAAAUGAAUCGAUUCAGACUCAAUUUGAAGAAUCUGAACCUGCUCCAGACUCUACAAAGUCUAAAUCUCUAGAAGCAGCUCAAACUUCAGAAGACCAGCAACAAAUGAUCGUCGAAGAUUCAAAUGAGGAAAAAGAUCAACAGUCUGACAAAUCAACCAGCAACUGGAAGCAUAAGUCCAAUCAUCCCAAAGAUCUCAUCAUUGGUGAUAUUAAUGAAGGAAUUCGCACAAGAUCCAAAAGGCGUGAAGAACCUAGUGCUGUGGCUCUUAUUUUUGAAAUAGAACCCAAAAGCAUAGAAGAAGCUUUAACUGAUGAAAGCUGGAUUGCAGCUAUGCAAGAAGAACUCAGGCAAUUUAGUAUCAAUGAUGUCUGGGAAUUGAUUCCUAAACCGAAAGGUAAAUCUAUCAUUGGAGUUAAAUGGGUUUUCAGGAAAAAGAUGAACGAGAAAGGAAAGGUCGUAAGAAACAAAGCAAGACUCGUGGCCAAGGGAUAUACGCAAGAAGAAGGGAUAGACUAUGAUGAGACUUACGCACCAGUAGCAAGGUUAGAAGCAAUUAGAUUAUUACUUGUUUUUGCUUGUUAUAAGAAUUUCAAGUUAUUCCAAAUUGACGUCAAAAGUGCUUUCCUAAAUGGAUUUAUCCAAGAGGAAGUCUAUGUGGAACAACCACCCGGUUUUGAAGACCCAAGGAAACUAGACUCUGUAUUCAGACUGAAAAAGGCUUUAUAUGGUUUAAAGCAAGCACCCCGAGCUUGGUACGACAGACUAAGUAAGUUUUUAAUUCAAAAUGGCUUUGUCAAAGGUAAAUUAGAUACUACACUGUUUAUCAAAAGAGAAAGCAAAAUUUUUCUACUUGUUCAAAUUUAUGUUGAUGAUAUUAUUUUUGGAUCUUCUAAUGAAAGUCUACGCAAGAAAUUCUUUAACUCUAUGUAGGAUGAAUUUGAAAUGAGCAUGAUGGGUGAACUAACCUUCUUUCUCGGACUUCAAGUGAAACAACUGAAGGAAUGAACUUUUAUUCAUCAAGAAAAAUAUGCCAACGAUCUUGUCAAAAAGUUUGGGCUAAAGAAUUGCAAAAAGACUUAUAUACCAAUGUCAAGUUCUUUGAAGCUGGACAAAGAUGAAAGAGGAAAGAAAGUUGACCAGAAGCUAUAUAGGAGCAUCAUUGGUUCACUUCUUUAUCUUACUGCUUCUAGACCUGACAUUCUGUUUAGUGUUUGUAUUUGUGUCAGAUUUCAAGCAGACCCUAAAGAAUCUCAUUUAAGUGCUGCAAAACGUAUUAUCAAAUACAUUGCCUCAACUUCAAACUUGGGUAUCUGGUAUCCUAAAGAAUGAGACUUUACUCUUCUUGGAUACUCAGAUGCAGACCUAGCCGGAUGCAAAGUUGAUAGAAAGAGCACCUCGGGCACCUGUCAACUACUUGGAAGCAGGACAGUGUCUUGGUUCUCAAGGAAGCAAAGUACAGUAGCUCUUUCUAUAGCAGAAGCAGAGUAUGUAGCUCUUAGAAGUUGUUGUUCACAAAUUCUAUGGAUAAAACAACAGCUAAGAGACUUUGGAAUUGAAGAUUCAUGCACUGAAAUCAAAUGUGACAACACCAGCGCAAUCAAUCUCACUAAGAAUCCGAUUCUUCACUCAAGAGCAAAACAUAUAAAGAUUCGACAUCACUUCAUUAGAGAUCAUGUUCAAAAUGGAGAAGUUUCGAUUCAGUUUAUUGACUCAAAAAAUCAACUGGUGGAUAUAUUUACAAAGCCUUUGGAGAAAAUCAAUUUGAANNNNNNNNNNNNNNNNNNNNNNNNNNNNNNNNNNNNNNNNNNNNNNNNNNNNNNNNNNNNNNNNNNNNNNNNNNNNNNNNNNNNNNNNNNNNNNNNNNNNACCCAGGACUAAAAGUCUAAAAACACUCAGACUCAGACCGAUCAGAUUCUCGACUGUAAGUUAUUUUUAUUUUAGAAAUAUCUCUCGAAUCAAAUCUCGAAAGGUACGAUCAUCAACCCGUAAUUAAUUGUUGUAUUUUCAAUUCCGUGAUUAUUGCAGUCUUUCUUUUUCGAAAAAGAAGUUAUUUUUAAAAUGACAGUUAUCUAAUUUUUAAAAAGGCAGUUAUUUUUUAAAAAGGCAUCUUUAUAUUUCCUUUUACGGCGUUUCGUAUGCCUCACUUUGAUUGUCUUAUAUACAGUCGGUUCCUCUUCAUUUUACUCACAAAAACCCUAAGAGAGCACCGAUCUUCCACUUCUGUCAUUUUCUCUUGUUUAAUCCUCGAAAAAUUUUCAUCUUUCUUGGGAAACAAGCUUGGAAACUCUCAAGGACUGAGAAAGAUGUCGUCCCAAAGAAAGUCUUCAAGGAUCGUGAACAGGGGACCACAGCAAAUGCGUGAGGGGCCUACGCACUUUGAUCUCACCGAGGAAGAAGAAUCUCCUAAUCAACAGCAGACCCCACAACAUUCUCAGCAGCGUCCAUCUCCUCCAUCUAGACCUCAGGAUGCUACACAUCAAGAAGAAGAAGAAAUCAUCAAAGACGCAGAACCCGUAAGAACUCUUAAGCCCGCUUUUACCUACAAGCUUUAUCGUGCUUUGAAGAGGGGUGGUACUCCUUUGAACUACAUUGAUGAAUUUCUGAAAGACAAAGGGUAUAGAAAUGAAACUUUCAUUUUACGCACAAUUGAACGAUUGGGAAUUGCCCCUGCUGGGUUGGCGGAAGAGGCAUUGGCAAAUAUCCCAAGCGAUCCACGUGUUGGAGGGCUGAGUUAGCCUAAUGGGAAUGACGAUGAUAGGAUGUACAGUCAGUUUAAAUCGAGAAUGGGUGUUACGGCAAAAAUCCGAAGCAAAAGGACAGACUUGUUUCGAUCGGAGGAACACAAGCAACUGUACUCUAAGUUGCUGAAGCGUGGGGUGAUAAACCCUAGAAGUGUGGAUUUUGAUUUUCUUGACUCUGUGAAUGUCAAUCUGCGGGAAAAAUUCAAUCUUCUUCAACUUGAACAGUUUUGUUCUGAAAGUACAUAAGCCUAUGCUGAACUUACUACUUAUUUCUAUUUGAAUAUUAGUUUCUUGGAUGCGAAUAGAUUCUCUUUUAGUGUUCGAGAUGAGGACUAUGUGGUUGACAUGAAUACAUUGGCUGAUGUGAUUGAGGUUGAAAGAGGGAGAUAUCAACCUAUUAGUGUGUCUAUUGCUCGUGCAACGUUGGAGCUUGUUAAGGAUAGAAGGACAGAGGGAAAGAUUUCCUAUUUGAGGAUGAAUGCAUCCAACAUUCUGCUUCACAAGAUUGUGAUUAACUGCCUCAGACCAAAAUCUACUUCAAAAACCGACGUUUCAAACUCGGAGGCAAAGCUGAUGUAUGCCAUCAAUGCUGGGAAAAAGUUCUCUCUUCUACACACUAUUAUGUUCCACAUGUACAGGGCAGUGGUGAAGGACAAGGGUCAACUCCCGUACGCAGCUCUUGUAACCAAGUUAUUCAGACAUUUGAACGUUCAGCCUCCCCGAAUUCUCUGUGUUCGAACGUGCAAUCAAAUGGUGUGGGACUGAAAAUGGUCUCUAAAUUGNNNNNNNNNNNNNNNNNNNNNNNNNNNNNNNNNNNNNNNNNNNNNNNNNNNNNNNNNNNNNNNNNNNNNNNNNNNNNNNNNNNNNNNNNNNNNNNNNNNNNNNNNNNNNNNNNNNNNNNNNNNNNNNNNNNNNNNNNNNNNNNNNNNNNNNNNNNNNNNNNNNNNNNNNNNNUUUCUGCAAUGGCAUGAAGAACUUGAGUCGUUCUACUCCAGAAUCAAUGGAGAGACAGGAAAAAGACAUGGAUGAGACAGAACAGAGGACUGAAGUGAGAGAAGAUUUGGAGAAAGAAGCAGAGGAGAGAGAUGCAGAGGAGGAAAGAAUUGAGGAAUAAGAAGAAGAAGAAGAAGAAGAAGAAGAAGAAGAAGAAGAAGAGAGGAGAUCAAGUGGAAGCAGAGCAUGAGGAACACUCUUCUCCACCUAAAGGCAUGGAAACAGGGGGAGAUCCUGAGAAAAGAGGAACGUCCUCAUUCCCUGCCACCAGUGAAAGAGUAAGCCACUCUCCAGCAGAUCCAGAGGACAUCUAUGCCUCUCAAUUUCCUGAGGAGGGACAUGAUGUUUCAUCGCCUAAUCUGUGUGACCAUGCUAAUUUGCCAUCAUCUGCGUAUAUCGUGCAGAAGCCAGUAUUCAGAUUGAUAAUUCAGCAAACUUUCGCAUAAUACUUGAUGUUCUCUUAGAGAUGCGGGGUCAAAUAUAUGCUCUGGGAUGCGAAGUACAAAACUUGCAGACUGCAGGACAAGCUUCUUCAGUUUCUUUGAAUGAUCAAAUCCAAGCCCUUGCUCUUCAAGUUCAAGCAAAUGCAAGGGUGAAGAUGUGGCGCAACUGAAGGAGGAUUUGAAAAAGCUGGAAGGGAUUGUCCAGUCAAUGGGAGAUUUCCAGCUUGUUCGUGUUCCCAAGCAAUCUUAAUUCCAUUCUCUUUUCAUCUCUACCUUUUUAAUGAUGACAAAAAGGGGGAGAGAUGUGGUGCAAAUUUGAUUUGAACUUUGAACUUUUUGAACUUUUGUGUCGAUUAUGUUUGAUUGACUUGACUUUUGUGUUUGGCUGUUUGGAUUUGAAUUGGAUUUGGAUUUGACUGUUUGAACAUUUGUUUAUCUUAAGUACUAUUGAUAUCUCAUGGCUUUGUUCAUUUACAAGACUAACCUACUUUCUGUGGAUGCAGACUCUAGUGUUAUUUUUACUAAGCCAUUUAUCUUUGUGAGAUAUCCAUAUUUGCUUGAGUAAUGUUUUGCAGGUCAAAGUUAUCCAAAUCUGCAGGAAAGUUUUGUCACCAUCAAAAAAGGGGAGAUUGUUGAAGAUAACUUCCUUGAGUGUUUUGAAGCUGACAAAACGUUUCCAUUAGUCUAGUCUGAAGACUUGCGGACUCUUUCAUCAAAGUCUGAAGACCUCCGAACUGCCAGACUCAAGACUCAAAGUCUAUCCUCAUUGAUAGUUUCUAGACCGUCGAAGAAGGCUUAUCCAGAACUGGAUGUUUCGUUAAGGAUUUGACUUUAUCGACUGGAGAAGAUCUCUUGGCUGGAUACAGCAUGUUGGAAUCCAUUAUUCAAAUUAAGAUUGAUUCAGGGAUUUUGGAUUCGUUGAUUGAUGAAGUAUACUUGGAAGGUUCUACUUAUGGAAACCUAGAUCCUAAUUGUAUGGGCGAGCAGAAUUGAUGGGCUAUUGUCAUGUUCCUUAAAUAGCUCGAAGAUCUUCCUAAUUGAUUCUGUCCAACGGGUAGAUUGGAAGAAUUCCUUUGGUAAGUGCCAACGGGUAUGAUGGCAUAAAAGAGUAUAUAAGGAAGACGUUACAGUUGUUCGAGUGCGUGCGCGAUAGAAGAAUUCCAAAGUCUGAAGCUCCUUGUUCUUAGUCAAUUAAACUGUUGAGCGAAAUCUUGUACGCAAAAGAGAGUAUAUCUUUGAGAGACCUUAAGGAAGUGUAGUAGAGUCUCUACACUGUGGAAUCAAUGAAGAGCUUUACUGUAACAACUCUUUUGUUCAUAGUGAAAUCCAGCCAGUGGGCUAUCAGUGCGGAAGAGUGGACAUAGGCUUGGAUUAAGCCGAACCACUAUAAACUCUGUGUUCAAAUUCUCUUCCCUACACUCUUUUACUUUGAUCGUAACUUGUUUUGUUGACAAGAAACAAAUUUCUUUUUUACAAUCUAUUAUUGAAUAGUGCUGCACACUUAUCUCGAAAAAUUGUUUUUACACCUAUUCACCCCCCUCUAGGUGUUCAUACUAGCAUUCACAAAAUGUGCUUCACUUGCAUCGAGGAACCUUAAAUUCCUUAACUUCUUGAAUCGUUUUGCCUUAAGGAUAUUGUCACCUUGGUCAAUGGUUUCACCACAGCUAAGACAAAUGGCCUCAAUCUUUUUUGUUCCCUAUUAGUAGGAAUCAACAUCCAUUAAUACUAUUUAUAUCCAAGUCAUCUAAUAUCAUUUGUUCAUAUUGCUAUUAUUAUGCAUCUAUCUCUUCAAGAGACUAGCAAAUCCUUUUUUGGCAGAUAAACGGUAUUUAUAAAGGCUAACAAAGUGAAAGAUGUCAAUUCUGACUUUGAAAUUUGGCCAUAAGUACUUAGAUCUUAAAAUAAUUAUGAUGUUCUCUAGUUUUAUUUUAUCAUGUAUAAUAGUUUACAGUUUCUUAUACCCAUUAUAAACGUACUAUUACCCUUUGAUCUACCUAUAGGGUAAAACUUCACAACUGAUAAAUCCUCUUCUCUUGUAUUGUAGUUUUGUUGCUAUCCUAGUUAGGACGCACAUGUAAUGCAUGGAAUUUAAUUAAAUUACAAUGCACAAAAUUGAAAGUUCUUGUGAUUAUUGUGACAAUUGGGAAAAAAAAAACUUCUCUUAAUAUAAAAAAAUUUAUCCUUAUGAAGUCCAUCUUUUCUUUUCCGUAUUUUCUUGUGUUUAAAUUUCGUGUAUAUUACUCAGCUGUGUUACUUACAAUUAAUAAAAAUAUAACUUAUACUCAUUUUUGCUUUUUCCAAUGGAGUAAUGACUAAUUGUACGUAACUAAGCUUGUGAUGGUAGUUACUUUAAUAUCAUAUGUAAUUUUUUUUAUUAAUAGUAACUUGAAUUAUUAUCAAUAAUUAAUCUCUAAUUAUAAGCAACUGAGAUACUGACAUUAAUUAUAUCUAUGCUCUCUAUAACUUAUCAUACUAGCAUAAAUUAUUAUUUAGUUGCAGAUCACAAUUGGCUAUAUUAUAAAUCGAUCAGAAAUUGAAUUAUUAAAGUAUAAUAAGUAUAAUUGUUCUAAAACAAUUAUAAUAAAUAUAAUAAACAGUCCUAAUUUAUUAACUUUGAUUAAUUUGAAUAUAACUAAUUAUUAAAAAUGUAUAGUAUUUUCGGAAUUUUAAAAAUUGAACUUAUUCUUGGCUACAUGAAAUAGCGAGUAACUCCUUGGCCCCCAGGAAUAGCUAGUCCUGAUUUUGAGAGAAUAGCUAUUUCAAAUCUACUUUUUUAAUCAAAGGAAUGAAAAUUUGCUUCAAUUUGAAUGAAUUAAAAACAUGAUAGUUAUUCCUGCGAAUCAAAUGUGCAACAAGCUUUCACCAAGAAAAAUCACUUAUGCAUAAGAAGUUAAGGAGCACCAACAAUUCAUGGAUUUCCAGAUCCAUGUCAGUUUAUUCAAACCAGAAAAUUUCUUAUUGUAUUUGACAAUGUUUCUUAAGAUUUCAUGGAAACUCAGGAGAAUGACAUAAUUAGUGGAGAAGGAAUUAUAUCUUAUACCUAAAAGAAAACCAUGAGAAGAGUAAUUAUAAAAAAAAAAAAGUAAGCAACCUCCAAGAGAAGUAAACAUACUCAGAUUAGUCAUUUCCAUGAGAAAAUUCCCUCUCAAAAUAUGAAGAAAUCUAUCUGUCGUCAAAAUCGAGUAACACUCAUGGUCAAAUCCCAAAAAAAAAGCCCAACCAUUUGUACUUGAGACAAAAGUAACACAAUCUUUCAAAUGUCCCAAGCCUAAUGUAUCGGGGACAUGUUGACAUGGAACAAAGCCCAACCUUUUAGCCGGGAAAAAAACCGACAUCUAUUGUAAAUUACAUUCAUUAAAUUGCCACUAAUAUCCUACAUGGCUCACUGUGUUGACGUACACAGCGAGCCACAUCAACCAGCACAGAAGAACGACGUUGCUUUUUCAUUUAUAAUCUUUGCCAACAAAAUUAGUGUAUAAUCUUUGUUAUCAAAUUUUUAGCAUUUUGUAAAAACAACAAAAAGCCGUAUAAUUAAAAUUGUUUUUGUGCAUGUCAGCCCAAUGAACCAUGUAGGUGUCGUGUGUCUAUUUAAGGUGAGAGGAGAAUAGGUAGAAUUUGUAAUAGAUGUCAUUUUUGUAUCGCGAGUGAAGAAGGGCUGAGCUUUUCCCUGGGAAGUUCGAAAGGUGGUGUUAUUAUCAGCCCACAUGCUUGCUUGGGCUUCCUUUUAGGAUAUUUUAGGUUGUGUUAUUAUUGUCAAGGGUGCAAAAGGCUGCUCUAUUUUCACUUGGCAGUUCACUCACUAAUAAUGUCCGAGGAAUGAGUUAUAAAUGUGUUCUAAUUAUGCUUUGAAUGUCUUUUGUUUUUGUUUAUUUUGUAAGUCGUGCCAAUGCUCUUGUCCAUGCUUUGCACUUCACAUGACGAAUAUCAAGAUUGACUGUUUUCGAUGACAUACAUGACAAUAACUUCUAAUAUUGAUCGGAUGUAGGAAUCAACUUACAAUAAUAUUUGUAUCAGUUUUCUCAGCCGCUUUAACUUGGAGUAAUGACAGUGCCAUGAAUGAAGAAGAAAAAUGAACCCAGCAAGAAUUCUGAAAUAAUUACGACCAAUGACGUACCUUUUUAGUUUGUAAAGCCAUCAAUACCAAAGUUAUCUAGACUUAAAUAUACAGCAUAUUCAUUUUUCUUUUAGUUAGUUCAGUUUAUUUUAUGAUGUAAUACGAAGACAUAACAAAUGAACAUUGGCUUUAAUAUGAUAACAUAGAAAUCAGCUCUUGAGAUUAUAUAUAGGUUGCACGUUGAAAAUGCAAAUAUGUGCUAGUUUUUUAGCAACAACUCCGAGUCAAACAAAUGAUGGAUCAAGAAUAUUAAGAGUCAAAACUAUGAUUAAUUUCACACAUACAAUACAAUCACAUAAUUAUAUACAAAAUAGAAUUUUAGAGUAAUUACCUUUGGGACUUUUUAUAUGAAAUAAAUAAGACAUUUCUCUUUUCAAUAGCCAUUACAUCAAAUACGAUUAAUGUCAUAUAUAUCUGCAUACAUUAUGUUCAUAUUCUAUUAAUUAUAUGUUCGGUAAGUUUUGAAUCAGUCCUUAUUAUGUGAAUUUUGGUAAAAGGAAUUACUAACUUAAUAUUACAUAAAAUAAAUACCCCUUCCAUUCUCAAAUACGUUAUAAUGAUUGAAAUUUCAUGAGAAAUGUGGGCAUGAUUGCUCCUACUAUAUCAAUUCCAACACCUAGAGAGUAGAAUUUUAUGAUUUAUAUAUCCUAAGGAAGUUAUGGUUUACAGUAGCAUAGUCAAAGUUAUUAUUGCAUGUGUCAAGGAUGUAACUGAAUAAAUUUUAGAAGUUAAGGAUUUUGUCAAUAUAGAAUACCUCUAUCAAGUAUCUAAUAAAUUUGAAAAUACCUCAUACUUGGAAGCAACUUCUGAAUGCACGCUUGUUCAAGAAAAAUCUCAAAUAAGGUGCAAUGCUUAUUAAGAGAGAGCAACCUCAUACUUUCUAAUCAUGUCAAUGAAACGACAUAAGAGUAAUAAUAGUAGACAGUUCUCUGCUCACUAGAGCAAGCACUAAGUACAAGACCAAUAUCAAUCUGACACUAGAACAUGGACUGAGAGGGCAAAAGAGAGAAACGCAUACCUCAUUUGCGUUAAGCACUUCCCGGACUUCCCUCGAGUCCCAUAACCUACUACGGUAUUGAGGUCCUUGCUCGUUUUCCUCGCGGACAAUUUCCUUGCCAAGAUCUCUUAAUUGAUCAUGCAUUCUGAGCUCAUGAUUAUCUCCAACUUUUAUUAAUGACAUUGUUGAGAAUGUCGGAUUCCCAAAAACCGGAUUCGACAUUAAAUCGAACCCCUAAAACGAAUGCGGAAGACAAGCCCGGGAAAUUCACAUGUAUUACCGAUUCUAAAGCACACCACAGAAUCGAGCGUACCUUGUUAGCCACAGAUUAAACAUCAAUGCCAAUAAGAUUGAGGAAGAGAAAACGAUCCCGUUCGAUCUGAUGACAUCGAUUAGCCUUGAAGGGAAGAUGAUGUCGCUUGGGUGCCACUUUUUUCUUUUUGGAGGGAGAGAGGGAGAGGAACGUACGUUAUGCCAACGAUUGUGUUCCUCCCUCUCUCUUUCUCCUUUUAUACGUCCCUCCAAUAGAAAGGAACAUACCCCUUCAUCCAUGGGCCCUAAUCUUGUGGGCCGGGCUUUUAGGUCCAUCAUGGACGAACGGGCCAACUUAGGCCCAUCACAUAAAACUAUCAUCUCCCACUCGCACAUGGUGGGCCGAACAGGAUUCUCUUUACCUCUCUUCAACAUUCAUACCAGUGAAUAAUCCGUGCGACCAGCAUACUUUGAGAGCUCGUUGACAUACAUCUAUUAGGAACAUAUAGCAGCUCAUAAUGGGCAUCACACUCUGAGUAGAUUUAGUAUGCAGUACCCUAGAUCGAUCGAUCACAUUUAUAUCUCUCUUGAUCUCUUUUAAACAAUGAUAUAUAUAUAUAUAUAUAUUGUAUUCACAAUUAUGAUUAUCCCAAAGACAGUCAUAAAUUGUUAACUAGUGAAUACGAAACUACAAUGUGAUUCUCCAAAUUCGAUCUUCCUCUUUCCUUCAAACUCUCAAUUUCAAUUCAGCUUGUUUUUCUAGAAAUGUCCCAUUAGAUCGAAUCAACUCAUGACCAUUGGCAAUAUCCUAAGAUAGCAAACACUAAAUAGAAAUCUUGAGAAUAAGUAAGAGUCAUGAGGAGACUAAAAAAUUGAUGAACUAUUUUCCUCAAGAGUCUCACACGACACAAAAGUUGAGAUCAAACUUUUGCCACUCUUAUUGGUCGACUCAUGCAUACGUAGUAUGAAAUACGUAUUACGGUACUCAUUUCCUAUGGAGCAUAUGUCUACACCUUUCAAUACCGUACAGAUGAUAGUUCAGACAUACCCAAUGUCUAACUUAAGUUCACGUAUCUACUCAUUCACAAAAUUCAUCAGAACUCACAUCUGGCAUCAUAGACAGAUAAAGUAAAAUAUGUUGGUUAUUUUACUUUCGGACACAGUAAAUAUUAUGUCAUCAUCUUAACACUCAGUUAAGGCGACAUAUGUAUUUUAAGCUUAAGCUCUCGAUUAUCACCUAGAUAAUAAGCUUAAAAACAGUCUCAUCUCUAUUUAUCACACAGUAAAUAGAGGCGAUUACCCAUGUGAAUGGGCUAAUCUUAUAUCUGUCCGACAUACUUUCUCAACUUAAAAUGAUGCACUGAGCAUUAAGAUGCAUAAAGAUCAAACAAAGAUUCAUAAGCAUUAAUGAUGAAAAACACAAAUUCAUCAAAUGUGAACACUUCAUGGAAAUUACAAUCCAGUACAUCAGACUCUACGCAAUCCUAGAGGUUUCACAUGACCACAAAACACAUCUCUAGGUAUUGACUUUGUCAUAGGAUCUGCUACCAUUCUAUGCGUAGAUAUGUACUGUAAGUUUACAUCCUUUCGUGCAACCAUAUCUUUGACAAAGUUAUACUUGGUAUCUAUAUGUUUGGUCUUGCCAUGAUAGUUUGGAUCUUUGGUGUACGCUGUAGCUGCUUGGCUAUCACAGUUAACCAACAAUGAAUCUGCAGCACUUCCAAUAACACCUAAAUGAUCCAAUAAUCUCUUAAGCCAAACAUCUUCUUAUAUUGUUGCUGAUAAUGCCACGAACUCAAUUUCCAUCGUGGACAAGGCUAUACACUUUUGUUUCUUACUGCUCCAACAUAUGGUGCCAUUAUUCGGUAAGAAAACAAACCCAGAGGUAGAUAUUCUUUCAUCUAAAUCUCCUCCCCAAUCAGCAUCAAAAUAGCCUUAGAGUUGCAGAUCUUUUCCUUGAUAACUCAAUGUAUAAUCAGCAGUUCCCUUUAGAUACCUCAGUAUUCUCUUAACGGCCUUCCAAUGUGCUGGACCUGGGUUGGAUUGGUAUCUACUCACCAUUCCAACUGCAAAACAUAUGUCAGGUCUUGUACACAUCAUAGCGUACAUCAAGCUCCCAACAGCACUAGCAUAAGGAACAUGUUUCAUUUGUUCCUUCUCUUGUGGAGUCCUUGAACACAGUCUAUGGCUCAAUCCUUCACCUUUUGCAAUAGGAGUGUCUAUGGGUUUACAAUCUUGCUUACGAAAUCGUUCAAGAACCUUAUUUAUAUAUGUUUCUUGCAAAAGAGAUAACGAUCUCUUCGAACGAUCUCUUGAAAUCUUAACUCCAAGAAUGUAUGCAACCUCACACAUAUCCUUCAUCUCAAAGUUGGAAGACAACCAACUCUUGACAGUAUUAACAAACUCCAUAUUACUUCCAGCAAUUAGUAUAUCAUCAACAUAUAAUGAUAUGAUCACAAAUUGAUCCUUGGAUCUUUCGAUAUAUACACAAUGAUCCUCAUCAAUCAUUGUAAAAUCAUAUGCCAUUAUGGCAUUAUGAAAACGUAUAUAUACCAUUGUCUUUGACGACUGCUUAAGGCCAUAUAUCGACCUCAAAAGUCGACAUACCUUUUCUUCUUGGCCUUUCACUAUGAAACCAGCAGGUUGUUCCGUAUAUAUUUCUUCCUCUAAUUCUCCAUUGAGGAAAGCAGUCUUUACAUCCAUUUGAUGAAAUUCAAGAUCCACACUAGCCAUUAUUGCCAGAAUAAUGCGAAUCGAGGUAAAUCUUACUAUAGGAGAAAAUGUAUCUUCAUAAUCAAUUCCUUCAUGUUGAUUAUACCCCUUCGCCACAAGGCGGGCCUUAUGCCUUUCUAUCGAGCCAUCAACUUUUCGCUUUAUUUUGAGUUCCCACUUGUUCCCAAUAGCUUUGCGUCCUUUUGGAAGAUCAACCAGUUCCCAGACUUGGUUUGAUUUCAUUGACUCAAUUUCUUCUUCCAUUGCAUGAAUCCAUUUCUCCUUACUAAGGCAAUUCAGAGCCUCAUUAAUAUUUCUUGGCUCAUCCUCAUCUUGCGGAGCAAUCAUAAAAGUUUCCCCUUCAAUGUCAAAACGUCGACGGGGAAUACUUUGGCGACUUGUUCGCCUUAUGGGAGAUUGUACACUUAGCACAUCAUUCCCCAUUAUGCUCACACUAGGAUUAGAUAAUGAUGACGUCGUCUCAUCAUGUGGUUGCAAUUGAGAAUGAGUUGAAUUCAAUUCAUCACUUCUCAUAUUACUCCCACUUGAACGAACUCCACUAAUAUCAUUAUCUUGAUCCAAGAUUACAAAUAAGGAGUAAUCUGCCCCUAUUUCGCCCUUUUUAGGAAAUUCAUCCUCUAAGAAUGUGACAUCCCGUGAUUCAAAUUCAGUUAUACUUUCACUUUCCUGCUCACCUAUGAACACAUACUCUUUCGAGUGUUCCGAAUAUCUUAUGAAAAUACUCUUCUUUCCUCUGGGACCCAAUUUCCCAAACUUGUGAGAGGACUCAUGAGUAUAGGCAGCACAACCCCAUGGCUUAAGAAAACUUAAGUCCAGUUUUCUACCUGUCCAUAACUCAUAUGGAGUGGAGGUAACUGAUUUGGAAGGCAUCCGGUUAAGUAUAUAGGCAGCAGUUAAUAACGCAUCACUCCGAAAAGUGAUAGGUAAGUUAGCAUGCGCCAUCAUGGACCUAACCAUUUCCAGUAGGGUUCUGUUUCUUCUCUCUGCAACACCAUUUUGUUGAGGAGUAUAUGGAAUAGACAACUGUCUUUCUAUUCCUUUUUCAUCACAUAAUUUUCUAAACUCAUCAGAUAAAUAUUCUCGACAUCGAUCGGAUCUCAACGCUUUUAUUUUCUUGUCUAAUUGAUUUUCUACCAAGUUCAUAAAUCUUUGAAACAACUUAAUGCUUCAGAUUUAUGAGAAAUCAAAUAGACAUAUCCGAAUCGAGUAUAAUCAUCUAUAAAAGUGAUGAAAUAAACAGCCCCAUGCCUUCCUCUCACAUUCAUUGAACCACAGACGUCAUAAUGGAUUAAAUGCAGAGGAAAUUCAGCUCUUUUACCUUUUCCAAAUGGUUUCCUUGUCGUUUUCCCUACUAGGCAAUGCUCACAUAUGGGCAAAUCGCCUUUUUCAAUGUUGCCCAACCAGCCCUCUUUGGCUAAUCUAUUCAUACGUUGUUGGUCAAUAUGACCAUGUCUUGCAUGCCACACAUUCACAUCAUUAUCACAUGAAUUAAGAGAUGUGAGAAGGGAAUAACUAACAUUUGCAUUAACAUAGUCAAUACCUAAUACAAUGAAACCAUCCAGAAAAUAACCACAAGCAUAGUAGUUUGUAUCAAAAUACAAAUCAACACCUCUAUUAUGGAAGUUCAUAUAAAAUCAAACUUAACCAACACUAAAACAGACACUAAAUUUCGACGAGUCUCCGGAGCAUAUGGAACAUCAUGUAGGGACAAGGUGCGUCCACCACGCAUGUUCAAUUGGCAGGUGCCAAUCCCUUUAACUUCAGCUCUAGAGUUAUUUCCCACAUAGAUCCACUUAAUUCCAGUUGGUAUCGUCGGAAUUCCACGAAGAUUCUCUAUCCUUCGUUACAUGGUCUGUCGCUCUUGAAUCUACAGUCUACAAAGGAUUGGAUUCAGCCAAUAAUACAGAACUUGACACAUAAGCAAAGUUCUCAAAUGUACAAGAGGUGUUUACCUUUUCGGCUCACAACAGUUGCGAGCAUAGUGACAUUUCUUAUUACAAUUGUAACACCUCACCCUUGACAUUUUCCUCACUUGAGGACAUUUUCCUCUCUUGUAUUGGUUAACUCUUGAUUUCUUGCAAUAAGGACUUGAUCAUUUGCAUUCCCACAUAUUGAACGAAUCAAUACGCUUGCACUUAGAGCUCAAAGCCCUUUCUAAGCUAGAACCUGCAUUGCAAAUAUCUAUUUUCGACUCAAAUGCCGUUAUGCGGUCCUCUACUAGCUCAAGGUGGCGCACGGCAUCCUCAAGAUCUUCCAUAACAUGGUCAAGAGCUUCCAGUGCUUCUUGCUUUUCCAACAUAUAUUGAAUCUUCAUAUUCAAUAUUUCACAAUUGUUGCCGUUCAUAUCAACAAUUACAUUCUUAUUUGCUGAAACCAUCGAUCUGAACACAUCAGACAUAUAUGCACGAAUAAUUAAUGCCUAUCAUUUAUGCAUCCACUUUGCACAGACCCAUCAUAUCAAUGAACAAUUUCAAAUAAGGUUUCAGAAUCAAAAGGUCAUUACGUUUCCAAUCAUUAUCCAAAAAUCCUAACUUAAAAUUAUUAUUAAUAUAAUUGUCUUAUGCAAAAUAAAUUCUAUGAAGUUACAAAAACUUCUAUGAACUACCCACAGCAGUCAACAAUAACUGAAAGCAAAUAAUAUUUAACAUCCAAUAAUAAUGCUUUCACAUAAUACAGCUAUCCAUUACACUGAGUAAUAUAUACAAAGAAGAAAUAUCAAACUAGAAAGAGAUAUUCACACUCAAAAACAUCUCAAACUAAUCUAAGAAAUAAAUAGGGAAUGUUCCUUCUAAUCUAUCAGUCAAAAUAUCUAAGAAAUUUGAAGGCACAUUUGCCAACCAUGGAAAAACUUUUGGAGAGCUCUCAUGUCGCCUCCAAGGCGCAUUCACUCUGCACCAUGUGGCGCUCAAUCUAAAGGUUGAAGUUUUGGUUAACUCAAUCCUAUAGUACUCUCUAACAAAAGCUACCACUAGCCUCCUAUAACCCGGGACCACGUUGACCUCCCAUAGCCGAUCUAACACUGCUUGCCAUUCAGGUGGAAGAGUGUUCAUCAAAGCCGGCACCUUCUCAAAAUCCGGCAUAAGAUACACAUUCCAAAUGAUUUCCUGUAUCAUCUAAUUAAUCUUGACCACGUGUGAUACUAAAUCACCGCAAUGCCACCAAUAAUUAGCUAACUCUGUCAUUAGCCUUUUAAGUCUUGCACUUCCCUCGUCCGUUCUCGGGAUUGCAGGUAUCCGUGCAUAACGCAUCAUAGUUCCUACAACAAAUGCAGAACUAAAAAUGGAUUACUUAUAAUCCAUAACGUACAUAAGAGAAAAUACAUAAUUUUCCAUAAUUCAUGCAACAAAUGCAGAACUAAAAAUGGAUUACUUAUAAUCCAUAACGUACAAGGGAAAAUACAUAAUUUUCCAUAAUUCAUGCAACAAAUGCAGAAUAAACAAUGGAUUACUUAUAACCCAUAUAGGUAUAAAUGAAAAAGAAACAGAUUCCUUUUUUUUUUUCUUUUUUUUUUCUUUUUCGGGUCAACAGUCAACGGUCGUUGGUCAACGGUCAACGGUGGUCAACGGGUCAACGGUCGUCGGUCAACGGUCAACGGUCGGGUCGCCGGGUCGUCGGACCGGUCGGACUGGUCGGGCCGAGUCGAACGAACCGACCCGACACGUGCCUCGCACACGCGAGCGACCGGUCGUCUCGAGUCGGGUCGCGUCUCGGGUCGGCUCGGUUCGCCGGUCGGGUCGGGUCGCCAGCCGGUGACCGGCCGGCCAACUUUCGCCGGCGAUGACGUCAUCCCAGCGGUUACUGACCGUUGGGUGACGUCAUCACGCGUCGGUUCGCCGACUAGCGCGUGCUGGUUCGCCAGCCUGCGGCGUCACGCAUGUGCCAGUUCGCCGACCGACGCGUGUGGUGCACGCGGUGGCCGAGCCAGGGCUUCAGGCGCGUGGCGCCCACGCGCAGCGGUUUCUGGCCGCGCGUGUGGUCACGUGAGGCGUCGCCCGACGGCGGUCAACCCGUUGACGGAUUCGUCUCGACGAGCUCUUUCACCCUAUGCUAUUAGAAAUUGAUUUCGACUUACGGAAACUCGAAAAAAUGGAUGAAUAGUGUUCGGGUGUCGGGAUUUUUCGCCCCGAUCGGUUUCGGCCGAAUAAUUCCGCGAAAAAUCAAUCAAAAAUCAUUCAUAAACAUGAAAGGGGUCGGGAAAACAUGAACUAGGGCUAUGAUACCAAUGUUGGGAAUGUCGGAUUCCUAAAAACCGGAUUCGACACUAAAUCGAACCCCUAAAACGAAUGCAGAAGACAAGCCCGAGAAAUUCACAUGUAUCACCGAUUCUAAAGCACACCACGGAAUCGAGCGUACCUUGUUAGCCACAGAUUAAACAUCAAUGCCGAUAAGAUUGAGGAAGAGAAAACGAUCUCGUUCGAUCCCAUGACAUCGAUUAGCCUUGAAGGGAAGAUGACGUCGCCUGGGUGCCACUUUUUUUCUUUUUGGAGGGAGAGAGGGAGAGGAACGUACGUUAUGCCAACGGUUGUGUUCCUCCCUCUCUCUUUCUCCUUUUAUACGUCCCUCCAACAGAAAGGAACGUACCCUUUCAUCCAUGGGCCUUAAUCUUGUGGGCCGGGCUUUUAGGCCCAUCAUGGGCGGACGGGCCAACUUAGGCCCAUCACAUAAAACCAUCAGACAUAAACUUCAAUACUUCAAUUCCUUCCUCUGGGAAAAAGUCACAAGCGUCCCAUAUGUAGGAUGCAAUUCUUUUGCUGGUCCCAAUGAAAAAGCAAGCAAUAUCCAAAAAUAUAUGUUUUUGUCUAUAAUCCAAUGCUUCAUAACUUAUCCUUAACUUUUCUUGCACUUUCUUAUGAGGGACUUUUCUUAACUUUUUUAUCAUAUCCCUCCAUAGCAUUGGCUUUUGUCCGCACAAAUAUGAACCUAGAACCUCAAGAGAUAAGGGAAGCCCUCCAGUGGUGGACACAACAUCAUAAGCGAGGUCUUCAAAUUCACUUGGAGGAGAGUCCUUUCGAAAUGCAUGUCUACUAAAUAGAAUCAAAGAUUUAUCCUUAUCCAAUUCCUUAUGUUCAUAGUUGUAGUUCACCCGAGCAUUGUCAAGAAUACUCUUGUUUCUGGUGGUAAUAAUGAUCCUACUUCCUGAAGAAAACCAAUGAUGAUUUCUAGCCAAAGCUUUCAGCUGAUCAUAAUCAUCUACAUCAUCAAGAAGAAUGAGGACUUUCUUACCUUUAAGCAUUAAUGAGAGGAUCUUAAUCCCUUCAUCUUUAUUACGAGCUUGAUUGUCUUGCUUCAAUAUAUCAACGAUUAACUGAUUUUGUAAGCAAUGAAUGCCAAAGCGCUCCCAUGACUCCCUAAUAUCAGCAAUGAAGCUAUGAUACUCAAAUUUAUUUAAGAGCUUGUUGUAGAUGGUUUUAGCAAGAGUUGUCUUGCCAAUGCCUCCCAUUCCAUGGAUGCCAACAAAUAGGGUGUCACAAGGACUUUUAUCUACAAAUUUUAUAAUCUUCUCCACAUGACUGUUAAUUCCAACCAAAUUCUCAGGAAUAUCCAACUCAAACUUUUUUUUCAACUCGCUUAACACUUUCCGGACAAUCGAUUUUACCAAUUCUCCUUCAUACCUAUCAAGUGUAACAAGAGUUCAAAUACAUGGUAAAUAUAAUUUUAUAUUGUUUAUCUAACGAGAGCACAGUAGUAAAUAAGUCUAGGAAUAAAUCCUAAUACUUUAACAAUCAUUUUUGUCCACCUUCAUAUAUUAGCAUACUAUGGAUUGAAAUCAUAUUUCAAACUUCUUGUUGUUGAAGAUAUUAUGGAUGACAUGGACAUGGCUUUGAAAACUUUUUAGAGCGUUUGGAUAAGAAAAAUUCAAUUAGGCAACAUGGUAUGAGAGUUUAGCCACCAAUUAACAAACAGGCUGCAACUUUUGAUGCAAGAGGAAUUUAAGUCUUAUAUACCAAUCCCGAAAGUCAUUCAAAGUGCUUUAUUGUGAACUACUUGAAUACAAUUAGGGGAUUUCUCCUUAUUUGCCCAAUUUUACAUGCUUGCAAGUUUCUACUCGUGUUGUGAAUUUUGAUUCUAAAUUCAUGUUCUUAUCAAUUUCCAUUGCAUCAAGAGUUGAUAACAUGUACUUUACUUUCCUUUUGGUGUCUAUAUUAUAUGUAUUGAUUUUAUUGGGAAGUAGAAGGAUAAAUUUUCGAAAAAAAAAAAAAGAACAUCGCUUUGAUAUAGGAAAAUGCAUUGAAAAUUAUUUGAACAAACGUAUUACAAAGAUAAUCCUUUUUCCUCAACCAUCUCUUUUUUGACUUGCUUAGUUGAAUUACAAUCUCACAUAAAUUUGUAAAUAGAAAAGUUUGUAAUGAAGAUUGAUGUAGCUUACACUAUAAACAUGGGGAAAAAAAGGCACAAUCUAACAAAAUCUUUGGAUAUAAGAGCAAAAAUUCAUUUGAAAAAUCUUAUAUUAUUCAAGCGAUUGUAAUCAUAACAAUGAAAUCUAUAUUAGAUUGGUCAAUAUCAUCUCGUUAAGAAACUGAAAAAAGAUAAUUUACGGAACUUAUGCAUCGCCAUGUGUUACUACUAUAAAAAUCUUGCUGCUAACCAAUAAAAACGAAAAAGAAGCGAGUAGGAAUCAGAUUCAGUAAACACCCUUACAAAUUAAAAGAAAGUACAUAAUGCUUUCGUGAAAGAUUUUACCCAUUAGCGUCCCAUCCUUUCAAGGAACUAACUUCAACGAGUGCUUGCUUCCAUUUAUCGAAAAAUUUUGGGUCGAAACGCCUCUCGCACUUAUGAAAUGCAUCCCCAAAACUCCCGAUUUGAUGUCGCACGUAAGCUGGUUCCACUUUGUAGAAUAUCGGCAACACUAUAUGCCCCCUGUCACUUUUCUUGCACUCCAUUAUUUGAACAAGCUCGUCCAAGCACCAAUUGCUUGAACCAUAAUUUACAGAGAGAAUCGGGAUUAGGAUCUUACUAUUCUUGAUGGCUGUCAAAAGAUCUGGGCCGAUCAUCUCUCCUUGCCGAAUCUCAUUAUUGUCUCUAAAAGUAUGAAUUCCAGCAUCGACAAGCCCGUUGUAGAGGUGAUCAGUGAAACCCUUUCGAGUAUCUACACCUCUAAAGUUCAAGAACAUAUCAUAGUAGUUUCCAAUCAAUGCGGUCAACGAACUAGAUCCACCAGAAUUAGUUUUUGUGGGCGCAGUCAACAGAUCAGACGCACCAGUAUUUGCAUCUUCUGCAUUUCUAUGCACACCGACGUUGCAUUUCUCAAUGGGAGGAUGCAUUUCUUCUUUGCCUUCAAGUGGUGGAAUUUUAAUGCCCAAGAAAAUCCGAGAUGAUACCUGCCCUGGAAGAAGAGAAUAUGUGAGAUGCAGAAGCAAUCAAAUUAAGUAGUACCAAAAAGAAAAAGACAAGUGCCAUCAUAGAAUUAGUCUGGCAAUCCAUUGUGCUAGAUACAUUAUGUUACUACCGCAUUUACGUAAAGGGCAACUGCAAUUACAUCGAUGACAAACGAGGAAUUUUCAUGUUAUGAUUCCUUCAAUCUACGGUCGAGUGAGCACAUGCUAAUUCAAAGAACAAGGCAAGGACAUCAAGGAGGAUUAGCCGGCCAAAACUUUCCAGUAUUAAAGCUGCAGAUCACGCUUAAAGUGGCAAGUAAUUCUCGGCCAGAAGAAAAGUAGGGAAGAAAGAAUGGCUAGAGCCCAUUUCACACGUGGAAUAAAAAAAAUUGCAGAGAAAUCAAGAGUGGGAUAUUCUCUAGGCUGAUCGGUUCUGGUCCGAUCCGGUUCCCCAUUUCUGGAACCGAGAAUUGGAUUGGAGCGACAGGUCUGGUCCGAUUCCCGGACUGUCCAACAAAAACGAUGGACAGUGCUUGUUGGCCAAGUCGAGGGUGAGAAGUCAGAGAGGAUGGUCACGGGAGGGUUGGGGUGGGAGGCAAACCACCGGAGGGAGAGGUGGAGGGUCGAGAUGAUGGGGACGUUGCCGAAGAGACCGAUGUCACGGACGUUCUCGACUCAGCACAUCUCCUGCAUCAAGCAUAUCAAGCAAGGAGAAUCAAGACACUUAAUCGCUUGAACAAAUGAGGUCCAAUUUUGAUGAAACACCCAUGAAUUUGCAGCUUAUUAAGUCUACUUUAGUUUCUCAGAUAACCAUUUUCAUGAUCAGAGCCACAAAACCCGAAAUUGUAAGUCACCUCAGAAAAUUAUGAAACCAGUCCUGUUUGAAAGCUUAAGACGUCUUCUAAAACUUUGUAGUUUAUCAUUUACUGAGAUUCGGUCCAUAUUUUAACGAAAUUGCAGAAACAGCCUUGAAGGUCAGACUGGCCUUUGACAUUCUGACUGGUACUUUGAGAAGACAUUUGACUGAGCAAUUCAAUUUGGAAUUUCAUGAAACUUGAAUGAAUGGAAAGAUCUGGAAGUCUUUUAAAAGUUUGUAAUUCAUGAUAUUUCGAGAUUUUUUCAUGAAUAUCUCCUAAAUCCCAAAAUACCCAGCACGCCUGAUCAGACUUCUAAUUCCAGAUUCAACUUCAAUUUUCUAUUAUCUUUGUCCUAGAUUUUGAGGUGGAUUUGACCUAGUAAAUGAUCUUCAACUUGGGCUUAUAAUCUAUCAAAACGAAGCUUAAAAUGUCAAGAUCAUUUCAUUAGUUAAUUCCUUUUGAUGAUUUGGUCAUUUACUAGGUCGAAUAACCUGAUUAAUCUCAAUGAGUAUCCAAACCUGUGAUACUUCUCAUCAACAAAUCGUCAGGCACACGCAUUUUGGUCCUUUAAACCAAUCCCAUUGACCUUCCAUGACUCAUCACGCACAAAAUACGAGCAAGCCCACAAAGAGUUCUUCAACAGCACUUAUUUGCUACGUUUACGGGGCCUAUAUAAAAGAACCUUCUAACAGUGAUCAUGCAAUACGUCUCAUAUAGCAAGCAUAUGAAGAACAAACCGGCCACAUUUGCUUUACACGAUUGCAUGGAACAAACGAAAAUUUUAGCAUGAAACAGACCUAAAAGAACCGUCUAUCGGUUAUCAAUGGCAUGACGAUCCCAGAACAUGCCCACGGUGAACUCGCCAGCAUCUCGCCACGUACAUAUAUACAUUCAACUUUUACUUCAUUGACGCUGUCACAUAUAAGCAGCAUAUACAAAGGAUAAUGAGCAAGAAAUCUCAGUGUAUAACCACUAGACUCAUCCUCAAUGAAGGAAAACAAAACUCAAGCAAAGCUUCAUUGACAGGAGACAGUAAACGAGGAUCAAAACCUAACCUGAAAUGCUCGCUGUUCUAUUCGAGAAUAUAAUCAAACCUGUGGUAAGCACUUCAGUCAAAGGAUCUGGCUGCAGCUGUGAAACAACGAUUCACAUCCGAAUUAUCAUCAGGACAAGCUCAAGUGACCAACAGAUCCUCAAUUGGAGGCUAUUUUCAAAUAAAUCACAACAAAAUUUCUCAGCCUCAGCUUUAUACAUAGAACAUCAGAACAUAGAACAUGAGUCUAUGCUCAUCAUACCUUGAGUUUCAGUUUUGGAAGAUGAGCAAAUCGAAGAACAGAGUUCCUAGAUAUGUCAAUGAUCGAGAUCAAAGAAUAGAGUUCCAAACAGAUUAAUCUACUAAGAGUAAACUCUAUCAAAGGUGUUCACUAAAAUCCCUAAACUAAAUGCAUACUAACCAAAUGAAACUAAGCUAAAUCUAGCACUAGAUUCUUUUUUCUUUUUUUUCUUUUUAUCUGGUCUUGUCUUAUAUCUAUUUUAUAAGUCACCGUGUGUACUUUGUGUAGGUUAUGAAACCAUAUUCUCUCACUCACAUGUCCCUACCUCAGCCCAGGGAAUCGAACUCAACACCUCCCCUUUUCAAGUGGGAAAUGUGUCUACCGGACUAACCCCUAGUAGUUAAAUCUAGCACUAAACAUAACAACCUAAUCAAGAUCUCUAUCUCUAGCUAUUAUACAAUUUUUUAAUUUAUCGAAUUUUUCUGUUAGAAAUUAUUAUUUUUAUAGUAGAGGGGACUCGGGCUGGUCCUCUGGCCCGGUCUGAAGUUGGAAUGGACGCUUCCGCCUGGCGAGGGCCACAUCUCUAGUAUCAUGGGUUCUGGAUCUUAAGAUUGGGAUAUUAUUGGGCUCUUAAAUCAAGCCCACUCAACUGAACUGAACCAAUUUCAUAAAAAGUCAAACCCAGGCCAAACAUUAAAAAGCUGAGUCAAGCCCGUCCCAAAUCAAACCCAACGUGCAAAGAUUUUUAACCUCACCUUCUCGAGGAAAUAACCAACGCAUGAACAGAAACAAUGGAAACGUACGGAAGGAAAAUGAUGUUGUUGAAAGCUUAUCUCUGGGCACCAUUGAAUGCUUCACUAACUCCUGGCCAUUCCUCACACAUUACCACCACAGAGUCAUCAUCAUAACAAGCUCUGCUGCAACCGCGAAACAUAUAUAAAAGAAAACGUUCAGAUUUGAUUUUGUUAACAAAGAAAUCUAACUGGAAACGUACUCAGCAAUUAAUAGAAAAUUCCUUUCACAUGAAACAUGUUCACAAGUGUUGCAACCCUCUCAAAGCACAUCCGACAGCAAGGUCUGAACCUUUUGAGGGGUUUAGAGGCAUUACUCAUAAGACGGUCCAAAUGAUCUCUCGAUUAUGAGUGCAGGCUCUCCCCAACCACUCUCUCUCAUAACAUUUGGAGAUUUUUUUAAGUUCUUUUUAGCCUAAUUAAAUCUUGGAGUUCCCACUAGCAAUUUGGAAUUGGCUAAAAACCAUAUGAGAUGCAGGAGGCUUGACUCAUUUCCUACGCAACUAGAGAUUCUAAAUACGAGAACUUGAUUACGCUAAUAUUUAUAUUAAUGCCCUUUCGGUGCCUCUAACUAGAAGGUCGUUACUUAAGUGGUUAUGCAUUGUUUUUACCAUUUUACUCUUUUUGCAUUUUUCCUCUUACCUUCUGCCUUUUAUUCUAUUAUUUCCUUUGUUCCCAUCAUCUUCCUCCUUCCUCAGAUGGACGAGCCUCUGCCCUCGACUUCUCAGAACUUCCAUCGAUAAAACCCCAAAGGUGCAUUAAACCAAACCUACUCCCGCAAAUCUUGUCACUGGCAACAAUCGCUAACCUCCGAUCAUCAAACGAAAUGCCGUUACCUGACCACCACAGUCAACCACUCCCGGCCACCGAAAUUUAUCAUCGCCGGCCACCCCAUGAAGUAGGGCAAAGCACAGAACAGAUGGAAGGGAAGUGAACGCAGCAACACUCCCAGAAACGACGCAAUAUGGCAGAAGAUGUGAUGUUCAACAACCAUUAAGAAGGCGUCUUAUCACGCAAAACAUAUAGAUAUGCACUCAAGGUAAUUUACGAUCGGGAAUAAACUGACACGGUUUCGGUUCCUGCAUUUCGUCGGACAUGCAGCGUAAGUGGGCUGAGGAGAAGGUAUUGACCAUUUUUAGACCUCGAACUCGGAUCUAGACUCAAAGAAAUCAUCAAGAAACACUCGAAAUCAGGAGAGAGGAGUAGUGAGAAACGAUGCUGGCUGGAGGUUGUUGGACGGCAACAGUAGAAGUGGCCAGUCGGCUGAGGUCCAGAGAGAAAGAGACCCAAAGAGACAAGCAAAGGGAGAUGCGGGACUGAGAGGAGGGGAAGGCAAAUGGCUCGGUGAGGGGCGCCGGUAAUGGCUGCGACUGGUGGUGGCGACUGAGGCUAUGGACGGAGGAGGGUGGUCGACGGUGAGGUAGAGGUAAGGGGGAAUGGAGAAGAAAAGAGCGGGUGAGAUUUAGAACCAAAAAAAGAGAGUGCGCC